AGUCCGAAGCUGUCCUCCAGCCCAAACACUAUUUAGUGUUCAGCCCAUAUCUUGAGUUCUAGAAGUCCAAAUGACCUCAUCUUUUUUUUGUUGGAAAGCUGAGACAAUUUCCUAGAACAUUCUUGAGGAUUCUGGGCAAAUUAUGAUGUUAGCAAUGACGUCUUGUUCAGACAAGAAGAUAAGGAUUGUUAUCAAGUCAAGAUGUGGCCACCCACUCAUCAAUUAGUCAACAAAUCAAUAGUUCCAAAUUUUGGCCUAUAAAAGGAGGCACUUACCAUGUAUUGAGGCAUCUUGGUGUUCAGAUCAAGAUCAUGCUCUUGCUUUCUCUCUUUGUAUUGCUUAUGUCUUGCUUUCAUUAAUAUCAAGUUUAUGCACUUCAUUUCCUUUCCUUUGUCUAGUUAACUUCUUUCUCAUUUAUGUUCUUAUCUUGUUCAUUUAUGUUUCUUUCUUUCAUUAUGUUCAGCUAAGUUAAUUAUGUCAAGGUGAAAAGGGUACACUAAUGGUGUAAGAAUAAGUAUAAUAUAAACUUAACAUGGACCUUAACGUUGGAUACUAACAUGUUUUAUAUUUGUUAUCUUGUUCACUUUUAAUACUUUGCUUGUUAAAUGGUUAAUCUAGAUUUAUGUUGUAUAACACUUGGUACAACAAAUACUUGGCACUUUCAUAGCCCAUACUGUAUGGUAUAACCGACACCUGAGCUAUGAAAGGAACUUGAUUUGUUGUUAACAUAAGUUAUAAUCAUGAAUGCCUGCCAACAUUUACAAGUAUUAGCUUUAUUCGAAUAAGAUAACUAAUGUAAUCAUGUUAACAAUUUAUAAUCUGAUUGGAACUUCCUUUAUGUGUGGUUUCCAAUUGAGUAAUAAGAGUUUAUACUAUACUUGUUUGAAGUACCAUUAGUGGAUCCUCUAACCUUGACAUUUGUUUUUAUCGUUGUUUAAUCCUUACAUUAAUCUUUCAUCUCAAAGUUCUCAUUAAUUUCUUCAUCUUCAUCUUCUUUUAUUAUUAUUAUUAUUAUUAUUAUUAUUAUUAUUAUUAUUAUUAUUAUUUACAUUUUGUUUAUAUUAUAUAAUAUAUAUCUUUGAUCUUUUCUUAAACUCAGUAUAUAGGUUGGAAACCUGUGACCCGAUCUUUUAGAUCAUUCUCAGGUAUAAUAACGCCACGUACCGAGUAUAAUAAUAAUUAUUGUUGUUGUUGUUGUCUUGCUAUUUAUAAUUUAUACAAUUAACCUCUUUGUGGUUCGACCCCGGUCUUGCUGGGUUAUUUAUUACUUCGACACUCCUGCACUUGGGAAAAGACAUCAAGCUUUUGGUCAUGUCAGAAGGUAAAUAGGCAAUACAAACAUCAUCUUUCUAAUACAAUGCACUAAUAUCGAUGUCCAUACCGACUGACUAACAUCCUUCGGUAUUUCAUAGAGAGUUGAAAUAUAUUUAUUGGUAAUGUCACAAUCAUCGACGAUGUGGCAAAUGGAUUCCAGUCCGUCCAUAUGUUGUCGGCAAGUCAAAAUUACCGACAAAAUCAUUGACGGCAUGUGAAAAUACCAAUGGGCUGGGCAUUAAAUGCAUCUCUAACCACAUCAUUUUUCCGAUGGAAUUACUAACGGCCUGUGAAAAAUAUGGAGGUUAAUUCAAAAUUGAUGGUGCGAAAUUCAAAAUUCACCAACGGAUUUUCAAAACUUCACCAACGAAAUAGUUUUAAAUAAUAAUUUUUUUUAUUACCGUCGGUGAAUCUGUCGGUAAAACUUCACUAUAAAUUCCAGCGAACGCCCCUUCAGUUUAUUUUUUCAUCUGCUCUGUUAUUCCCCUUUCAUUUUCAAUUUUUUUCCUCUCAUUUCCUUCAAUACUUUUGUUUGUUUUGCUUGUAUUCUCUACUUGAAUCUUCAUCAAAUUAAAAGGUAUGUGUUUUUUCUAUUUCAUUUUACUUUAAGGAUUUUUUUUUCUUUGUUUUAGCUAUUUUCAUUUUUGUUAUGUUUCUUGUUUUGAUGUGUUUUUAUAAUGUAGAUAAAGUAUUGAAAUAAACACAUUACUAUGGUAAGCACAUUUCAUUCCUAAAGUCUAUAUUUGUUUUUUAUUUAGUGAAUAUAUUUUAUUGUUGUAUUGCCAUAAUAAUUGAAUAAUUUGUUGAAUUGUAAUUAUUAAUAUUGAAUUUACCUUAGAAUUAUUAAUUCAAUAUGUUGGAAUAAUUAGUAAUUUUACUCUAUUAUUGCAUGAUUUGUGUUUAAUUAUUUCCAUUAAUUUUAAUUGUUAGUCUAGAGUUUUAUUUUUAAAUUUAUUGAAUAUAUUUUAUUGUUUUAUUUCCAUAAUAAUUGAAUAAUUUGUUGUAUUCUAAUUUUUAAUGUUGAAUUUACCUUAGAAUUAGUAAUUCAUUAUGUUGGGAUAAUUAGUAAUUUUACUCUAUUAUUGCAUGAUUUGUGUUUAAUUAUUUCCAUUAAUUUAAUUGUUAGUCUAGAGUUUUUUUUUAAUUUAUUGAAUAUAUUUUAUUGUUUUAUUUCCAUAAUAAUUGAAUAAUUUGUUGAAUUGUGAUUGUUAAUGUUGAAUUUACCUUAGAAUUAGUAAUUGAAUAUGUUGGAAUAAUUAGUAAUUUUACUCUAUUAUUGCAUGAUUUGUGUUUAAUUAUUUCAAUUAAUUUUAAUUGUUAGUCUAGAGUUUUUUUUUAAUUUAUUGAAUAUAUUUUAUUGUUUUUAUUUCCAUAAUAAUUGAAUAAUUUGUUGUAUUCUAAUUGUUGAUGUUGAAUUUACCUUAGAAUUAGUAAUUGAAUAUUUUGGAAUAAUUAGUAAUUUUACUCUAUUAUUGCAUGAUUUGUGUUUAAUUAUUUUCAUUAAUUUUAAUUGUUAGUCUAGAGUUUUUUUUUAAUUUAUUAAAUAUAUUUUAUUGUUUGUAUUUCCAUAAUAAUUGAAAAUUUGUUGAAUUGUGAUUGUUAAUGUUGAAUUUACCUUGUAAUUAGUAUGGAUGUUAUUUGUAUAGAUGUUAUGUUAUAUACAAUCUUAGUAUAGAUGGGGUCAAUAUUUGAAGGUUUGAAAAGUUUGGGUAGUCUCCAAUAUAGGAGAGGUGUUGUCGCUCACGUAUGAUCGCAGCUAGUUCUUCUAGUAGUGAGUGUUGCUACCCAAUUUUUGACCCAUGUUUUGAUAUAUUUUCAAAUAAAUCCAAAAAUAGAGAAAAACAAUGAAAAUCCAAAAAAAUAUGUUUUUUAAUAUAUUCUCGUCAUUUUAGCAUUUUCAACGUCGUCUAGAAAAGAAUUUAAAUUUUUAAGGGUCUUUCGAACGCGUUCGACUUUUCACGCGUCAUUUUUUAAUAUCAUUGAUUUUCCUCAUCGAGUCGACGUUGAUAUUGCUCAUUUUCAAAAAAUACAAAAAAAUAUAGAAAAAUCAAAUUUACAAAAAAAAAGAAGUUGAGGGACCAAUUUUGAAAACUUAGCAAUAUUUCUACCUAUAAAUACUGGUUUCCUCAACACACUCAAGGGGGGGGAUUUUGCAAUUAAAGGGGAGGCAACACCAAAGAGAAAAAACCUAAAAAAGGCUUAGCUUUCUUCUCCCUCACCCGGGAGCAGCCGCCGCUCACCCCCCAUCCAAACAGAGACCAGACCCGACCAUUCCUUCCCCUGUCAUCUCACGCUUAACCCUCUCUCCCAAAACUAGAGCAGCCACCCAAACACCCCCCGGAUUUUUUUCUUCUUCCUCUUCUCCGGCCGGCUUACCAAAGGCCACAACCCGGACCCACAACACAGACGCCUCCACCACCAGCCAGCCACCACAGCCUUCCCAUCAGCAACGGCUGCUUCCCCUUCGGUUUCCUCUCCCAGCGGCGGCCGAACAGCAGCGUCGGGGCAACACUUUCAUCGCCUCACCUUCCCAUCAGCAACGGCUUCUUCUCCCUCAGCAGACGGCCAACAGCAACGGCGAAGCAGCACCGACAGACCAGCCGCCUCCCUAUCUUCCCCGAUCUCUUCCUCUCCAUCAACACCGGAGAUUCCUCCAGUAGCAACCAACACACGGCACCCACAUACCCACCUCCAGAACUGCCCCGCAGUGGCCACCGCAGUCGGCCAUCACCGGAUCUACAACCAGCGAAGGAAGAGAAACAGAUUUGCAAAACAAAAACAGAUCUAAAAAUGAAACAAACAAACUAAAAUCAACUGCCUGUGUUGUUUUCGGGUGCUUUGCAGGUCGCCGCCAGUGUUGGGAGACUGAGAAGAAGAAGUCGAUCCCGAUCCCCCCUGUCUCUGGAGUUUCUUGCGGCGGCGCGUGGAGCAGACGCGCCGCCGCUGUUUGCUGCCCCAGAAGCCUUCCGCCUGUGUUCCCGUGCACUGUUCCUGCAUAUUCUAGAAGCCUUAGGAUGUGUUAGGGGCUAUUCUGUAAUUUUAAAUGGUUUUUGAUGUAAUAUUUUUAUUUAGCAUUGAUUUUUUAUUAUUUUUAUUAUGGAUGUAAAAGAAAAGAAAAGAAAAGAAAAAAAAUAGUGAAAGUGUAUGUGUGUGUUUGUAUUUUGUUUUAUAUUGUUUUAUUUUUUAUGAUAAAAUUGCAAAUAUUAAAGAAGAAUUUAAUAUUUUGAUCGGAUCACGGUUAAGAAUUAUUAACUUAUACGUAAGUGAUAUUUCUAAUUUCCGAUGAAAAGACAAUUUUAAAACUUCUUUAACACAUCAAAUUCGCGAAGCAGCUUACCUCAGGUAGGGUGCGUUAGGGGUGCUAAUACCUUCCCUAACCACAACCAGUCCCUUACCCGCGAAUCUCUGACAAGACCAGUAUCCGGUUUCCUAGUAGCCUUCAAUAAUUACUAGGUGGCGACUCCAACGAACCAUUCAAGCAAAGCAACAACGAUAAAAAAUCGCCAGCCGAUGCCGCGUGAUUUUUUGUGCGACAGAAUGGCGACUCCACUGGGAAAGGUACUGUUUCUGACAUUAUUGGACUAAGCUCUGUGUAUUUGAUGUGUUUAAGUUUUUGUAUUUUUAUCUUUUUGUUAAUAUUCAUUUCCAUGCAUUUUAUAAAAUUGUCUCAUGCAUCACCUGUAUUUAUUUUUGAAUGCACACACAAGCUCUAGGUUAGGUGGGGAACUAACAAUCUGCCCUAAGACUAUUGGUCAGGGUUCAGAUGCGUGAAACACCCAACUCAUAUCUGAGUGCCUGCUUGGUAAUGGUGGGUAUACGUGCCUUAACUAUUCCUUGCAACGCCCCAUACUGUCUUUACGAAGAACGUCACUAGGCAGAUAUGAGACCAGAUAGAAAACCUACCCAUGUUCACAUAAUAAAUAGAACUUGUCCUUAAGUUGUAUGUGCUAUCGUUAUUUGUAUCAGAGCAAACCCUUCUUGAAGCAUCUUGAACUCAAGACUUGUGGGUGACACAAUGGUCGUCACUCCGAAAAUUUUCAUUGCAGAGUUUGGGCAAAAAACGAUUCUUGUCCAUCAUACAAGAGUUACGACCAUAUUGUCACCCUCGAAGGGCAGUUCAUCAUAUAGAUUACAUGUUCAUACAUUUGUCAUGCAUGCACCAGAAUGAAAAGUAGGUCCCCUACGAGUCUACAACACCCGACUUUGAAUGAAGAAAAAACGAAGAUGAAGAGUGCUCGUCGAAUUUUUGAAGAAGAGUUGUUUGAAGACAUGUUGACGCUCUAGCUUACUCGAGCAAAUACUGAAAAAUAACUCUAGGAAAGUUCCUUCCAACCGACCUAUCAUCUUUGUUCAAAACCUAACAACGACUUUGCCCGAAGAAAUUGAGGGAAAACAUCGGUCAAGAGCCUCAACACAAUCGUGUAUUUCUGCAAAAGCUUUGGUGGGAAGGCUGACCGAAGGGGAAUUGCACUACCGGUGCAUAAUGGAGCCUAUUCUUGUUCUGCAAAAAAAAAAAAAAAAACACAACCUCAGUUUGAUCAUGCCUGCAAAAAUUCUUGAUUUUUGUUUCAACCUAUUCCAGUUUUUGUUGGUAACUUGGCUUAAAAUUCCACAACACUUUUCUUAUCAAAUGAACCUUUCUUGUUAAUAAGAUCAUGUGUUUAUAACAUACCUUCAUUUUUGUUGUUGUUUCAUGCAAAUAACAUAUUGAGCAUAACCUUUAAGCAUGAAACCAUCACACCAAGAAUCUUUGGGUGUGUUUUCCUUUCUUUCAAAACUAUGCAUGAUCGCACAUGUUCACAAGGAUUUUUGGGAAUUCAAAGUUUAGUACAAAAAAACAGAAAUCAUGUUGAUGUUUGUCCAAAAUAAACGAGUUCUGGAAAUUCAGGUGAUUCCUUAGAAAGGUAACCAUACCACCUAGAAAAAAAAAAAAAAAAAAAACAAAAACAAAAAGAACCCAUGAAGUGACUCCAAAAGCUGAGUUUUAUUUGAAUGAAUAAUGAGAAAUCACAUUGUAUACUCGCAUGAAAGCAAGGCUUACCGAUCCUAAAUGCAUGAGUUUGAAAUGAAGAAAGGUCAUCUUUGAUAAUCUUUUCACGAGGCUAAAAUAUAUCAUUUGCAGUCCCCUUUUGAGCCUGAUAAUAUUUUUUGGAAAUAACCUUGGGGGCAAGUGUGAUGACAUAGAGAAAACCUCAAUGAUCGAAAGUGCCCAAGCAAUACUAGGGGGCAUAAAAGAAAAUUCUCAAUCAUCAAAGGUGCCCAAACAAAGCUAGGGGGCAUGAAGAAAAAUCCAAAGGAUCCAAAAGUUUUGAGCAAAAAAAAAAAACAAUAUGAUGAUGCUCAAAACCAUAUGAAGAAAACAAAAGCAAAGAGAACAAGCCCAAGCCCAACACAAGGGGGCACGAUAGACAAUUUUCGAAAGACAGUCAAAUGACAAAAGGUCAAGAAACAAGCACAAGUGAUCCUUAGUCUUCAAAUCCCUUAAACACCUUUUGAGCCUACAAAUAUCAUUUUUCUUCAUAACCAAUAGCCCAAGCCUACAUUACGUGCCUAAUCAAGCCCUUUCUGAUCAAAGGCAAGCAAUCUGGAUCGGUAGGCAAUGCUUUCUCAUGUGAACCAAAUCAUUAUUCAUGCAAAUAAAAUAAAUGCUUUGAAAAUCGGUUCUCUAUAACCCUCAAACUGAAAUUUUAACCACUUUUUACAAGCCAAAUGUCACUUCAUAUUUUUCACCAAAAGCCAAAAUAAAAAGUUUUCAUCACUUCUGAUAACCUCUCCAUAGGAAACACUUGAAUUUCUUCAGAAUGAGUUUGCUUUGAAUCGAUGUCAAAAUAAUUUCUGUGUUUGGAAUAGCUUUGGAAUUCCAAAAAUUCUGCAUGAAAACAACUCCUUGUCAAACCUUCCUUCACAUAGCCUCAUCCCCAAACCCGAAUUGAACACUUGGGGGCAUGAUCAAGCUAGGGGGCAAUAAAGAAACAUAUGAUAGGGCUGGCUCCAUGAUUCCCAUUCUAAGAAAAUAUCGAGCAAAAUUGGCAACCCUUGAGAUAAAGUGGCGGAGGACAAAGAAGUAUGAUGAUAUCAAGUCUUUCCUAGAGGUCAAAAUCACAAGAGAUGACUCGAGUAAGCAAGAGCGAAAAGCCAUCGAAGUUCACUGCCAACACUCCAACUUUUGAGAAAAGAAACACACCAUGAAGAAAUGGGGACCUAUAUUUCAAAUCAGGUAAGGAUGCAUGCAUAUCAUCUAACCUCAAAAAAAAAAAUAUUUGCACAUAUUUUUUAAUUGUUACAGGAAAAUCCUUAAUGAGGUCCAAUAAGAUGGUGGAAAAAGAAAGAAGAAAAAGGAAGAAGCAUUGUGGUGAUGAUAAUAAAGAAUCGGUUUUGAUCAUGGAAUAAAAGGACGAUGGGAUGAACCCUACCAUUAGGAAAAUCCCAAAGAAAUGAAAAGAUCAACCUUGCAAUCGGGAAGCCUCGAGUUUUCAACUCUUGCAGUCAGGAAACACCGAGUUUUCAAAUCCUAUGAUCGGGAAUUAUCAGGAAGCACCAAGUUUUCCAGCCCUUCUUCUGUCAUCCCCUCAAAGACUUCGCCAGGUAAGUCCUAUUUUUCACACUUGUCAUAUCAUAUUUUUUCCAUUGGGUAGGUCACCCAUGACAAUGAGACCGCUUUUCAUAUUUUUUCCAUCCGGGUAGGUCACCCAUGACAAUGAGACCGUUUCAUAUUUUUCCAUCUGGGUAGGUCACCCAUUACAAUGAGACCACACUUCAUAUUUUUUCCAUUUGGGUAGGUCACCCAUCAAAUAAGACUUCACUUUUUUUUUUCCAUUUGGGUAGGUCACCCAUUACAAUGAGACCACACUUCAUUAUUCUUUCCAUCGGGGUAGGUCACCCAUCAUAAUUAGACCGUUCUUCAUAUUUUUUCCAUCUGGGUAGGUCACCCAUUACAAUGAGACCGCACUUCACAUUCUUUCCAUCUAGGUAGGUCACCCAUUACAAUGAGACCGCACUUUAUAUUUUUUCCAUUGGGUAGGUCACCCAUUACAAUGAGACCGCACUUCACAUUCUUUCCAUCUGGGUAGGUCACCCAUUACAAUGAGACCACACUUCAUAUUUUUUCCAUUGGGUAGGUCACCCAUUACAAUGAGACCGCACUUCACAUUCUUUUCAUUUUGGGUAGGUCACCCAUCACAACGAGACCGUUUUUCAUAUUCUUUCCACAUGGAUAGGUCACCCAUUACAAUGAGACUACUUCAUAUUUUUUCCACUCGGGUAGGUCACCCAUCACAAUGAGGCCAUCAUUUUUUCUGGGUAGGUCACCUAUUAGAAUGAGACCAUUCUUCAUCUUUUUUUACCUGGGUAGGUCACCCAUAAUAAUGAGGCCAUUCUACCCCCUGGGUAGGUCACCCAUAAGAAUGAGACCACUCUUCCCCCUUUCCACUCGGGUAGGUCACCCAUCACAAUGAGGCCAUCAUUUUUUUUCUGGGUAGGUCACCCGUUAGAAUGAGACCAUUCUCCAUUUUUUUUUUACCUGGCUAGGUCACCCAUAAUAAUGAGGCCAUUCUUCCCCCUGGAUAGGUCACCCAUUAGAAUGAGACCACUCUUCCCCCUUUCCACUUGGGUAGGUCACCCAUCACAAUGAGGCCAUCAUUUUUUUUCUGGGUAGGUCACCCGUUAGAAUGAGACCAUUCUCCAUCUUUUUUUUACCUGGGUAGGUCACCCAUAAUAAUGAGGCCAUUCUACCCCCUGGGUAGGUCACCCAUAAGAAUGAGACCACUCUUCCCCCUUUCCACUCGGGUAAGUCACCCAUCACAAUGAGGCCAUUAUUUUUUUUUUAGGUAGGUCACCCAUUAGAAUGAGACCAUUCUCCAUCUUUUUUUUACCUGGGUAGGUCACCCAUAAUAAUGAGGCCAUUCUCCCCCCUGGGUAGGUCACCCAUAAGAAUGAGACCACUCUUCCUCUUUUCCACUUGGGUAGGUCACCCAUCGCAAUGAGACCAUUUUUCCUGGGUAGGUCACCCAUUACAAUGAGACCACUUGUUACACAUUCUUUUGUUUUGGUUAAAUGAGGUCGCCAGAUGGGAUCUCAAGUAGGUUUGGUUAAAGGGAAUCGCUAGAUGGGAUUUCAGGUUAACUGAGCUACACACAUUUUUUAGUUCUAGUUGAAUGAGGUCGCCAGAUGGGAUCUCAUGUAGCUUUGGUUAAAGGGAAUCGCCAGAUGGGAUUUCAGGUUGACCGAGCUACAACAUUCUUUGGUUUUAGUAUAGGAGAUCGCUAGAUGGCAUCUCAGGUUAACGAAAAGAGAGAGAGAGAAAAAAGAUAAAGAGAGAGAAAGAAAGAAAGAAAGACAAGAAAAAAAUAAGGUCUUAUUCAACAGUGUUAAAAAGACAAGCAAACAAGUUUUUCUUUACAAAGCUUACUAUGUAAAACAUUGAGGAGUUUUGCUUCGUAAGCAUUGUAAAGAGGGGGCAUCUGUUGCUACCCAAUUUUUGACCCAUGUUUUGAUAUAUUUUCAAAAAAAUCCAAAAAUAGAGAAAAACAAUGAAAAUCCAAAAAAAAUAUGUUUUUUAAUAUAUUCUCGUCAUUUUAGCAUUUUCAACGUCGUCUAGAAAAGAAUUUAAAUUUUUAAGGGUCUUUCGAAUGCGUUCGACUUUUCACGCGUCAUUUUUUAAAAUCAUUGAUUUUCCUCAUCGAGUUGAUGUUGAUAUUGCUCAUUUUCAAAAAAUACAAAAAAUAUAGAAAAAUCAAAUUUAUGUGCAAUUAAAGGGGGGGAAUUUAUGUUGAUAUUUAUAGGUAGCAAUAUUUCUACCUAUAAAUACUGGUUUCCUCAACACACUCAAGGGGGGGAAUUUUGCAAUUAAAGGGGAGGCAACACCAAAGAGAAAAAACCUAGAAAAGGCUUAGCUUUCUUCUCCCUCACCCGGGAGCAGCCGCCGCUCACCCCCCAUCCAAACAGAGACCAGACCCGACCAUUCCUUCCUCUGUCAUCUCACGCUCAACCCUCUCUCCCAAAACCAGAGCAACCACCCAAACACCCCCCAGAUUUUUUUCUUCUUCCUCUUCUCCGGCCGGCUUGCCAAAGGCCACAACCCGGACCCACACACAGCCUCCCCUCACAAAUAAACCUCCAGCCUUCCACCAUCUCCUUCUCACUUCCCCAUCACCCAAAAAGACCAAGCGGCCAUCUCUGCUCUCCCUCUUCUAAGCCGACAACACAGACGCCUCCACCACCAGCCAGCCACCACAACCUUCCCAUCAGCAACGGCUGCUUCCCCUUCGGUUUCCUCUCCCAGCGGCGGACGAACAGCAGCGUCGGGGCAACACUUUCAUCGCCCCACCUUCCCAUCAGCAACGGCUUCUUCUCCCUCAGCAGACGGCCAACAGCAACGGCGAAGCAGCACCGACAGACCAGCCGCCUCCCUAUCUUCCCCGAUCUCUUCCUCUCCAUCAACACCGGAGAUUCCUCCAGUAGCAACCAACACACGGCGCCCACAUACCCACCUCCAGAACUGCCCCGCAGUGGCCACCGCAGCCGGCCAUCACCGGAUCUGCAACCAGCGAAGGAAGAGAAACAGAUUUGCAAAACAAAAACAGAUCUAAAAAUGAAACAAACAAACUAAAAUCAACUGCCUGUGUUGUUUUCAGGUGCUUUGCAGGUCGCCGCCAGUGUUGGGAGACUGAGAAGAAGAAGUCGAUCCCGAUCCCCCCUGUCUCUGGAGUUUCUUGCGGCGGCGCGUGGAGUAGACGCGCCGCCGCUGUUUGCUGCCCCAGAAGCCUUCCGCCUAUGUUCCCGUGCACUGUUCCUGCAUAUUCUAGAAGCCUUAGGAUGUGUUGGGGCUAUUCUGUAAUUUUAAAUGGUUUUUGAUGUAAUAUUUUUAUUUAGCAUUGAUUUUUUAUUAUUUUUAUUGUGGAUGUAAAAGAAAAGGAAAAGAAAAGAAACAAAAAUAGUGAAAGUGUAUGGGUGUACUUGUAUUUGUUUUAUCAAUUGUUUUAUUUUUUUAUGAUAAAAUUGCAAAGAUUAAAGAAGAAUUUAAUAUUUUGAUUGGAUCACGGUCAAGAAUUAUUAACUUAUACGUAAGUUAUAUUUCUAAUAUCCGAUGAAAAGACAAAAUUUUAAAACUUCUUUAACACGUCAAAUUCGCGAAGCAGCUUACCUCAGGUAGGGUGCGUUAGGGGUGCUAAUACCUUCCCUAACCACAACCAGUCCCUUACCCGCGAAUCUCUGACAAGACCAGUGUAUCCGAUUUCCUAAUAGCCUUCAAUAAAUUACUAGGUGGGGACUCCAAACAAACUCAUGCAUGCAUAACGCAACAACGAUAAAACAAUUGCCAGCCCGAUGCGGCGUGGAUUUUCCGACGUGUGACAGUGAGGAUGACAUGUCCUUAGAUGCCUAUCAAGAAGAGGCACAUGCGCCAUCAACUGAUUUUGCCUCUUCCAGCGCGGUUUCCCAACGCAGAGGCGGCGUGCCUUCGCAGCGGAAUCAAUUCACCUACAAGUACGAGGCACAGUGGAAGGACGAUCUUUCAAUGUAAGUUUGUUAAGGUUUUAUUUUUUUUUCAAAAAAUUAUAACAUAAUUUUUGAACAACUAAUCAAUAUUCAUUAAUUUAAUUUAAUUUCAUGUUCACAAAAAUUAAGGGCGUCCAAGUAAUAUGAUCAACGUUUAAAUUGUAGAUGGAGAUUCCAUUAUUUCAAUGGAGUUACGUAUCUAGACAUCCUGAAUGGAUACCUCAAAUCGAUGCAUGGUUUGACAGAUUUUAUGUUGGUGUUAAUUUCUAAUUUCCAAAUGUAAUUUCUAAUAAAUUAUUAAUAUAAUUGUAAAUAAAUUAUUAUUUUUAUUUAAAAUUAAUUAUUUAUACACAGGACAAAUUCGACUGGUACAGUGUGCAUGACACUAUUGUGAGGAGGGUGCGGGAAAAUCACGCAACAACUAGGUAACAUCGAAAACAAUACAAGAUUUUUUUAGAAAAAAAUUUAUGUUUCAAAAUCUAAUUUCUUGUUGUGGAAGUAGGUUGCGUGAUUUUUGAUAGGAAGCACAAAAAAUGCAAAAAAGCUACGAGGGAUUUCAAACUAAUAUACAUCCCGGUAGAUAUAUGGCCGCACUAUCUUGAGCUCGUGAUGUCUGAGCGGUUCACACGAUGCUCACAGUCUGGUGCUGGCAACCGGAAUCGGCUAAUUCAUGGCUCGGUGACAAUGCACACUGGCGGCUCCGUUCCAUUUGUUGUAUUUGCGAAACGGUUGGUAAGAUUAAUUUAAAUGAAAUAUAUCAUUAAAUUAAUUUGUUGUUAAUUAAUUUGUUUCAUUAUAGGCUACGUCUCUUGGACAUGAGCCGAGCCCAAUGGAGUUGUUUGUUGAGACGCAUAUGCGGAGUCAAGAUCGUCAAAAGGGGGCACAAUAUUUCAUUGACAGUCGUGCUCAACACUUUGUGGUAUGUUUGUUCAACCAUUUUAUUUUGUAUGUUAUUAUUUUUAUUGAAUUGAAUAUGAUGAUUACUUUUUCAUUUUCAGAGAGACUUAUAAUAGCCGAUUGAGGGAGAGAUACAGGGACAAUCCUUCGACCCAUCUGGAUUUCGAUCCGGAUUUGUUUGAUGGAGGUUGGAUCAUCAAGUGGACCCGAUAAAAAUCAGGUGUACGGGCUCUCCACAUUACGGCCGAAACUUGCGGGCGGCCCGUAGUGUCUCAACCAUUGGGAGCUCCUAAUUAGUAUUGUGCAGAAUCUAAAGAGUUUGUGGCCUUGCAGCAACACAUGGCUUAGCUCACCAAAAAAUACAACCACCUAUAGGCAAGGUAUACACAACUCUCGGUGAAAUUAUGAACAACUUCGUCAAAUGGUCACGAACAUGGCAUCACAGAAUGGUGAUACAUGUGUGCCUCCUCCUUUUUGGCCGUAUAACAAUCAACCUCCUCCUUCAGCUCCACCAUUAUGUUAAUUUGUAAUGAAUAUUAUUUAACUUUAAUAGUUAAUUUAAUAUUUUUUUUGAAACACAUUCAUUUUGUAAUGAAUAUUAUUUAACUUUAUUUUUUUGUUUUUGAUGUUUAAUAAAAAAUUUAUUUGCAUAAUUGGUUUUUUUACUAUUAAUUUAUAUAAUUUUAUAUUAUAUAUUCUAAAUAUUUUUUAAAAAACAUAUUUAAAAAUAAUCAUAGAGGGUUUUACCAACGGACUGUAUCUGUCGGCAUUUGACAAAGAGCAGGAAAUGUCAAUCUUACGAAUGAAUUUACAGAUGGAAUACAUUUUUUGGCAUUUCACAGUAGUUGGGUGCAAAUUUCACAAUCAACAACGACUUGACCAAUGGAUAUCGUCUGUUGGUAUUUCACACACUCAUCGAAGGAAUACAUCCGUCGAUAUAUUUCAAGCCGGAUUUUUUUUUACGCGCAAUUUCCAUUUGUAAAACCAUUCGCAAUUGUUUUUUUUACCAAACGAUGUAGCGACUGAAUGAGGUAUUACCAAUGAAAAGAAAGCUGAAGGAAGAUUUCUGUAGGGAAUGUCGUUGGUAAAAAAAUUACCAACGAACUCGGAAUCAUAGACGGAUGGAAUAGUUCCGUCUGUAAAACUGUGAAAUCUUGUUGUGGGAAGUGGCAUAGUAAAGACAUCUGUCCUGCAGCCCAGACAUUGUUCAGUAUUCAGCCCAUAUCAUGAGUUUUAGAAGUCCAAAUGACCUCCAUUUUUUUUUUUCCUGGAAAGCUAAGUCAAUUUCCUACAACUUUAAUGUUUUCAAGUGGACCAAGUUCUGAUGAUAGAAAAUUUCAUUUUAUUCUGACAAUAAGAUAAGGAUUUUCACAAAGUCAAGAGUUGGCCACCCACUCAACAAUUAGUCAUCAUCAAUAAUUCCGAAUUUUGGCCUAUAAAAGGAGGCAUUUGCCAUGUAUUUAGGGCUUGGUUGUUCAGAUCAAGUUUGCUCUUUUCUCUCUUUAUAGUUUUUGUAAUUCUUAAGUUUUGCUUUCAUUAAUAUCUUGUUUAUGUUUUUCAUUUCCUUUCCUUUCCUUUCCUUAGUUAACUUGUAUCUUAUUUAUGUUCUUGUUCUGUUUAUUUAUGUUUCUCUUCUUCAUUAUGUUUAGCUAAGUUUAUUAUGUCAAGGUAAAAAGGUUACACUAAUGGUGUAAGAAUAAGUAUAGUGUAAACUCAACAUGAACCUUAAUGUUUAAUAUUAACAUGUCUUAUCUUUUUAUCUUACUAAUUCUUAAUACCUUGCUUGUUAAAUGGUUAAUCUAGAUUUGUGUUGUAUAACACUUGGUACAACAAAUGCUUGGCACUCUCAUAGCCCAACCGUAUGGUAUUACCUACACCUGUGCUAUGAAAGGAACUUGAUUUGUUGUUAACAUAAGUUAGCAUCAUGAAUUCCUGACAAUAUUUAAAAGUUUGGUGUUAUGUAAAUAAGAUAAUUAAUAUGAUCAUGUUAACAAUUUAUAAUGAGCUAUUAAUGACAAAUCAUCCGAUUGGAACCUCCUUCGUGUGUGGUUUCCAAAUUGAGUAAUAAGAGUUUAUACUAUACUUGUUUGAAAUACCAUUAGUGGAUCCUCUAACCUUGACAUUUUUUUUAUCAUUGUUUAAUCCUUACAUUAAUCUUCCAUCUCAAAGUUCUCAUUAAUUUCUUCUCCUCUUCUUUUUAUUAUUAUUAUUAUUAUUAUAUUAUUAUUCUUGUUAUAUUUUAUGUACGUUAAGUAUGCUCUGUGUUUGAUCAAGGAUCCUGAUAUUGUUGGUCUUGCCUUGUUCAUUCGCAUCAGAAAUCUGUUUAUAUUAUAUAAUAUAUCUCUUUGAUCUUUUCAUAAACUCAGUAUAUAGGCUGGAAACCUGUGACCCGAUCUUUUAGAUCAUUCUCAGGUAUAACAACGCCACGUACUGAGUAUUAUUAUUAUUAUUAUUAUUAUUAUUAUUAUUACUAUUAUAUUAUUAUUACUAUUACUAUUAUUGUUAUUAUUGUUGUUGUUAUUGUUGUUAUUAUUGUUGUUGUUGUUGUCUUGUUAUUUAUAAUUUAUACAAUUAACCUCUCUGUGGUUCGACCCUGGUCUUGCCGGGUUAUUUAUUACUUCGACACUCCUGCACUUGGGAGAAGACAUCAAUCUUUUGGUCGUGUCAAGUUUUUGGCGCCGUUGCCGGGGAGGUAAAUUCUUGUACAAAUUAUAGUAUUUAUUUUGUUUUCUCUUUUCACUUUUCUUGUAUCUAACUUUGUUUCUUUUUCUUUGUUUUCUUCUUCCUUUUAUUCUCUUUCUACACGUGCAUGAGUGUUUGGUCACGUACAUUAAGUGGUAGACUUUGUAGGGUAUCCUCAUCAUUUUCAGAAAAUAUGGCCGAAGAAGAUAACCAGUCACUUCAUAAUGAGAAUAAUGAGAAUAACCGUGUUAGGACACUUAGAGACCACAUGAAUCCCACAAGAACAAGUGCACCCUCAUGCAUAGUUUUCCCUCCUGAUGCAUCCCAUUUUAAUUUUAAGCCAGGCAUUAUUCAACUUUUACCUUCUUUUCAUGGCUUAGAUCUAGAAAAUCCAUACUUGCAUUUGAGAGAAUUUGAAGAAGUUUGUAACACCUAUAAUGACUUAAAUUGUAGCAUGAAUACCAUUAGAUUAAAGCUUUUUCCUUUUUCAUUAAAAGAUAAAGCUAAAACAUGGCUACAAAAUCUUAGGUCAGGAUCCAUUCGUGCUUGGGAUGAAAUGCAACAACAAUUUUUAAAGAAGUUUUUUCCAUCUCACAGAACCAACUCUUUCAAAAGACAAAUCACCACUUUCACCCAAAAACCAGAUGAAACAUUUUACCAAUGUUGGGAUAGGUAUCGAGACUUGCUUAAUACUUUGCCCGCAUCGUGAGAUCGGAAGAGCGGUUCAGCAGGAAUGCCGAGACCGAUCUCGUAUGCCGUCUUCUGCUUGCUGAGUCGGAGACACGCAGGGAUGAGAUGGCGGCCGCACUGACCCUAUAGUGAGUCGUAUUAAUUUCAAAUCAUACCAACAUGGUCAAAUAAAACGAAAGGCUCAGUCGAAAGACUGGGCCUUUCGUUUUAAUCUGAUCGGCACGUAAGAGGUUCCAACUUUCACCAUAAUGAAAUAAGAUCACUACCGGGCGUAUUUUUUGAGUUAUCGAGAUUUUCAGGAGCUAAGGAAGCUAAAAUGGAGAAAAAAAUCACUGGAUAUACCACCGUUGAUAUAUCCCAAUGGCAUCGUAAAGAACAUUUUGAGGCAUUUCAGUCAGUUGCUCAAUGCACCUAUAACCAGACCGUUCAGCUGGAUAUUACGGCCUUUUUAAAGACCGUAAAGAAAAAUAAGCACAAGUUUUAUCCGGCCUUUAUUCACAUUCUUGCCCGCCUGAUGAAUGCUCAUCCGGAAUUUCGUAUGGCAAUGAAAGACGGUGAGCUGGUGAUAUGGGAUAGUGUUCACCCUUGUUACACCGUUUUCCAUGAGCAAACUGAAACGUUUUCAUCGCUCUGGAGUGAAUACCACGACGAUUUCCGGCAGUUUCUACACAUAUAUUCGCAAGAUGUGGCGUGUUACGGUGAAAACCUGGCCUAUUUCCCUAAAGGGUUUAUUGAGAAUAUGUUUUUCGUCUCAGCCAAUCCCUGGGUGAGUUUCACCAGUUUUGAUUUAAACGUGGCCAAUAUGGACAACUUCUUCGCCCCCGUUUUCACCAUGGGCAAAUAUUAUACGCAAGGCGACAAGGUGCUGAUGCCGCUGGCGAUUCAGGUUCAUCAUGCCGUUUGUGAUGGCUUCCAUGUCGGCAGAAUGCUUAAUGAAUUACAACAAUACUGCGAUGAGUGGCAGGGCGGGGCGUAACCUACGUGACAGAAGUCAAAAGCCUCCGGUCGGAGGCUUUUGACUUUCUGCUUGAUCGGCCGCAUCGAAUAUAACUUCGUAUAAUGUAUGCUAUACGAAGUUAUUAGCGAUGAGCUCGGACUUCCAUUGUUCAUUCCACGGACAAAAACAGAGAAAGGAAACGACAGAGGCCAAAAAGCUCGCUUUUAGCACCUGUCGUUUCCUUUCUUUUCAGAGGGUAUUUUAAAUAAAAACAUUAAGUUAUGACGAAGAAGAACGGAAACGCCUUAAACCGGAAAAUUUUCAUAAAUAGCGAAAACCCGCGAGGUCGCCGCCCCGUAACCUGUCGGAUCACCGGAAAGGACCCGUAAAGUGAUAAUGAUUAUCAUCUACAUAUCACAACGCGCGUGGAGGCCAUCAAACCACGUCAAAUAAUCAAUUAUGACGCAGGUAUCGUAUUAAUUGAUCUGCAUCAACUUAACGUAAAAGCAACUUCAGACAAUACAAAUCAGCGACACUGAAUACGGGGCAACCUCAUGUCCGAGCUCGCGAGCUCGUCGACAGCGACACACUUGCAUCGGAUGCAGCCCGGUUAACGUGCCGGCACGGCCUGGGUAACCAGGUAUUUUGUCCACAUAACCGUGCGCAAAAUGUUGUGGAUAAGCAGGACACAGCAGCAAUCCACAGCAGGCAUACAACCGCACACCGAGGUUACUCCGUUCUACAGGUUACGACGACCAUGUCAAUACUUGCCCUUGACAGGCAUUGAUGGAAUCGUAGUCUCACGCUGAUAGUCUGAUCGACAAUACAAGUGGGACCGUGGUCCCAGACCGAUAAUCAGACCGACAACACGAGUGGGAUCGUGGUCCCAGACUAAUAAUCAGACCGACGAUACGAGUGGGACCGUGGUCCCAGACUAAUAAUCAGACCGACGAUACGAGUGGGACCGUGGUUCCAGACUAAUAAUCAGACCGACGAUACGAGUGGGACCGUGGUCCCAGACUAAUAAUCAGACCGACGAUACGAGUGGGACCAUGGUCCCAGACUAAUAAUCAGACCGACGAUACGAGUGGGACCGUGGUCCCAGUCUGAUUAUCAGACCGACGAUACGAGUGGGACCGUGGUCCCAGACUAAUAAUCAGACCGACGAUACGAGUGGGACCGUGGUCCCAGACUAAUAAUCAGACCGACGAUACGAGUGGGACCGUGGUCCCAGUCUGAUUAUCAGACCGACGAUACAAGUGGAACAGUGGGCCCAGAGAGAAUAUUCAGGCCAGUUAUGCUUUCUGGCCUGUAACAAAGGACAUUAAGUAAAGACAGAUAAACGUAGACUAAAACGUGGUCGCAUCAGGGUGCUGGCUUUUCAAGUUCCUUAAGAAUGGCCUCAAUUUUCUCUAUACACUCAGUUGGAACACGAGACCUGUCCAGGUUAAGCACCAUUUUAUCGCCCUUAUACAAUACUGUCGCUCCAGGAGCAAACUGAUGUCGUGAGCUUAAACUUGUUCUUGAUGCAGAUGACGUUUUAAGCACAGAAGUUAAAAGAGUGAUAACUUCUUCAGCUUCAAAUAUCACCCCAGCUUUUUUCUGCUCAUGAAGGUUAGAUGCCUGCUGCUUAAGUAAUUCCUCUUUAUCUGUAAAGGCUUUUUGAAGUGCAUCACCUGACCGGGCAGAUAGUUCACCGGGGUGAGAAAAAAGAGCAACAACUGAUUUAGGCAAUUUGGCGGUGUUGAUACAGCGGGUAAUAAUCUUACGUGAAAUAUUUUCCGCAUCAGCCAGCGCAGAAAUAUUUCCAGCAAAUUCAUUCUGCAAUCGGCUUGCAUAACGCUGACCACGUUCAUAAGCACUUGUUGGGCGAUAAUCGUUACCCAAUCUGGAUAAUGCAGCCAUCUGCUCAUCAUCCAGCUCGCCAACCAGAACACGAUAAUCACUUUCGGUAAGUGCAGCAGCUUUACGACGGCGACUCCCAUCGGCAAUUUCUAUGACACCAGAUACUCUUCGACCGAACGCCGGUGUCUGUUGACCAGUCAGUAGAAAAGAAGGGAUGAGAUCAUCCAGUGCGUCCUCAGUAAGCAGCUCUUGGUCACGUUCAUUACCUGACCAUACCCGAGAGGUCUUCUCAACACUAUCACCCCGGAGCACUUCAAGAGUAAACUUCACAUCCCGACCACAUACAGGCAAAGUAAUGGCAUUACCGCGAGCCAUUACUCCUACGCGCGCAAUUAACGAAUCCACCAUCGGGGCAGCUGGUGUCGAUAACGAAGUAUCUUCAACCGGUUGAGUAUUGAGCGUAUGUUUUGGAAUAACAGGCGCACGCUUCAUUAUCUAAUCUCCCAGCGUGGUUUAAUCAGACGAUCGAAAAUUUCAUUGCAGACAGGUUCCCAAAUAGAAAGAGCAUUUCUCCAGGCACCAGUUGAAGAGCGUUGAUCAAUGGCCUGUUCAAAAACAGUUCUCAUCCGGAUCUGACCUUUACCAACUUCAUCCGUUUCACGCACAACAUUUUUUAGAACCAUGCUUCCCCAGGCAUCCCGAAUUUGCUCCUCCAUCCACGGGGACUGAGAGCCAUUACUAUUGCUGUAUUUGGUAAGCAAAAUACGAACAUCAGGCUCGAACCCUUUAAGAUCAACGUUCUUGAGCAGAUCACGAAGCAUAUCGAAAAACUGCAGUGCGGAGGUGUAGUCAAACAACUCAGCAGGCGUGGGAACAAUCAGCACAUCAGCAGCACAUACGACAUUAAUCGUGCCGAUACCCAGGUUAGGCGCGCUGUCAAUAACUAUGACAUCAUAGUCAUGAGCAACAGUUUCAAUGGCCAGUCGGAGCAUCAGGUGUGGAUCGGUGGGCAGUUUACCUUCAUCAAAUUUGCCCAUUAACUCAGUUUCAAUACGGUGCAGAGCCAGACAGGAAGGAAUAAUGUCAAGCCCCGGCCAGCAAGUGGGCUUUAUUGCAUAAGUGACAUCGUCCUUUUCCCCAAGAUAGAAAGGCAGGAGAGUGUCUUCUGCAUGAAUAUGAAGAUCUGGAACCCAUCCGUGAUACAUUGAGGCUGUUCCCUGGGGGUCGUUACCUUCCACGAGCAAAACACGUAGCCCCUUCAGAGCCAAAUCCUGAGCAAGAUGAACAGAAACAGAGGUUUUGUAAACGCCUCCUUUAUGGGCAGCAACCCCGAUCACCGGUGGAAAUACGUCUUCAGCACGUCGCAAUCGCGUUCCAAACACAUCACGCAUAUGAUUAAUUUGUUCAAUUGUAUAACCAACACGUUGCUCAACCCGUCCUCGAAUUUCCAUAUCCGGGUGCGGUAGUCGCCCUGCUUUCUCGGCAUCUCUGAUAGCCUGAGAAGAAACCCCAACUAAAUCCGCUGCUUCACCUAUUCUCCAGCGCCGGGUUAUUUUCCUCGCUUCCGGGCUGUCAUCAUUAAACUGUGCAAUGGCGAUAGCCUUCGUCAUUUCAUGACCAGCGUUUAUGCACUGGUUAAGUGUUUCCAUGAGUUUCAUUCUGAACAUCCUUUAAUCAUUGCUUUGCGUUUUUUUAUUAAAUCUUGCAAUUUACUGCAAAGCAACAACAAAAUCGCAAAGUCAUCAAAAAACCGCAAAGUUGUUUAAAAUAAGAGCAACACUACAAAAGGAGAUAAGAAGAGCACAUACCUCAGUCACUUAUUAUCACUUGCGCUCGCCGCAGCCGUGUAACCGAGCAUAGCGAGCGAACUGGCGAGGAAGCAAAGAAGAACUGUUCUGUCAGAUAGCUCUUACGCUCAGCGCAAGAAGAAAUAUCCACCGUGGGAAAAACUCCAGGUAGAGGAACACACGCGGAUAGCCAAUUCAGAGUAAUAAACUGUGAUAAUCAACCCUCAUCAAUGAUGACGAACUAACCCCCGAUAUCAGGUCACAUGACGAAGGGAAAGAGAAGGAAAUCAACUGUGACAAACUGCCCUCAAAUUUGGCUUCCUUAAAAAUUACAGUUCAAAAAGUAUGAGAAAAUCCAUGCAGGCUGAAGGAAACAGCAAAACUGUGACAAAUUACCCUCAGUAGGUCAGAACAAAUGUGACGAACCACCCUCAAAUCUGUGACAGAUAACCCUCAGACUAUCCUGUCGUCAUGGAAGUGAUAUCGCGGAAGGAAAAUACGAUAUGAGUCGUCUGGCGGCCUUUCUUUUUCUCAAUGUAUGAGAGGCGCAUUGGAGUUCUGCUGUUGAUCUCAUUAACACAGACCUGCAGGAAGCGGCGGCGGAAGUCAGGCAUACGCUGGUAACUUUGAGGCAGCUGGUAACGCUCUAUGAUCCAGUCGAUUUCAGAGAGACGAUGCCUGAGCCAUCCGGCUUACGAUACUGACACAGGGAUUCGUAUAAACGCAUGGCAUACGGAUUGGUGAUUUCUUUUGUUUCACUAAGCCGAAACUGCGUAAACCGGUUCUGUAACCCGAUAAAGAAGGGAAUGAGAUAUGGGUUGAUAUGAACACUGUAAAGCCCUCUGGAUGGACUGUGCGCACGUUUGAUAAACCAAGGAAAAGAUUCAUAGCCUUUUUCAUCGCCGGCAUCCUCUUCAGGGCGAUAAAAAACCACUUCCUUCCCCGCGAAACUCUUCAAUGCCUGCCGUAUAUCCUUACUGGCUUCCGCAGAGGUCAAUCCGAAUAUUUCAGCAUAUUUAGCAACAUGGAUCUCGCAGAUACCGUCAUGUUCCUGUAGGGUGCCAUCAGAUUUUCUGAUCUGGUCAACGAACAGAUACAGCAUACGUUUUUGAUCCCGGGAGAGACUAUAUGCCGCCUCAGUGAGGUCGUUUGACUGGACGAUUCGCGGGCUAUUUUUACGUUUCUUGUGAUUGAUAACCGCUGUUUCCGCCAUGACAGAUCCAUGUGAAGUGUGACAAGUUUUUAGAUUGUCACACUAAAUAAAAAAGAGUCAAUAAGCAGGGAUAACUUUGUGAAAAAACAGCUUCUUCUGAGGGCAAUUUGUCACAGGGUUAAGGGCAAUUUGUCACAGACAGGACUGUCAUUUGAGGGUGAUUUGUCACACUGAAAGGGCAAUUUGUCACAACACCUUCUAUAGAACCAGCAUGGAUAAAGGCCUACAAGGCGCUCUAAAAAAGAAGAUCUAAAAACUAUAAAAAAAAUAAUUAUAAAAAUAUCCCCGUGGAUAAGUGGAUAACCCCAAGGGAAGUUUUUUCAGGCAUCGUGUGUAAGCAGAAUAUAUAAGUGCUGUUCCCUGGUGCUUCCUCGCUCACUCGACCGGGAGGGUUCGAGAAGGGGGGGCACCCCCCUUCGGCGUGCGCGGUCACGCGCACAGGGCGCAGCCCUGGUUAAAAACAAGGUUUAUAAAUAUUGGUUUAAAAGCAGGUUAAAAGACAGGUUAGCGGUGGCCGAAAAACGGGCGGAAACCCUUGCAAAUGCUGGAUUUUCUGCCUGUGGACAGCCCCUCAAAUGUCAAUAGGUGCGCCCCUCAUCUGUCAGCACUCUGCCCCUCAAGUGUCAAGGAUCGCGCCCCUCAUCUGUCAGUAGUCGCGCCCCUCAAGUGUCAAUACCGCAGGGCACUUAUCCCCAGGCUUGUCCACAUCAUCUGUGGGAAACUCGCGUAAAAUCAGGCGUUUUCGCCGAUUUGCGAGGCUGGCCAGCUCCACGUCGCCGGCCGAAAUCGAGCCUGCCCCUCAUCUGUCAACGCCGCGCCGGGUGAGUCGGCCCCUCAAGUGUCAACGUCCGCCCCUCAUCUGUCAGUGAGGGCCAAAGUUUUCCGCGAGGUAUCCACAACGCCGGCCGGCCGCGGUGUCUCGCACACGGCUUCGACGGCGUUUCUGGCGCGUUUGCAGGGCCAUAGACGGCCGCCAGCCCAGCGGCGAGGGCAACCAGCCGAGGGCUUCGCCCUGUCGCUCGACUGCGGCGAGCACUACUGGCUGUAAAAGGACAGACCACAUCAUGGUUCUGUGUUCAUUAGGUUGUUCUGUCCAUUGCUGACAUAAUCCGCUCCACUUCAACGUAACACCGCACGAAGAUUUCUAUUGUUCCUGAAGGCAUAUUCAAAUCGUUUUCGUUACCGCUUGCAGGCAUCAUGACAGAACACUACUUCCUAUAAACGCUACACAGGCUCCUGAGAUUAAUAAUGCGGAUCUCUACGAUAAUGGGAGAUUUUCCCGACUGUUUCGUUCGCUUCUCAGUGGAUAACAGCCAGCUUCUCUGUUUAACAGACAAAAACAGCAUAUCCACUCAGUUCCACAUUUCCAUAUAAAGGCCAAGGCAUUUAUUCUCAGGAUAAUUGUUUCAGCAUCGCAACCGCAUCAGACUCCGGCAUCGCAAACUGCAUCCGGUGCCGGGCAGCCACAUCCAGCGCAAAAACCUUCGUGUAGACUUCCGUUGAACUGAUGGACUUAUGUCCCAUCAGGCUUUGCAGAACUUUCAGCGGUAUACCGGCAUACAGCAUGUGCAUCGCAUAGGAAUGGCGGAACGUAUGUGGUGUGACCGGAACAGAGAACGUCACACCGUCAGCAGCAGCGGCGGCAACCGCCUCCCCAAUCCAGGUCAUGACCGUUCUGUCCGUCACUUCCCAGAUCCGCGCUUUCUCUGUCCUUCCUGUGCGACGGUUACGCCGCUCCAUGAGCUUAUCGGGUCCACUCGCGAACGCAGAAAGGCCCACCCGAAGGUGAGCCAGUGUGAUUACAUUUGCGGCCUAACUGUGGCCAGUCCAGUUACGCUGGAGUCAGUAGUAUUUAGGUGACACUAUAGAAGCGGCCGCCUAUCCCCUGUGUGCCUUGGCAGUCUCAGAAUGAUACGGCGACCACCGAGAUCUACACUCUUUCCCUACACGACGUUCCUCUACCUCCUGGUAAAAGUGUUGUUGGUUGUCGUUGGGUGUUUAAGAUCAAGACUAAUUUUGAUGGGUCUAUUGAGCGAUAAAAAGCUAGGUUGAUUGCAAAAUGAUACUCUCAACAGUAUGGUAUGGAUUUUGAGGAGACAUUUGCCCCUGUUGCAAAAAUGACUAUUAUUUGUACUCUUAUUGUUGUAGCUUAGGUUCAUCAAUGGCAUAUCGCACAACUUGAUGUUAAAAAUGCCUUCUUAAAUUGAGAUCUUCAAGAAGAAAUUUAUAUGGCACCUCCUCUUAGUGUUUCACAUGACUCUGAGUAUGUUUGUAAGCUCAAGAAAGCGUUAUAUGGUCUCAAACAAGCACCUUGGCUUGAGAAAUUUUCUGUUGUGAUCUCAUCUCUUGGAUUUGUUUCUAGUGGUCAUGAUUCUGCCCUUUUUAUUAAGUGCACUGAUUUCGAUCAUAUCAUUCUAUCUUUAUAUGUUGAUGACAUGAUUAUUACUGGUGAUGGUAUUGAUGGUAUCUCAGUUUUGAAGACAGAGCUAGCUAGACAGUUUGAAAUGAAGGAUUUGGGUUCUCUUCGAUAUUUCCUAGGUAUUGAGGUAGCUUACCCACCUAGGUUACCUUUUUUCUCAAUUGAAACAUGUUGCAGAUAUUCUUAAGCAGGCUAGACUUACUGAUAACAAGACUAUAGACAAUCACAUUAAAGUUAAUGCAAGGUACUCUUCUUCUGAUGGUUUACCUUUGGUGGAUCCUACUUUAUACCAUAUUAUUGUUGGGAGCUUGGUAUAUCUCACCAUUACUUGUCUAGAUAUUGUAUAUGUUGUUCAUGUUGUUAGUUAGUUUGUUUUCUCUCCUACUACUGUUCACUGGGCAACUAUUCCUCGUAUUUUGUAAUAUCUUCAGUGUACAGUUUUUCAGAGUCUUUUCCUUUCAUCCACCUCUUCCUUAGAGUUGCAUGCAUACUCUGAUGCUGAUCAUGGUAGUGAUCCCACAUAUCGCAAAUUUAUUACCGAGUUUUGUAUCUUUUUAAGUGAUUUUUUUAUUUCUUGUUUCUUGGAAGAGCAAGAAAUAAUCUAUUGUUUCUCAAUCAUCCACCGAAGCAGGAUAUCGUGCCAUGACAUCUACUACGAAAGAGAUUGUUUAGUUAUAUUGGUUACUUGUUGAUAUAUAAGUUUUAUUUUCUCAUCCUACUCCUAUAUAUUAUGACAACUAGAGUUCUAUUUAGAUUGCUCAUAACUCGGUUUUUCAUGAGCGAACUAAGCACAUUGAGAUUGAUUGUCAUCUUACUCGUUAUCAUCUCAAGCAUGACACCAUUACUUUUCCUUUUGUUUAUUCUUCCUUGGACAUUGCAGAUUUCUUUACCAGGACGCAUUCCAUUUCUCAUUUUCAUUUUUUAGUUGGCAAGCUCUUAAUGUUUGUAGUUGUCGCAUCGUGAGUUUGAAAGGAGAUGUUAAAUAACAUUUAUUUAGCCUUAUUUAUUAAGGGUAGAAUAGUAUUUUCAGUUUAACCUAUAUAUAAUUUUUUUAUAUUUAGGUUAACUCUAAGCACUCAUAAUAAACUGAUUAUUAAGAAUUAUAGUUUUCUUUUUUUGUUUGAUCUGAAUUAUUUUAACAAUAAUAUGUAAUUAACAUAUACAUGGUGCAUGGAUACUUACUGUUACGCUGAAUUAAAAAAUCAGAUCUAUAAGGUAUUGUAAACAAAUUAGAUUGAAAAAAACAGGUGGCUUACAACAGAACACGCUUACACUAUGCACUAGAUAGCUAGAUCUCCACUCUAUAAAUAGGCCUGGUUCGUUCUUCUUCAAACCACUCUUCCCUAGCUACACACUUCUUCGUUCUAUAUUUAUUGUUUCUGUUUCCUUCUUUCAUUUUACUUGUCAAUGGAAAGUGGGCUUAAGGCAUUGUGGGUGCUGUCCGCGGUGUUGCUGGUGUCAAACUGGCAACACUGGACUUAUGGAAAGGCCGUACCUCAAGUUCCUUGCUACUUCGUCUUUGGAGAUUCUCUCUUUGAUAACGGAAACAAUAACUACCUUGACAAAUCAGCUAAAGUUAAUUACCUUCCUUAUGGGAUAGACUUUGAUACUGGGGCUACAGGAAGGUGCAGCAAUGGUCUCAACAUAGCUGACACCAUUGGUCUGCAGUUUUCUCUCCUCUCUUAUAAUACAAAAUAUAGUGUUUUAGUUUUCUUUAACAUAUAAAAUAAAUAUGUUCUCACUAGAUAGUUGUGAUCGUUUUAUUAAAUUACAAUUAGAUAUCCUGCUAAGUCUGGUACUAAUGUUUUUGUUGCUGAAAUUUACAUAAUUUAUUAGAAGGAUGAUUAGGUUUGUUCUUUUGUUUCUUGUAUACCUUGAAACAUAAAUUUACAACGGUCUGAACAUAACCGAGUUUAGUAAUGUGGGCAGUUAUGAUCUUAAUUAUUAUUCUUUUGUUUCAGCUGAGCAAUUAGGUUUCGACAGUUACAUUACGGAUUUUGGUGUCGGAGGUUGCACUAAUUUUCUAGAUGGUGUAAAUUAUGGAUCAAAUGGAGCUGGCAUCCUUAAUUCUACUGGCUCUCUUGCGGUGAUUACUGAUCAUAUGCCUCUCAUAACUAAAACCUUGUAUUAUUCCGUAUGAAUUUUGCGUAAUCUUGUAUGCUUUGGCAACGCUACUAUUCAUAUGUUUCUUUUGUGUAUGUGAAGGGAGAACUAUUUACAAUGGAUGCUCAGUUAUUUAAUCACAAUAUCACGGUUUCACGAAUUUCCAAGAUCUUGGGAAGCGAGGAAGUUGCUAGGAAGUACUUGAGCCAAUGCAUCUAUGUGUCUGAUAUGGGUCAUAACGACUACCUCAACAAUUAUUUCAAGGAAGAGUACAACAGCAGCAAGCAAUAUACUCCUCAAAAAUUUGCUGAACUUCUUAUUAAAACUUAUGAAACUCAGCUGGAGGUUAGCCCUACUAAUGUCUCUUGUAAAACAACAAUUAAUGUUUGACACGAUUGGAAACUAACAAAGACCCCACUUCAUUCCGUUUUUUUUCCCUUGCUGCCAGAAACUGUAUUGCUCAGGAGCAAGAAAGAUAGCUGUGUUCGGACUUAUUCGGGUAGGAUGUAUGCCGCACAACAGACAAAACCAUCCCAAUGACGUAGAUGCAUCUUCUUUAUGUGUAGAAAAGUUCAACAGUGAUGUUCAAAUUUUCAACGGCAUGCUUCAAGAACUGCUAAAUAAUCUUAAUGAAAAGCAUGCUGAUGCUGUGUUUACCUACAUAAACUCUUAUGAAAUUGAUUCUGAUGAUCAGACAAAUACAGGUACGAAUCCCCUCCCUCCCUUGCUCUCUCUCUCUCACGGCUGAAGACGACUUUUUUGUGAGACCAAAAUUAUUUUUUCUUGCUUGCAGGUUUUACACAUACCCGUAAGAGCUGUUGCGAGGUAGCAUAUGGUUCAGUCCCAUGUACAUCUCUCUCCGUGCCAUGUAGCAACAGGAGUGACUAUGUGUACUGGGACGGAGCCCAUUUUACUGAAGCUAAAGCUAGGGCCUUUGGAGAAAGAGCAUAUAAAAGUCUGUCACAAAAGCAUGCUCAUCCAUAUGAUAUUAGCGAACUAGCUAAGCUGAAGCUUGAUGAUUCUGAUGCUUACAAUAUCAACCAUGCCCAGCUCUGAUGGAGAAGAUGAUUGUCCAAUAAGUUCUUAGAGAAUAAAAUAUUGUGACUGUAAGAACAAUGGAAAGACAUAUCUACUGUCUUUUCAUAGCCUUUCACAAUAUAAUUCCAAUAAAAUUUGCCUUUAGGCAUUAGCCUCAAGGAGCAAUAAUAAUUACUUAAUUCCUUAAUCAUUUGGAUAUCAUUACUUAAACUCUAUUCAUAGAAGGAUUUAUUCUUAAAGUAUGGAAGUCGAUUCGGAGAUACUCUUGCCAUUAAAAUCGAAAAAAGGAUACAUCCGUACGUUCAUAAACCAAAACAACUUUACUUCUAUAUUUAUAUCUGCGAAAUCUCAUAUGUGGACAUGAUAGGCUAAAAGAUCAUGGCCUCUGCUGCUAGUUUAUCUUUCUGUGACUCACUUCGGCCUUAUUUUAACUAAAGUCUCAACAAAUUGCUAUACUGAUAACACAAAAUCAAGGUUUCCAACUUGAUGUGAAUUCGAUCACAACAAAUUUCUAAACUGAUUGUGUGCUGCAUGACUUUGAUAUAUUUUAUGCUCUUCUUAACUCCUUUUCCUCAUGAUUUUUUUAAAAAACUAUGCUUGAUUAUACUGGUAGUGAGACGAGAGGAAUUCAAUCCUAACACAAAGAUCCGAGUGUAUAAAUUAAAACCUUUUUUUUUUAAUUUAGAACUCUUUUAGCUUUAUAUAUGAUGUUUUUACUAUUAUAUAAACAACCAAACCAAAGAGAGUUGCGAUAUUCAGUAUUGAUCAUCAAAAUAUUGAGUAAUAAAAAAUAAAAUUUGUUUUCUUAUAGUAAAGAUUAAUUUUUUUAUAUAUAAAAUUCUAUAUAGAUAUAUAUAUAUAUAUAUAUGAUUGCUAUAUUUUUUGUGUUUUUUUUAUUUGCGUCAAACUGUUACCAUUAUGGGAUAUAAUAUAUUUUGGAGGCGCAAAAUAAAACUAUAACAUGAUAAACAUGAAUGUUUAAAUAGUAAUUUACCACAAAAAAUUACUCCACUAUGAUACUAUAUAUAACGUAUCAAAAAAACAAUUAAUGAUAAUCUAAUUAAUUAAUAAAAUGGGGAAAAUAGCCAGCAAGGAAGUGGCUUCAGAUUACACAGUCUGCUAAAUCAGGAUGACAGCCGAACUUCCAUGAGACUGGGAUUAUGAUAAUUGUCACCAAGGCCAUCUUCCAUUACUUCCCAGAUUACUUCCCAGUUGGCUUUUCAUUUCCAGUUCUAACCCUAGAAUCAGGGCUCAGAUGGUUUUUGCCUAGAACGCAAAAAGCAAUCAGACUGACAGACCCCAUCUUGCUACUCUAAUUUUCAUUUGUUUGCCUUUAAUGAUGUAAAUACUUGCUAGUAUCUCAGAAGUCCAUUGUUAUAAUAUACUUACUGAAAGUUUGCGCUACGGAUGCUUAUCUCCAAAUUAAGUUCUCUCGAUUGCAAGAACUUUCACCUCAUUUGAAUCUAUAGUACUAGAUAAGGAUGAAAAAAUGUAUGAGAAGUGAGUAAAGAUGAGCAGCAGCCAGUAAGAUGGUGGCCAAGACUGCAAAUGGAAAAGCAAUCUAUGGUCAAUUUAUAUAAUCAGAAUCUCUACCUGUUAGAACAUACACCUGCAAAAAUCUUGUGACAGCAAGAGAGACACAACAGAAACAAUACUCUAGACCUAGAAAUUAAACAGGGAAUAAAAAUCAAGUAUGCCAUUCUUUAAGCUCCUCUCUCCUGUUCUCAAUUUCCUGGAGUAGCUUUGCUAGGCCAUCUGCCAGUACAUUUCUAAUAACCAUAAAAUAUAUAUGUUUUUUACACUAUAUUUUUUUAAUGUAUUUUAAAUUUAUUUAAGCUUAUUAAAAAUUAUUUUUAUAAUAUUAAUACAUAUAAGAAACUUUAUAAAUUAAAUACUAAAAAAUAAAAAUUUCAACAUUUUAUAUCUUAAUCCUUACUUCUUGUCAAGGAUAAUAUAUAAUAUAAACUCAAAUCAUAAAAUAUAAUCAUUAAGUAAAAUAUCAUCGGCAGCUGGUCCAACCUCAACACCAUUGUUCCCAGACUCUUCAAACCAAAUCACCCAAACCCGAAACCAACAAGCCAUAAACCCGACUUUAUUGGUAACCCAAUUAGCCUCCUCCACUGUUACCGAGCAAGACCCAUCUCUUUCCUAGUGUUGACUGUUGAAACGGCUAGAAAAGAAAAAAAAAACCACAAUCAAGAAAUAGAUCGGUGGAUAAAACAAAAGAAAUAAAUAAAACGAAUUGCGUUUGUUGAUUUCAUUUUCUUGCAAUUCACGAUGAGAGCCACUACUAGCAUGAGAAGAAGGAGAUGAAAGAGAAGAUCCUGAUCCACCUAAUUUUUCAAUCAGACGAUCAAACGGCACGUGAAACCACGCGUCUCCUCUGUGUCUCUAUUUCUAUCACCUUGUAGCAAUCUCCCCAAGCUAUCAUCAGCCUCAGGAAGGUUUAUUUUGGAAUCCAGAAUAUUUAUUUAUUUAUUUAUGAUUUAUGUUUAAUUACAAUGAUAUGUAAAUAUUUGUAAAUAUAUUGGUGUGAGUUAAUUACUAAAAAGAUUGGGUGUGUGUUUGUAUUUUUCUUAUAUGUUCUUGAAUCUAUUAAGUUGCCUACAUGAAUCUUUUUUAUAAAAUUUAUUUGGAUACACAAGAUCAAUAGUAAAUUCUUUGACAUAAAUAAAUUUUAAUGCUAAAUAAUAGAUAUACUAUUAGUUAAAAACUUAUCAAAAUUUUUAAAUCACAUAAUAUAGCUUAUUUUAAAUAGAAUGCAUUAGAAAUACUAAUACAUUCUCACAACCAGUUUCUUGUACUUUAAAUUUUUUAUUAUGGAUUUUCUAACAACCUCAACCAAAUAAUUAGAUGGCGAGUCCGAUGAACUCUCAACACGUAGGGCUAGGAAAUCCCUUCUCUCUCUUUUUCCAAACUGUUAAUUAGAUUAUAUUUAACAAAAGCUAUUGCCAGCACUUUUAUGAAUGAUUAUUAGAAGGGGCCGAUGCUGUCGCUUUUCUUUGGGCACCCAUUUUUUGCUAAUUCAUAAUUGGACACUAUGUUUCUUCCCUUUUUCACAGAAAAUAGACAGCAAAGUUGAUUAAUAAAUAGAUCAAUGGAACACAUAGCAAGCUAUAACACCAUGCAAAUGUAACAACAGUGAAGGCAGAAUGCAGAGCUCAAAGCCAUCUGUAGCAGGUAAACGUGGUCAGUUUUCCCCUGAUGAGAAAAUCAAAUCCAGUGUUGGCAUGGAAAAUGGCAGCCAGGUAUAUUUCGCAGGUUUAAAGGCGGCAAUUCCACUACUUCACAUGUGAAAGAGCAUCAGUUUGAGUGAGGAAAAGCAAUCUGCAGCUUACUACUCUCAUUUAUGAAGAUGUAUAUUGGAAGACUAAUAACACGUUCCUCAUGACUAAUUUGCUUUCUUCCAUGAAGGUUGAUGGCUGUCAAUUUCAUGGGCGUGUUCCUUUGGCAGGCAGUCACGCUGUGCCUCCGAAAAAGCACACUAUUGACUCGUUGAAAACCAAUCCUGUGAAACUGUUCAUUAUCUUCUUUAAUAUUGGCCCAGUCCCUCCAUUUUGCUUUUCUUACAACAAAAUCUUGAGUUUGUAUAAAGGGAAACAAGAUUAGUAUAUAUCUAUUAGGGGGAAAAAAUAGAGAGGGAGAGGGGAAAAAGGAAAAGCCUAGAGAGCCAAAGAGUAGGCUGAAGAGGAUAAUAGCUGUGCUGACAAAAUUUAUUCAACACCAACACCAUAUAAAAAAUGCAUUAGCCCUCUGAAUUGAACGUCUAUAAAUAGACAAGAAAGAGGAUAAUAGGUGGCUGACAAAAUUUCUGCACCCUCAAAAAACUUGCAGAUGCAUUAUUUAAGAAAAAAUUGAGACAAAGGUUUUUCCUUGAACACCUUCAUAUUUUUAAACCUGAAUGAAUGGCUACAACUCCCCCAACGAGAUUCUCAUACUCAACCUUCUGAAAUCCUGCAUCUGCAAUCAUCGAAGCAAAUUUCUCUUGCAUUCAUCACUUGCAAUAAGUCAUUAAGUAUACCAGACAAAGGUACACACACAAUUAAACCCAGGUUAUCAGCGAGCACAUGCAAUAUAAGCUCCUAGAUAGUCCAUUGUCCUCAUGCCUCCCUCCCCUCUCUCCUCUCUCAGCUAAGGUAAUUUAAUUCCAAUCAGUUAACUCACAGGGAUUCACACAUAGGGUUCAAAUUUAUCAGUUGCAGAUUACUGAGCAGAAAAUAUCUUUCAAAGUGCACAACUAAUGAAUCUAAUAUAAGGCUUACAUUUUCUUCAAAUGAUACUUUAUAUAGUCUAAUUAGAGGGGGGGGGGGAAAAUAUAUAUAUAUAUAGUUAGAUGCACUGUUUCAGAUAAAAAUACAUGCCGAUAACACAUUACUGGCAGUUCAAUGUAAUAAAUAUGAGUUGAUUCUUUUCUUUUUUUUAGCAAAAUGAAUUUUAUAACCUUGAGCCAUGUACAAUGAUCAUUAAAACACUCUUGCAUGCCAUAUUAAAAUCACAUUCUAUCUUGUGCAUAUUCACAUUUGGAAUAUGCAAAAAGCAAUAAUCCAUGUAACCAUGUAAGGUUGCUAUAAAAAUAUCUAGUUUCCACAUUCAAGGAUAAGGCGUUCACUUGCAUACACAAAAUACACCAGUUGUUUUAAUUUUUAUUUUAUGUCUUAUUUUCAGAAAAAGGCUCCGCUGAAGUAUGUAUUGGGAAUAUAGAAAACUUCAAUUCCUUGAUUGAGUUAUAGCAGUAUAUGUAACAUCCAGGGUUCUACAAAGGCAGCACACUAUAGUGUGGACUCAAUUUCUUAGCUUCUAAGAUACUUUGGCAAAAUUGUGGUAAUAUUUGCAAAAGUACAUAGGACAAAAUUAUGACCUGUGGAGGAAAACGACGUAUGCUCUCAACUAAGUACUGAUAAGAAUCCCGAUCACCUGCAACUAGCUCUCCCACAGCUGGAAUGACUGAGAAUGAAUAGUAAUCAUAUCUGCAAGAAAAAGGAACAUUCUUGAAACAGGAUAGAUGAUGCAGUGUUCUGAAAAAUAUGGGGAAAAAAAACAAAUUGAAGUGGAAAGAAAGCUAAGCUUCACUAAGAUUAGCUGGGACAGUAGAAGUCAUCUGCAAUCCAUAGAAUAAAGCUUGAGCAGUGAGCAUAUAUCUUUUUCUUGCUACAAACAAUCAUAAAGUCUUCCAUGUGAGUGCUUUCCACAUGCCAGAGCAUGCAAGGAUUGAAAACUAAUCAACAAAAUUUCAACCACUCAAAUUCAAAUGAAACAGCAAGAUCUUCUUAACAAUUCAAAGUUCAUGUAAUUAGUAAAAGCUAAUUUAUUUCAGGAUCUACAUGCUAUUGUUGUUUUGUUUGUAUUACAACAUCAGCAUAAUGUUAAUCUGGUUCAAUCACAGUAUUUGCCACUUUUUGUACUUCGUCUUGCAACAUCUACAGAACACUAAUCUCCGUAGCCAUGAUGUUUUGACCAUAUUUUAUUAAAGUUCAUCAUCUUCUCAAUCAACAUUAUGCUCCCAGGUAACAAUCUGUUUGCACCCUAGUGGGAUUAAUUGGUUAGGAAACAACAAUUGUAUGUAGACCAACAGCAGGUAUGUAGUGCACAGAAAAAUCAAUUAGAGACAAUAAAAUAAAUCAAUCUACUCUUUAUAAACUUUAGAUUCAUAAUCAAUACAAAUAUAAACUCCUAUAAUAAUAUGAAUAUAGAAAAAUGAAUCCAGAACUCCAACGAGAAAGGUGGGUUAUGGGAGCAUGUGACUUGUAUUAUUGAAUUCGGGUUAGAACUAAGAUGUAAUAUUUCUCUGUCAAUCUCACUUCAUCACACCAAGGCCUUUGUCUCUAUGAUUGACUAUUUUCUAUGGAAAGGAAGAGGCUGGAUAGUUAAUAUUCAAUAAAGAUGAAGAAACCAUGUUAUAGAGCCGGGUAAAUUAGUAAACACCCUAGGUAUGGUGAACUUAUCAUUACAACUCAAAACUUUGAAGAUUUGCAAAAUAUAUAUAUAUUAAGCAUGAUAUUCUAAAUGGAUUUAAAAAUACUACUUUGACAGUAACAAUAUUUUGGGCAUAAAAGAGGGUUUUUAUCUUAUUUACUUGAACAUGGAGGGGGGAUUUUGUCAAAACUUCAAACUUUUGGGUGGUGGCUAUAGUUUCACCACACCUCAUGGGAGUUAUUGUAAUUUAUCCUUUUUGAUUUAAUUUGUAAAAAAACAUUUCACCACCUAUACACUACCAGAAAGGAAAGACUAGCCACUUCUGGCAUAAUUUAUUGACUUGUCAAUUUAUUAAAAUUGAGAAAAAAUUAAACACAGGAAAAAGGAUAUUUUUUGUUGAAAUAAUGCCUAAAACUGAUACUACAAGAAAUGCUAACAUUUAUCCUUUAAUGUAUGUAAGAAGGUGUACUCACAAUUCUUUAAACACAGGAACUUCAACGUGGCUCAGUUCAAGGCAAAGAAAUCUUCCUCCGUGUUUUAAUACCCUAAUAAAAUAACAGAUGAAGAUUGCAUGAAACAUUAAUGUAUAUAACACAAGCUGGAAAAUUUCUGAAGAAAGAAAGGGGACCUUAUAACAGAAGAAUAGCCUGCUGAUCAUACAUAUCGAAAGAGAAGACAUUUACUAAUUGAAUGGAAAACACAUAACAACUAGCACAAAUACACCAUAGUUUAGACUGAAAUAAGACAUUUUGUUUUAAUAAAUUCAUAGUCAUCAUCUAAACGAUUUUCUUGUUAGCUUCAUAUCUUUUAAAAACUCUCCAUGCAGUCGUUGGGUCUCAUAAAAUUUAAACCUAAUAUUUAACUUUCUCACUACCUAAUUCCACUUCUAAUUGUCCUUAUUUCAAAUUCAACAGAAAACAUUUAAUGCAAGUACCUAAUUUGGAGCAAACAAGGUCAACUCUCUAAGUGGAAAACAAAAAUUACCUAGGAACCUCUACCCUCUCAAAAUUUAAGCUGGUAGUGGAUUCAGAUCCCCUUUACUCAGACACUGAUGAAGGUCUUAUCCACAGUAGCACCAUGAUAACUUAAGUAACUUUCUAGACAUAUUGAUCUUGAUAAUAUGCAUGUUCAGUGCUAUUUUUGCAAUUGUAACCAACAAAUGUCAUUGUUAUAUGCAUUUUCUUUGGAGAAAAUAUGUUAUAAACAUUGAUUUUAGAAGAUAAAGGCUACAUUUCCUUUAAUUCAUAACAGUCCAUCGGAUCCUCUAAUUAGAUAAGCCAUCCUUAAAAGCCUGUAACAGAGUAACCUGAUAUCGCAUCAGUAGUGGUGAAAUGAUUAUUUGUCAUGGUUUAGUUUUACAACCUUAAUGAGAGGAUUGUUAGCUUGCUAUUUAUAAUUUAUGUCAAGAGGGUCUAAUAUAAUUUGGGUGAAUAUGUCAACAGCAAGCCACAAAAUUAUGAGUAUAGGUCAUGAGCAUACCUAUACGCUUCAGCAAGAACUUUCUCUAUGUGUGUAACAUUCCUAAUUCCAAAUGCUAUUGUGUAGCCAUCCAUGGUCUUAUCUCCAAAACUCAAGGCUUCAGCAUCUCCUUCCACCCAUAUGAGGGAUUUGUCUUCUCCAAGACCUGCAAGCGUCAAUUAAAAAAAAAGGAAAGAAAACCAUCACUCAUCGAGAAAUCGACAUUAAUAAACUGUAAUUAGACCAUCCAUGAAUUUCACUCAAGUCCUAAUCAUUCCUGAUUCAUACCUCUCUCUAUAGCCCGUUUUCUGCCAACAUUUAACAUGUUUGGGUUUAUGUCACACACAUGUAUCUGUGUUUCUUCCUGUAAAUGAUCAUUAAUGGGAUCUUGAUUUGCUCUACGCUUGAUACUACUUAUACCAUCCAGAAUCCUGAAAGCAACAUCUCCUGCAAUUAAGAAUUCCAAACUCAAGAUCUUAUAACUCAUAAAAACUAUGAGAUAACAAUGAAAAAACAACAAGAAUAAGAAGAUACCAAUCAUCAAUUUUAGCUGAACAAUUUGCUAGAUAGAAGUAGAGCGUGCAUAUUUAAAAGGUGGAUGUAAAGGUUAUAUGAAGAGGGUUUUCCAAGGAUUUAAUACUAGCAAAACUGAGACCAAAGGAAGACUUGGCAUUUUGGUUUCUAGAUUUGUAUGGAUAGAAUCUGAAUCAACUUGAGAUGAAAUGACGAACUUUAAGGGCUCUGGAGACAUUAUGUAAAUUUGCAGCAGAACCAGUUAGCCACUUGCUUUUACACCAUAGUUGAACAAGAGAUUUGCGCAAGCAAGUCUUCUCACUAUUAGUAUUCUUUUGGGUGCUAUGCAAAGGAAAGAGAUGUAUGGGCUCUGGAGACAUUAUCCUUGUAAAUCAGAUGGUUGUUUUUACACAUGGCCACAUGGUGUGGCUUCACCUCCCGAUUUCUAUCCAUUAAAGCUUUUCUAAUCAAAUAAAGUGCUUUUAUUUUCUUUAUAACAUGUCAUAGUUUUAUAUCAGUACUCACCUGUUCCCCCAGCCACAUCAAGAUGCUUCAUUCCAGGAAAUGGAUUCAGCAUAGAAACCAGUCUAGAAAGCAUCAUAGAAAAGUAGCUAAUGUCACCAUGAACCCAAAGUGAAGUAUAAAACAUAACAAGCAAUCAUUAAAAAAUGCAUCCUCAACGUAUUCUGACCUGUCCUUCCAUAACCUAUGUAAUCCACCACUCAUUAAAUCAUUCAUGAGAUCAUAAUUUGAGGCAACACUGCUGAAAACAUUACCAACCAGUUGACUUUUUUCUUCUUCUCGAACAUGUUUGAAUCCUGAAAUGAUUUUUUAAGAAUGUCUAACGUGUGGUUAAGAGGGUUCGUUCAGGAUGUUCAAUUUAACGAGACAAAUCAAAAUGAAAACAAACAAUUAGUAGUUCAAAGAAGGCAGACUAAAAAAGACACACAAGAAGAAGAGGAAUCAUUAAUUACUCAAGAACCUACCAAAGCUAGUGGCAUGUGAAUGCAGUGGAGAAGUGGAAGACAGCAUGGGCAAGAAUUUGCUCCCCAGCUUCCUGCUAACCAAUUUCAGCGCCAUGUCUGCCACCCAGACCGAGCCACACACACAACAUCAAUAAAUAUAUAUAAGAAAAAAAAAAUCAAAUUCGUUCUUAGGAUCAUGGAGCCCAGUUGGAUAAUGUGUCAAAUACGCAAUGGUCAGAAUGCUCUAGCUAUAAAAUUAAAUCGCAUUUGAGAAAAUUAAACUAAGAAAAGAAAGGCAAAAUGAAAGACAGAAAAAAAUAAAAGAAAGCAAAGGGGUAAAACAAAAUCUUUGCCCUCCAGAUUUCAUAAUUAUUUCUCUCAAAUCUCUAUCCAAAUUGGGUUAAAGAAGAAAGAGGAUGAAGAGAAGACAGUAUAAAUUACGUUCAUUCAUCAUACCUUAAUUCAACAGUGAUUUCUGUACCUACUAAUUUACAAACUUCUUCUUCUAUUUCUUUGCUGAUGAUCUCUUUGGUUGUUUUUUGGGCUCAAAGUUAAAACUGUGAAGGCAGUGGUGUUUCGUUUCGUCUCGAAGAAAGUGUUUUCAGAAUUCAAAAUUAAGGUGUUAGGUGAAUUUUUAAAGUAUUGUUUUUUUUUUUUUUGAAAAUAUAUUAAAAUAAAUGUUUUUAUAUUUUUUAAUUUUAAUAUUAAGAUAUUAAAAUUAUUUAAAAAUAUUAAUUUAAUGUUAUUUCAUGCCAAACACAUUUUUGAAAGAUACCUAACCAUAAUUUUCCAUAUACUAAAGUUAUAUGUUGUUAUAAAACUCAAUCUUAUUUAACUUAAUUUAAAGUUUGAUUUAUGAGUUGAGAAGGUUUGUAAUCAAAGAUUUGAAUUAAAAAAUAUAUAUAUUUAUAACAAUUAUAUUAUAAAAUACUAUAAAAGGUAUAGAAAAAGUAUUGUAGCUUUCCCCACGUUUUUUAACUUUAUUCAUUAUUAUAAUUAUAUUAUUAUUAUUAUUAUAUUAUAAAAUAUCUUAAAAAGUACUGUAGCUAUCUUCUUCUUCUUUUUUUAUUUUUUUUUUAAUUUAGUUUGUUAAUGCUAAAUUUGUUUUAUUUAGUUAUCAGACUUUCAUGACACGGAUCUCGGGUUUAAUGAGUUUACCUGGUUUGACGAGUUAACCUGGAAUUGUUUUUCUUUUUAAUUAAUUUUUUUUAUUUAGUUUAGUUUGUUAAUGUUAAAUUUCUUUAUAUUUAAUUAUCAGAUUUUCAUAACACGUAUCCCGAACUUGACGGGUUUACUUGGUUUAACGGGCUAACCCCCAAUUAAUUCUGGGUAAACGUCAAUUUUAUUUUUUCUAUUUAGUUAUCAAACUUUCAUGACGUGGAUCCCAAGUUUGACGGGUUAACUGGUAUGAAGGGUUAAUCCAGUUAAUUUAUAUUUUUUUUCAUUAGUUUUUUUCUUCCUAUUAGUUUUUUUUCUUUGGUUUUUUUUUUUAAUUAAUCUAUUUAAUUAUCAUAUUUUUAUGACACGACCUUAGCAUACCCACAUCUAAUGCUCUUGGGUCCGGUGUUGCAGCUAGACUCACUUAAACUUAAGUCAUGUAAGUUUAAUAUUAUUAUUAAUAUUAUAAAUAUUACUCUUGGGUCAAGCGUUGCAGCUAAACCCAAGACUCUUGGGUAUAACUUUGCAAAAAGACCCAACAAUUUUAAUUUUUAAUUUUUAAUUUUUUUUUAAUAUUUUAUGUUAAAAAAAAUUAACCUACGACAUCGCGCAUGUCAUGUAAUUAGUAAAACACUAAAAGAUGUGAAUUCUUAAUUGUGCAAACAUCAUUAUUCAUCAUCUCAUAUUUUAUUGUUCAAAAUUUUAGGAAUCAAAUUUAAGAGUGAUUAAAUCAAAUGUUUAGCUCUGUUAUCUUUGGUUAUUAAAUUGUUUUUUUUUCUUUUUAAUUUGAUUCUCAUAAGUUAAGUUGUCAUGUUUUGUUUUGGAUUUAUUUUGAUGUACAUGCUCUAUCACCAAUCUUAGUACUCUACUAAGCAAUUUCAUAAUUUUCUCUCCUUAUAGCCACAAGCAAUGUCUGCCUCUUUUUUUAUAGGUCAGUUGCCUCAUAACUCCUCAGGUAUGCCACAUUCUAAAUGGGUCUUGGAUUUUGGUGCUUCCCAUCAUAUGUCUCCAGAUUCUUCAUCUUUUACCCAUGUGUCCCUUUCAUCCUUCAUUCCUGUUAUGACUGCCAAUGGCAUUCUCAUGCCCUUAGUAGGUGUUGGUUUUGUUGUCACACCUUACUUGUCUCUCCCUAAUAUUUAUUUUAUUUCAAAACUCAAAUUAAAUCUUGCUUAUAUUGGUCAAAUAUAUGAUUCUAGUGAUUAUUUAGUCAUAUUUUUUUGGUUCUUUUUAUCGUGUACAGGAUCUGCAGUGUCAAAAUAUGAUUGGAACAAGCCGCAGGGAGAAUGGACUACAUAUUUUGAAUGAGUUAAAAGUGUCAGUUGUCAUUGCUACUACUACUACUAGUAUUGAUUUCUCUUCCUUUCGUUUGAGUCAUUCAUCUUCUAGUUUUUAUUUAUGGCAUUCUUGUCUAGGUCAUGUUUCGUCUUCUCGUUUAAUAUUUUUGGCAUUCACAGGAGCUUUAGGAAAUUUAAAAACUUAUGAUAUUUCUGAUUGUAAUGGAUGUAAACUGGCAAAAUUUUCCGCUUUACCUUUUAAUCGAAGUAUUUCUAUUUCUUCUUCACCAUUUGAUUUGAUUCAUUAUGAUGUAUGGGGACCUUCUCCUAUUUCCACAAAAAGACAGUCUCGAUAUUAUGUUUCAUUUAUUGAUGAUCAUACUCAUUAUUGUUAGGUUUAUCUAAUGAAACAUCGUUUUGAUUUCUAUGAGAUAUAUACAGCCUUUUGAGCGCUUAUUAAAACUCAACAUUCUAUUAUAAUCAAAUGCUUUAGGUGUGAUUUGGGUGGAGAAUAAACUCUUAAUAAAUUUUAUCAAUUGCUUUCCUUAGAUGGAAACCAUUCACAAAACUUCAUGUACAUAUACUCGUAAGCAAAAUGAUGUUGCUGAAAGAAAACAUAGGCAUAUUGUCGAAACUGCUCGUUCUCUCUUGUUGUCUGCUUCUGUUCCUAAUGAGUUUUGGGGAGAAGUUGUCCUUACUUCUGUAAGUUCGAUUAAUACAAUCUCAUCUUCUCAUAGUUCAAGUUUGUCUCCUUUUGAAAAGUUAUAUGGGCAUGUCCCUGAUUAUACCUCCUUUAGAGUUUUUUAUUGUACUUAUUUCGUUCUUUGUCCUCAUGCAGAAUGUAGUAAGUUGUUCUCUUGUUCUGCUAUUUAUGUCUUUUUGGGUUAUGGUGAAGGUAAAAAGAGGUAUCGUUGUUUUGAUCCAAUAACUCAAAAAUUUUAUGUGUCUCGUCAUGUUGUCUUUCUCGAGCAUAUACCUUUAUUUUAUAUUCCAUCCACUACUUAUAACUUGACUAGACUUGAUAUUAUUCAUAUCAAUCCUUUUUUAAAGGAUUUUGAUAAUAUAUCAUCACAGGUUCCUAGUACCUCAAAUACCAUUUCUCAUGUUCGACCAAUUUGUACUCAUCAUCCUACAAGUACUGACACUUUACUCUCUGGCACACCUGAAUCUCCAUUCUCAUCUACAACCCCCCAAGCUUAAUAUGAGAUUGUGGAUCCACCUCUACUACUUCAAUUCAUACGCAUUCGUAUAUAAACCCCAAGUUGAAAUUAAUUAGAAAAAAAAUCAAUAUUUAUGGAGCAAGAUUAAAAUAAGUAAAAAAAAAACUAGGAAGUCAAUCUAACUAUUAAAGUGUGGGAAUGAAAAAAAUUACAAGAUAGAGGAAGUAAAGUGUAUAAAACGAGAGGAAGAAAUUCUAGGAAUUAAUAAGACAAUAGCCAAACAAAGCCAAGUCCUAAUUAGAAAGGGGUAUAAAUACAUGUGAGAGAGUAAGAUGGAGACUUUUCUUCUCCAUAAAAGCUAGCGGAAACCGUAAAGAACAACUCUUCCCCAUUUUAAUUUCAAAACAGAAAUACUUUGUAUAUUCCCCUUACCUAGCGCAAGAGUGAAAGAAGAAUAAUUGUAAGGUGAAAAAUCAAGAAUUUGAAGUAGAGAAAGAGAGAUGGAACCGGCUGAAACAAAAAAUAAAAAGAGAAGAAGGAAAAUUGAAAGGGAGGAGAAUAAUAUCACCCAAGUACUCCCUCAAAAUGCUUCCAAAUUCGUGAGGUAAGAGUAAUCCUUUACUCUUGGAACUUGUCAUCGGAGGUGUUAGGUUGUAUGAGAAGAAAGCCCCAAAUGAAGUGAUUUAGGAUGCUUGAAUUUAAUUAGGGUAAAUGAAAAAUCAAUGCAAAUUCAUACUCUAGAGCAUAAAUAGUUUAGGAACACAACAUUUUUAACUAGGAUUGAUGAAGGUUGGAGUUGUUAGGAAACCCUUACCAUUCAACCAAAAGAAAAACAAAUAUAAGGGAAUGGGGAGUCUCCAAUGGUAUUAUACUAAUAUAAUGAUGAUGAAGUGUGCAGUAACUGAAAUUAUUAUUAUUUUUUUACUUUUUUUCAUAUCUCUUGAUUAGCACUUAUAUGAUUUAUGUUGGAGCUUAAAGUUGUAUGAAUCAUGUUAUAAUGAAAAUCAAAUAUAAAAAGAAGAAGAAGAAGAAAGAUUUGAUGUCUUGAUAAGGAAUGAGCUUCAAUUGCUAGUUCCUAAUAGAGUUUAAACGUAAUGGAAUCCUAUAAUGAUGAAAAUAUGCAUAGAAAAUGUUUGAUUAGUGUUUAAAUCCAUGAAUUCAAAUCUUGGCAAUUUGAUGAUGGAAAUACCAACACAAAUUGGACAUAGAAGAUGAUAGAAAUUGCUAUAAUGUUUAUAUGAAAGAUGUAGAGGAAUGAGUUAGCUAACAUUUGGCACUGGUCUUGCCUCAAUUGGAGUUGUAUAACUCUAGAUAUGGGCAAAAUACCAUCAAGAGGUCAAACUAUCUGUAACAGGACAAUUUGGUUCUCAUAAUUAAAACUACUGUUAGAUAUAGAAGAUGAUAGAAAUUGUUGUAACAUUUUAUAUGAAAGAUGUAGAGGAAUGAGUUAGCUAACAUUUGGCACUAGUAUUGCCUCAAGUGGAGUUGUUUUACUCUAGAUAUGGGCAAAAUACCAUUAAGAGGUCAAAUUGUCCGUAACAGGACAAUUUUGGUUCUCAGAAUUAAAACUAUUGUUAGACAUAGAAGAUGAUAGAAAUUGUUGUAACGUUUUAUAAACAAGUUUUAGAGAAAUGAUUUAGCUAACAUUGGGACCUAGUCUUGCCUCAAUUGGUGUCAUAACCCAAUUUUGGGUUAUUCCCCAAAUUUCACUUUUUUUGAAAAUAAAAAAUCAAAAAAUAAAAUAAAGGCCGGCAAUGUGGAGAAAGCCGAUAAAAAAGACUGCAAAAAUCGAAGGUCAAAUUAAAUGCAAAUUCGAAGGUCAAAUUAAAUGAUUAUUGGAUGAAUUUGCAUAAAAUUUAAGUCCAAUGACACAAAAAUUGAGGGACCAAUUUGGAAACCCGAAAAAAUGUUUUGCCUAUAAAUAGCAGCUUUUAACUCAAAGUUAAGGGGGGGUCAUUUUGUAAGGGGGUAAUUUUGACAACAUUAGAAAAAAAUACAAAAAAAAACCUAAACCUAAACCCUUUUUUCAAGAGCAGCCGCUCCCCCCACGUUUUUUGUUUUUCCUCUCCGAGCAGCCGCCACCCCCUUUGGCCUGCGAUUUUUUGCUCCUGAAACAGCCCCUUUGCCUUGACAAAAGCAAGCCAGCCAGCUGCUAUUUCCCUUCCCAAAAAAUCCAAUAGGUCGCCGCUCUCCCUUCUCUUUGACAGCACAGAUUAGCCGGCCACUCAUCCCUCCCCCUGAUUUUUGCAAAACGAAACAGAGGGCACAAGACAGCCCCUGAUUCUCUUCCUCAGAACCAUUUCCAGCGGCCGGCCCUAUCUUCUCCCAAUUUUUCCAACACUGUAGCCGCAGCCCCCUACUCCUUUUUGGAAAGGAAAAAAACGGAGAACCAAAGACUUCACCCCUUAUUUUUCUCCCUCACCGAUCUGCCAUCCUCCAGCUCCCAGAACCAGAGCCCCAUUUCCAUCUUCUCUAAAAACGAACCAGAACUGGCCGCUACCCCCAUUUACUUAUCUCCCUCUCACGGACAAGCUCUCUUCCUCGGCUAACAGACCCAGCUCUCUCUCCCUUAACCUUUCCACAGCCGGUGACAGAUAAGUAAUACCAGAACCCAACGCAGUUCCUAUGCCUCUCCGCCCCCAGCUGGAAUUUCUUCACCUUCAACCCACAGACCAGCGGCUAGGCCAGCAUCACCAAACAGCCCCAUCUCCACCGAUCAGAGAACGGGCAGAGCCGUUCUCCAUUUCUGCAGACCCACGGUCUCCUUCGGAUAGCAGGUUUUUCCUCCAUAGUCCCAGCCAUUUCCAGCCACACCCAGCUCACUGCCUCCAGCAGUCUUCGUCAUCUCCUUCGGCGCCGUCUCCAGCUCCUCCACCAAACACAGCGGCGGCCCCGCCGUCUUCUUGUCCCCUCAGAGCCGACCGCCGCCUGGGGAAACGAAAAGAACAGAUCUGUAAUGAGCAGAUCCGAAAUGGGCAGAAGAAAAAAAAUUUAAAAACAGAUCUGAAACAAAAAAACUAAAAUCAACUGCUUUGUUUGUGUUUUUUUGUGUGUUUGCAGGUGACCGGACCCUCACCGCCGGCUGAAAAUUGAAGAGGAGAAGAAGCCGCUCCAGGCGCCUUUGUUUUUUCUGGUUUCCAGCAGCGGCGCGUGAACCCACGCGCCGCCAGUGACGGUGGUGCGUGGAUCCACGCGCCGGCACUGUUCAUGCAGCCCCCAGAAGUCCUUCCCUGCAAUUCCUGGAGUGUUGGGGGACUAUUUUGUAAAUUUUAAGUUAUUUAAUGUAAUUUUUAUUUAGUUUUUGAAUUUGCAUUUUUGUAAAUGUGAAUGUAAAAGAAAAAAAGAAGAAAAGAAAAUAAUAAAAAAAAAGAGUGUGUGUGUUGGUGUUCUUUUGUUAUUUUAUGUCAUUGAAUUGUAAAAAAUAAAAAAAAAUAAAAAGAAAAAUGUUUUUAAUAUUUUAAUGCACAAAUUCUAAGGAUGGAUAAAAUCAUGUUGUAUUUUCCAUGAAAAUGUAAGAACAUGUUUCUACAUAUAUUCUGGGAAUUUAUAACUGAUGUAUCGUAGCUUUAGAAGUGGGCUAAAAUUCUAUUUUAAAAAUUACAUUAAGCUCACGAAGCUUGAAUGUGGUGUGUGUAUUUUGUUUACAAAUUUUUUAUGAUAAAAUUGCAAGAACAAAGAAGGAUUUAAUAUUUUGAUCGGAUCAAAGGUGUAGAAGUACAAACUUGUACGGAAGUUGUAUUUCUAAAUUCCGAUGAAAAGACAAAAUUUUAAAACUUCUUUAACACAUCAAGUCCACGGAGCAGCUUACCUCAGGUAGGGUGCGUUAGGGGUGCUAAUACCUUCCCUAACCACAAUCAGUUCCUUACCCACGAAUCUCUUACCAUGACCAGUCCACCAGGGUUUCCUAGUAACCUCAAUUAAAUACUAGGUGGCGACUCCUAACAAACCAAUUUAAGCAAUACAACAACGAGACAUAAAAUCGUCAGCCGAUGCCGCGCGCGGGAUUUUUUCGACGUGCGACAAUUGGAAUUAUAGAACUUCAUAUAUAGGCAAACUACCAUUUAGUGGACAAGCUGUUUGUAACAUGACAGAUUUCACUACCUGACUUCAACUAAUUUUAAAAUAGCUGAACAAUAGAAUUUUGGGCAACCUCAUAUAAGAAAGUUGUACUUAAGGAUGUUAAAUUUCACUAGGAUUUGGCCCUAUAUGAAUCGAAGCUCUAGAACUCCAUUUAGAGACUAAAAAUUACAGACUGGUCAAGUUGUAAAUUAAAGGUAAGACAAAUUUACAUGUGUGUAGAAGACGAGUGAUUUUGGGCACGCUAUUGAUUCAUGUUGAAAUUAAUUCUUCCGAAUCAUGGGAGAUGUAUAUGUCAACAUUCAAAACAAACAUAUAAAAAGGUCUAGACGGAAAUAGAUGCUGAAAUUUUGUUGACAGUCAUAGAUACUGAAAGCUCGUUGAUGCAAAACUGAGUCGUGCGAACACUUCAACGUGAUAUACUAACUCCAAAGAAAUACACUUGAUAUGUAUAUGUACAUUACGAUGAGGAAAUGAACAUGCAUAGAUAGUAACAUAUGUAUAAUGAAUGAAUAUAGAUUGUCUAUAACAUUUAGCUUGAAGGAAUCAUGACCAAAGACUUCUUUGUGAAUCAAGAGGAGCGAUCGACCAGGAUUGGAUCUUCUAUUGGAGGAAGUCAAGAGGCAAGCGAAGCAGGUGCAUGGUUUCCCUCUCCUUAAUGCUUAUGCAAUUUAAAAUCUCCUUAAUGAAUGCAAUUACAAUAAUAUUAUGUUCAAAAUAAAUAAAGUAUGGUGUGUUAAUGACACAUUAGCUUCGGCUAAUGGCAUCCAUGAUAGGGAUAUCGAGAAAUGAAAUACAACAUUAGCUUCAGCUAAUGGCAUCCGUGAUAGGGAUGCCGGGAAAUUAAUUAUAAAGAUAGCUUUUGCUAAUGGCAUCCGUGAUAGGGAUGCCGGGAAAUUAAUUAUAAAGAUAGCUUUUGCUAAUGGCAUCCACGUUAAGACACCUGGAAAUGAUCAAUAAGGCUUGAUUUGUAAAGGGUAUCCAUAUUUGGAUGACCUAUAAAAUUUGAUAAGUAUAAUUGCCUAAAAAUAUAUAGGUUGGACUAUGCAAGGUUGAAGAUCUAAUAAAACCAAUUAAUCAAAGUUACUAGGUUCAUGUAAGAAGAUAAGAGAAAUAAAUUAAGAAUAUAACAAUAUGGAUUGUUACACGUGAGUCUAUAAAACUACCAGAUUUUGUUUAUUCUUGUUAUUCUUUAUCAUUUACUUUCUUUUUAGCUUUUGUUCAUUGUCUCUCUGAGCCAUCUUCCUAUAAAGAGGCAAUUCUUGAUCCUCUUUGGCAGCAAGCUAUGGAUGAGGAACUUUCUGCUUUGCAUAAGACAGAUACUUGGGAUUGGUUCCUCUACCUCUUGGUAAAAGUGUUGUUGGGUGUAUAAGAUCAAGACUAAUUCUGAUGGGUCUACUGGGCGAUAAAAAGCUAGGUUGAUUGGAAAAGGAUACUCUCAACAGUAUGGUAUGGAUUUUGAGGAGACAUUUGCCCCUGUUACAAAAAUGACUAUUAUUCGUACUCUUAUUGUUGUAGCUUCAGUUUGUUGAUGGCAUAUCUCACAACUUGAUGCUAAAAAUGCCUUCUUGAAUUGAGAUCUUUAAGAAGAAAUUUAUAUGGCGCCUCCUCCUAGUGUUUCACAUGACUCUGGGUAUGUUUGUAAGCUCAAGAAAGCGUUAUAUGGUCUCAAACAAGCACCUUGGCUUGAGAAAUUUUUUGUUGUGAUCUCAUCUCUUGGAUUUGUUUCUGGUAGUCAUGAUUCUGCUCUUUUUAUUAAGUGCACUGAUGUCGGUCAUAUCAUUCUAUCUUUAUAUGUAGAUGACAUGAUUAUUAUUGGUGAUGACAUUGACGGUGUCUCAGUUUUGAAGACAGAGCUGGCUAGAUAGUUUGUAAUGAAGGAUUUGGGUUCUCUUCGAUAUUUCCUGAUUAUUGAGGUAGCUUACUCACCUAGAGGUUAUCUUCUUUCUCAAUUGAAAUAUGUUGCAAAUAUUCUUGAGCGGGCUAGACUUACUGAUAACAAGACUAUAAACACUCUUAUUGAAGUUAAAGCAAGGUACUCUUUUUCUGAUGGUUUACCUUUGGUAGAUCCUACUUUAUACAAUAUUAUUGUUGGGAGCUUGGUAUAUCUCACCAUUACUCGUCUAGAUAUUGCAUAUGUUAUUCAUGUUGUUAGUCAGUUUGUUGUUCGAAAAAUUCUGCAUGAAAACAACUCCUUGUCAAACCUUCCUUCACAUAGCCUCAUCCCCAAACCCGAAUUGAACACUUGGGGGCAUAAUCAAGCUAGGGGGCAAUAAAGAAACAUAUGAUAGGGGUGGCUCCAUGAUUCCCAUUCUAAGAAAAUGUCGAGCAAAAUUGGCAACCCUUGAGAUAAAGGGGCGGAGGACAAAGAAGUUUGAUGAUAUCAAGUCUUUCGUAGAGGUCAAAAUCACAAGAGAUGACUCGAGUAAGCAGGAGCGAAAAAGCCAUCGAAGUUCACUGCCAACACUCCAACUUUUGAGAAAAGAAACACACCUUGAAGAAAUGGGGACCUAUAUUUCAAAUCAGGUAAGGAUGCAUGCAUAUCAUCUAACCUAAAAAAAAAAAAAUAUUUGCACAUAUUUUUGAAUUGUUAUAGGAAAAUCCUUAAUGAGGUCUAACAAGAUGGUGGAAAAAGAAAGAAGCAUUGUGGUAAUGAAAUAAAUAAUCGGUUUUGAUCAUGGAAUAAAAGGACGAUGGGAUGAACCCUACCAUUAGGAAAAUCCCAAAGAAAUGAAUAGAUCAACCUUGCAAUCGGGAAGCCUCGAGUUUUCAACUCUUGCAGUCAGGAAACACCGAGUUUUCAAAUCCUAUGAUCGGGAAUUAUCAGGAAGCACCAAGUUUUCCAGCCCUGCUUCUGUCAUCCCCUCAAAGACUUCGCCAGGUAAGUCCUAUUUUUCACACUUGUCAUAUCACAUUUUUUCCAUUUGGGUAGGUCACCCAUCACAACGAGACCGCUUUUUCAUAUUCUUUCCAUCUGGGUAGGUCACCCAUCAUAAUAAGACCGUUUUUUCAUAUUCUUUCCAUCUGGGUAGGUCACCCAUUACAAUGAGACCACACUUCAUAUUCUUUCCAUCUAGGUAGGUCACCCAUCAUAAUAAGACCGUUUUUCACAUUUUUUUUUUCCAUUUGGGUAGGUCACCCAUUACAAUGAGACCACACUUCACAUUCUUUCCAUCGGGGUAGGUCACCCAUCAUAAUAAGACCGCACUUCAUAUUUUUUCCAUCUGGGUAGGUCACCCAUUACAAUGAGACCGCACUUCAUAUUUUUUCCAUCUGGGUAGGUCACCCAUUACAAUGAGACCGCACUUCAUAUUUUUUCCAUUGGGUAGGUCACCCAUUACAAUGAGACCGCACUUCACAUUUUUUUCAUUUUGGGUAGGUCACCCAUCACAACGAGACCGUUUUUCAUAUUCUUUCCACAUGGGUAGGUCACCCAUUACAAUGAGACUACACUUCAUAUUUUUUCCACUCGGGUAGGUCACCCAUCACAAUGAGGCCAUCAUUUUUUCUGGGUAGGUCACCCAUUAGAAUGAGACCAUUCUCCAUUUUUUUUUACCUGGGUAGGUCACCCAUAAUAAUGAGGUCAUUCUUCCCCCUGGGUAGGUCACCCAUAAGAAUGAGACCACUCUUCCCCCUUUCCACUCGGGUAGGUCACCCAUCACAAUGAGGCCAUCACUUUUUUUCUGGGUAGGUCACCCGUUAGAAUGAGACCAUUCUCCAUUUUAUUUUUACCUGGCUAGGUCACCCAUAAUAAUAAGGCCAUUCUUCCCCCUGGGUAGGUCACCCAUUACAAUGAGACCACUCUUCCCCCUUUCCACUUGGGUAGGUCACCCAUCACAAUGAGGCCAUCAUUUUUUUUCUGGGUAGGUCACCCGUUAGAAUGAGACCAUUCUCCAUCUUUUUUUUACCUGGGUAGGUCACCCAUAAUAAUGAGGCCAUUCUUCCCCCUGGGUAGGUCACCCAUAAGAAUGAGACCACUCUUCCUCCUUUCCACUCGGGUAAGUCACCCAUCACAAUGAGGCCAUCAUUUUUUUUUUGGUAGGUCACCCAUUAGAAUGAGACCAUUCUCCAUCUUUUUUUUACCUGGGUAGGUCACCCAUAAUAAUGAGGCCAUUCUUCCCCCUGGGUAGGUCACCCAUAAGAAUGAGACCACUCUUCCUCUUUUCCACUUGGGUAGGUCACCCAUCGCAAUAAGACCAUUUUUCCUGGGUAGGUCACCCAUUACAAUGAGACCACUUGUUACACAUUCUUUUGUUUUGGUUAAAUGAGGUCGCCAGAUGGGAUCUCAGGUAGGUUUGGUUAAAGGGAAUCGCUAGAUGGGAUUUCAGGUUGACUGAGCUACACACAUUUUUUAGUUCCAGUUGAAUGAGGUCGCCAGAUGGGAUCUCAUGUAGCUUUGGUUAAAGGGAAUCGCCAGAUGGGAUUUCAGGUUGACCGAGCUACAACAUUCUUUGGUUUUAGUAUAGGAGAUCGCCAGAUGGCAUCUCAGGUUAACGAAAAGAGAGAGAGAAAAAAAGAUAAAGAGAGAGAAAGAAAGAAAGAAAGACAAGAAAAAAAUAAGGUCUUAUUCAACAGUGUUAAAAAGACAAGCAAACAAGUUUUUCUUUACAAAGCUUACUAUGUAAAACAUUGAGGAGUUUUGCUUCGUAAGCAUUGUAAAGAGGGGGCAUCUGUUGCUACCCAAUUUUUGACCCAUGUUUUGAUAUAUUUUCAAAUAAAUCCAAAAAUAGAGAAAAACAAUGAAAAUCCAAAAAAAUAUGUUUUUUAAUAUUCUCGUCAUUUUAGCAUUUUCAACGUCGUCUAGAAAAGAAUUUAAAUUUUUAAGGUCUUUCGAAUGCGUUCGACUUUUCACGCGUCAUUUUUUAAAAUCAUUGAUUUUCCUCAUCGAGUUGAUGUUGAUAUUGCUCAUUUUCAAAAAAUACAAAAAAUAUAGAAAAAUCAAAUUUAAAUUAAAGGGGGGGAAAUUUGAUAAAGGUAGCAAUAUUUCUACCUAUAAAUACUGGUUUCCUCAACACACUCAAGGGGGGGAAUUUUGCAAUUAAAGGGGAGGCAACACCAAAGAGAAAAAACCUAGAAAAGGCUUAGCUUUCUUCUCCCUCACCCGGGAGCAGCCGCCGCUCACCCCCCAUCCAAACAGAGACCAGACCCGACCAUUCCUUCCCCUGUCAUCUCACGCUCAACCCUCUCUCCCAAAACCAGAGCAGCCACCCAAACACCCCCCGAAUUUUGUUCUUCUUCCUCUUCUCCGAUAGGCUUGCCAACGGCCACAACCCGAAGCCACACAUAGCUUCCCCUCACAAAUAAACCUCCAGCCUUCCACCAUCUCCUUCUCACUUCCCCAUCACCCAAAAAGACCAAGCGGCCAUCUCUGCUCUCCCUCUUCUAAGCCGACAACACAGACGCCUCCACCACCAGCCAGCCACCACAGCCUUCCUAUCAGCAACGACUGCUUCCCCUUCGGUUUCCUCUCCCAGCGGCGGCCGAACAGCAGCGCCGGGGCAACACUUUCAUCACUCCUCCAAGCCAUCAACAACGCCUUCUUCUCCCUCAGCAGACGACCAACAACAACGGCGAAGCAGCACCGACAGACCAGCCGCCUCCCUAUCUUCCCCGAUCUCUUCCUCUCCAUCAACACCGGAGAUUCCUCCAGUAGCAACCAACACACGGCGCCCACAAAAUCACCUCCAGAACUGCCCCGCAGUGGCCACCGCAGCCGGCCAUCACUGGAUCUGCAACCAACGAAGGAAGAGAAACAGAUCUACAAAACAAAAACAGAUCUAAAAAUGAAACAAACAAACUAAAAUCAACUGCCUGUGUUGUUUUCAGGUGCUUUGCAGGUCGCCGCCAGUGUUGGGAGACUGAGAAGAAGAAGUCGAUCCCGAUCCCCCCUGUCUCUGGAGUUUCUUGCGGCGGCGCGUGGAGUAGACGCGCCCGCUGUUUGCUGCCCCAGAAGCCUUCCGCCUAUGUUCCCGUGCACUGUUCCUGCAUAUUCUAGAAGCCUUAGGAUGUGUUGGGGCUAUUCUGUAAUUUUAAAUGGUUUUUGAUGUAAUAUUUUUAUUUAGCAUUGAUUUUUAUUAUUUUUAUUGUGGAUGUAAAAGAAAAGGAAAAGAAAAGAAACAAAAAUAGUGAAAGUGUAUGGGUGUACUUGUAUUUGUUUUAUCAAUUGUUUUAUUUUUUUAUGAUAAAAUUGCAAAGAUUAAAGAAGAAUUUAAUAUUUUGAUUGGAUCACGGUCAAGAAUUAUUAACUUAUACGUAAGUUAUAUUCUAAUAUCCGAUAAAAGACAAAAUUUUAAAACUUCUUUAACACGUCAAAUUCGCGAAGCAGCUUACCUCAGGUAGGGUGCGUUAGGGGUGCUAAUACCUUCCCUAACCACAACCACUCCCUUACCCGCGAAUCUCUGACAAGACCAGUGUAUCCGAUUUCCUAAUAGCCUUCAAUAAAUUACUAGGUGGCGACUCCAAACAAACUCAUGCAUGCAUAACGCAACAACGAUAAAAAAUUGCCAGCCCGAUGCGGCGUGGAUUUUCCGACGUGUGACAGUGAGGAUGACAUGUCCUUAGAUGCCUAUCAAGAAGAGGCACAUGCGCCAUCAACUGAUUUUGCCUCUUCCAGCGCGGUUUCCCAACGCAGAGGCGGCGUGCCUUCGCAGCGGAAUCAAUUCACCUACAAGUACGAGGCACAGUGGAAGGACGAUCUUUCAAUGUAAGUUUGUUAAGGUUUUAUUUUUUUUUCAAAAAAUUAUAACAUAAUUUAUGAACAACUAAUCAAUAUUUCAUUAAUUUAAUUUAAUUUCAUGUUCACAAAAAUUAAGGGCGUCCAAGUAAUAUGAUCAACGUUUAAAUUGUAGAUGGAGAUUCCAUUAUUUCAAUGGAGUUACGUAUCUAGACAUCCUGAAUGGAUACCUCAAAUCGAUGCAUGGUUUGACAGAUUUUAUGUUGGUGUUAAUUUCUAAUUUCCAAUGUAUUUCUAAUAAAUUAUUAAUAUAAUUGUAAAUAAAUUAUUAUUUUUAUUUAAAAUUAAUUAUUUAUACACAGGACAAAUUCGACUGGUACAGUGUGCAUGACACUAUUGUGAGGAGGGUGCGGGAAAAUCACGCAACAACUAGGUAACAUCGAAAACAAUACAAGAUUUUUUUAGAAAAAAAUUUAUGUUUCAAAAUCUAAUUUCUUGUUGUGGAAGUAGGUUGCGUGAUUUUUGAUAGGAAGCACAAAAAAUGCAAAAAAAGCUACGAGGGAUUUCAAACUAAUAUACAUCCCGGUAGAUAUAUGGCCGAACUAUCUUGAGCUCGUGAUGUCUGAGCGGUUCACACGAUGCUCACAGUCUGGUGCUGGCAACCGGAAUCGGCUAAUUCAUGGCUCGGUGACAAUGCACACUGGCGGCUCCGUUCCAUUUGCUGUAUUUGCGAAACGGUUGGUAAGAUUAAUUUAAAUGAAAUAUAUCAUUAAAUUAAGUUGUUGUUAAUUAAUUUGUUUCAUUAUAGGCUACGUCUCUUGGACAUGAGCCGAGCCCAAUGGAGUUGUUUGUUGAGACGCAUAUGCGGAGUCAAGAUCGUCAAAAGGGGGCACAAUAUUUCAUUGACAGUCGUGCUCAACACUUUGUGGUAUGUUUGUUCAACCAUUUUAUUUUGUAUGUUAUUAUUUUUAUUGAAUUGAAUAUGAUGAUUACUUUUUCAUUUUCAGGAGACUUAUAAUAGCCGAUUGAGGGAGAGAUACAGGGACAAUCCUUCGACCCAUCUGGAUUUCGAUCCGGAUUUGUUGAUGGAGGUUGGAUCAUCUAGUGGACCCGAUAAAAAUCAGGUGUACGGGCUCUCCAACAUUACGGCCGAAAACUUGCGGGCGGCCCGUAGUGUCUCAACCAUUGGGAGCUCCUAAUUAGUAUUGUGCAGCCAAUCUAAAGAGUUUGUGGCCUUGCAGCAACACAUGGCUUAGCUCACCAAAAAAUACAACCACCUAUAGGCAAGGUAUACACAACUCUCGGUGAAAUUAUGAACAACUUCGUCAAAUGGUCACGAACAUGACAUCACAUAAUGGUGAUACAUGUGUGCCUCCUCCUUUUUGGCCGUAUAACAAUCAACCUCCUCCUUCAGCUCCACCAUUAUGUUAAUUUGUAAUGAAUAUUAUUUAACUUUAAUAGUUAAUUUAAUAUAUUUUUUAAACACAUUCAAUUUGUAAUGAAUAUUAUUUAACUUUAAUAGUUAAUUUAAUAUUUUUUUUGAAACACAUUCAUUUUGUAAUGAAUAUUAUUUAACUUUAUUUUUUUGUUUUUGAUGUUUAAUAAAAAAUUUAUCUGCAUAAUUGGUUUUUUUUACUAUUAAUUUAUAUAAUUUUAUAUUAUAUAUUCUAAAUAUUUUUUAAAAAACAUAUUUAAAAAUAAUCAUAGAGGGUUUUACCAACGGACUGUAUCGGUCGGCAUUUGACAAAGAGCAGGAAAUGUCAAUCUUACGAAUUAAUUUACAGAUGGAAUACAUUUUUUGGCAUUUCACAGUAGUUGGGUGCAAAUUUCACAAUCAACAACGACUUGACCAACGGAUAUCGUCUGUCGGUAUUUCACACACUCAUCGAAGGAAUACAUCCGUCGAUAUAUUUCAAGCGGGAUUUUUUUUACGCGUAAUUUCCAUUUGUAAAACCAUUGGCAAUUGUUUUUUUUUACCAAACGAUGUAGCGACUGAAUGAGGUAUUACCAAUGAAAAGAAAGCAAACAGAAGAUUUCUGUAGGGAAUGUCGUUGGUAAAAAAAUUACUAACGAACUUGGAAUCAUAGACGGAUGGAAUAGUUCCGUCUGUAAAACAGUGAAAUCUUGUUGUGGGAAGUGGCAUAGUAAAGACAUCUGUCCUGCAGCCCAGACACUGUUCAGUGUUCAUCCCAUAUCAUGAGUUUUAGAAGUCCAAAUGACCUCCAUUUUUUUUUUCCUGGAAAGCUAAGUCAAUUUCCUACAACUUUAAUGUUUUCAAGUGGACCCAGUUCUGAUGCUAGAAAUUUCAUUUUAUUCUGACAAUAAGAUAAGGAUUUUCACAAAGUCAAGAGUUGGCCACCCACUCAACAAUUAGUCAUCAUAUCAAUAAUUCCGAAUUUUGGCCUAUAAAAGGAGGCAUUUGCCAUGUAUUUUGGGGCUUGGUGGUUCAGAUCAAGAAGCCCUUCCUCUCUCUCUUUAUAGUUUUUGUAAUUCUUAAGUUUUGCUUUCAUUAAUAUCUUGUUUAUGUUUUUCAUUUCCUUUCCUUUCCUUAGUUAACUUGUAUCUUAUUUAUGUUCUUGUUGUUUAUUUAUGUUUCUCUUCUUCAUUAUGUUUAGCUAAGUUUAUUAUGUCAAGGUAAAAAGGUUACACUAAUGGUGUAAGAAUAAGUAUAGUGUAAACUCAACAUGAACCUUAAUGUUUAAUAUUAACAUGUCUUAUCUUUUUAUCUUACUAAUUCUUAAUACCUUGCUUGUUAAAUGGUUAAUCUAGAUUUGUGUUGUUUAACACUUGGUACAACAAAUGCUUGGCACUCUCAUAGCCCAACCGUAUGGUAUUACCUACACCUGUGCUAUGAAAGGAACUUGAUUUGUUGUUAACAUAAGUUAGCAUCAUGAAUUCCUGACAAUAUUUAAAAGUUUGGUGUUAUGUAAACAAGAUAAUUAAUAUGAUCAUGUUAACAAUUUAUAAUGAGCUAUUAAUGACAAAUCAUCCGAUUGGAACCUCCUUCGUGUGUGGUUUCCAGUUGAGUAAUAAGAGUUUAUACUAUACUUGUUUCAAAUACCAUCAGUGGAUACUCUAACCUUGACAUUUGUUUUUAUCAUUGUUUAAUCCUUACAUUAAUCUUCCAUCUCAAAGUUCUCAUUAAUUUAUUCAUCCUCUUCUUUUUAUUAUUAUUAUUAUUAUUAUUAUUAUUAUUCUUGUUAUAUUUUAUGUACGUUAAGUAUGCUCUAUGUUUGAUCAAGGAUCCUGAUAUUGUUGAUCGUGCCUUGUUCAUUCGCAUCAGAAAUCUGUUUAUAUUAUAUAAUAUAUCUCUUUGAUCUUUUCAUAAACUUAGUAUAUAGGCUGGAAACCUGUGACUCGAUCUUUUAGAUUAUUCUCAGGUAUAACAACGCCACGUACUGAGUAUUAUUAUUAUUAUUAUUAUUAUUAUUAUUACUAUUACUAUUAUUGUUAUUAUUGUUGUUGUUAUUGUUGUUAUUAUUGUUGUUGUUGUUGUCUUGUUAUUUAUAAUUUAUACAAUUAACCUCUCUGUGGUUCGACCCAAGUCUUGCCGGGUUAUUUAUUACUUCGACACUCCUACACUUAGGAGAAGACAUCAAUCUUUUGGUCGUGUCAAGUUUUUGGCGCCGUUGCUGGGGAGGUAAAUUCUUGUACAAAUUAUAGUAUUUAUUUUGUUUUCUCUUUUCACUUUUCUUGUAUCUAACUUUGUUUCUUUUUCUAUUGUUUUGUUCUUCCUUUUAUUCUCUUUCUACACGUGCAUGAGUAUUUGGUCACAUACAUUAAGUGGUAGACUUUGUAGGGUAUCCUCAUCAUUUUUCAAAAAAUAUGGCUGAAGAAGAUAACCAGUCACUUCAUAAUGAGAAUAAUGAGAAUAACCGUGUUAGGACACCUAGAGACCACAUGAAUCCCACAAGAACAAGUGCACCCUCAUGCAUAGUUUUCCCUCCUGAUGCAUCCCAUUUUAAUUUUAAGCCAGACAUUAUUCAACUUUUACCUUCUUUUCAUGGCUUAGAUCUAAAAAAUCCAUACUUGCAUUUGAGAGAAUUUGAAGAAGUUUGUAAUACAUAUAAUGACUUAAAUUGUAGCAUGAAUACCAUUAGAUUAAAGCUUUUUCCUUUUUCAUUAAAAGAUAAAGCUAAAACAUGGCUAUAAAAUCUUAGGUCAAGAUCCAUUCGUGCUUGGGAUGAAAUGCAACAACAGUUUUUAAAGAAGUUUUUUCCAUCUCACAGAACCAACUCUUUCAAAAGACAAAUCACCACUUUCACCCAAAAACCAGAUGAAACAUUUUACCAAUGUUGGGAUAGGUAUCGAGACUUGCUUAAUACUUGCCCGCAUCAUGGUUUUAAAACAUGGAGAUUGGUUUCACAAUUUUAUGAAGGAUUAACACCUAAAGAUAGGCAAAUGGUUGAAUUGAUGUGCAAUGGAACUUUUGAAGAUAAAGACCCUAAUAACGCAAUGGAGUACCUAGACUUGCUAGCUGAAAAUGCGCAAAAUUAGGACACUACAGGCACUUAUGAGGCACCAAUUAAAACCCAACCUCAUACAUCUAGUGGAGGUAUGUAUAACCUUAGGGAAGAUCAUGACCUUCAAGCCAAGUUUGCAUCUUUAGCUAGAAAAGUCGAGGCACUAGAAUUAAAUAAGAGUGGUCAAUUAAAAUCUAUUCAAGACAUUGUGUGUCAAAUCUAUAAAACAAAUGAACAUGCAACCAAUGACUGUCCAACUUUGCCUUCUUUCAAGGAAUGCCUCCAUAAACAAGCCCAUGCUUUAAACAGUUUCCAAAGGCCCAAUCAUAACCCAUACUCGCAAACAUACAAUCCUGGUUGGAGAAAUCACCCAAAUUUCAGUUGGAAGAGUGAUAACAAUAAUGCACAAACUUCACAGCCACCGUUUCAAGCACACCAUAAUUUCCAAAAUUCUCAUGGAUAUGCACCUCCUUAUGCUCCACCUCCUAGAAGAAAUCUUGAGGAAACAAUACAUGCAUUCAUUGAAAAGCAAGAGACAAUCAACACUCAACUUGCUCAAAGCAUGACAAAUUUUAAAGAUGCUCUUGAAAAAUUCACAUUUGCUCUUAGUUUUCAAGAGAAAGGUAAAUUUUCAUCUCAACCACAACAAAAUACAAAGGGGCAAUACAAUGCAAAUGCAAGUAGUUCCAAAAGCCAACACAUGGAUCAAGUCAAAUCAGUCAUCACUCUUCACAGUGGUAAGGUUAUUGAAAAACCCAUUCUUGAACCUUGUGAGAAAGAUGAUGAGUCAAUCUCUAAAGGUAAGGAAGGGGUUGAAUCUGAACAUUGUAAAGAAAAGACUGAUUCUCCGCCAACACUUCCAUUUCCUCAUGCCAUGACCAAACAAAGGAAAGUCAAUCACAAUUCUGAAAUCCUUGAAACUUUCAAACAGGUAAGGAUCAAUAUACCUUUGUUGGAUGCUAUUAAACAGGUAAGUUUCUAUGCUAAAUUUUUAAAAGAUAUAUGCACUGUGAAGAGAAAACUGAAUGUGAAAAAGAAAGCAUUUUUAGCCGAACAAGUAAGUGCUAUUCUUCAGAACAAUAAUGCUUUGAAAUAUAAAGACCCUGGUUUUCCUACAAUUUCUUGCUUUAUUGGAGAACGUAAAAUUGAAAGAGCUUUACUUGAUCUUGGAGCUAGUGUGAAUUUACUUCCAUAUUCGGUUUUUCAAAGUCUCAAUCUAGGUGAGUUAAAACCAACUUUUAUAACUCUUUUACUUAUUGAUAAAUCUGUAAAAGUACCUAGAGGAAUAGUUGAGGAUGUGUUAGUACAAGUUGAUAAAUUCAUUUACCCUGUAGAUUUUAUAGUCUUGGAUACACAACCUGUUGAAACAUGUAAUUCAAUUCAUGUCAUUUUAGGACGUCCAUCUCUUGCAACUUCUAAUGCAUUGAUUAAUUGUAGGAAUGGACUGAUGAAACUAUCAUUUGGAAACAUGACAUUGGAGAUGAAUAUUUUCAACAUUUGCAAGCAACCUAGAGAUGAUAAUGAUUUAUAGGAAAUGGACUUUAUUGAAAAAUUAGUUCAUGAUCAAUUUCAAACCACUUCUAGUGAAACUGAGGUUGAUGAACCUGGCGAGUUGCAAAUGGUUUAUUUUCAGGAAAAAGCAAAGGCAUGUAAUUGGAGACCACAAAUUGAAGAACUGCCACCACAAUCAAUUGAGUCCAUACCUUCAAGUGUUCAACCACUAAAACCUGAUUUGAAGUCGUUACCAGUCAAUCUCAAAUACUCAUUUUUGGGAGAAAAUAAAACUUUUCUGGUAAUAAUCUCUUCCAAACUUAAUGCAUAUCAAGAAGGUAAGUUAUUACAGACUCUGAAAAUGCACAAAAAUGCAUUAGGAUGGACCAUAGCUGAUAUAAAAGGAAUUAGUCCUUUGAUUUGCACAUACAGAAUUUAUUUGGAGGAAAAUUCUAAACCAUCUAGAGAAAUGCAACGAAGACUUAAUCCUAAUAUGAAAGAAGUAGUGAAAAAUGAAGUCAUUAAGCUUGUUGUAACCCAUUUCUGGGUCCCCACAUAAAAAAUAAUAAAAUACAAAAAAAUUCAAAAAAAUAUAUUAUCAAAAAAUAUAACAGUGAAAAAAUGCCGGAACGCCCUAAAAAUGCUCAAAAAUUGAUUGAGGAUUUUUAAAAAUAUAAAAAUUAUUUUUUGACAGUAUAUCAUUGACUGAUGAGAGCCCCGAUGAUAAAGAAAAUUCAAUUUGAGGAAGAAAAAUGCAAAAUCAGAAGUUUAUGGACUCAAUUAAAUUUUAUUAAAGGUUUAAUUGCAUUUAUGAAGAUUUUAAUUGCAAGAAAAAUUGAUUUUGGAGUUAAUUUGGGCUUUAAUUAGGAGAAAUUAAUUUUCUGGGGUUAAAUUAUAAUUUUUGGAAGUUAAUUUGGUCAAAUCAGGGGCUUAAUUGCAUAACUAUUGAAGUUUAAUGGCCAAUUAGGGACUUAAUUGAAGAAAUCCGAGACCAAGGACUAAAAUGCAAAACGCGCGCAAAUUGAGGGACUUCUUUGAAUCUGAUGCGUUUUGGUGCCUUUUCCUUUUAAAUGAAACGGCGCGUUUUGACCAAAACGGCGCCGUUUCAUCCACUGUUGCAAAAAAAAAAAAAAAAAAAAGAAAAGAAGAAGAAGCCCAAAACGGUGCCGUUUUGAAGGCACUGUAGGUCUUCUUCUUCCUCUGGACGCGCGAGGCAGGGGAAGAAGAAGAUUUUUCUUCUCCCUUUUCGCCUACUUUCUUUCCCCUUUUUUUGCGCAAAAAGACGCCCACCAUUGCCUAACGUUUAUCCUUUGAAACGGUAGUGGAGGGGGCGGCCAACAGUGGCCGCCCCACCAUGACGUCUCCCCUGUUUUUUGCCUAUAAAAACAGGGGAGAACCAAAGAAGAAAAAAAAGAAAACAGAAGAGAAGAAAGGAGGAGACCGAGAGAAAGGAGACUGAGGGAGAGAGAGAGGGCAAAGAAGAAGAAGAAGAAGCAGAAGCAGCAGAGAAGAAAAAUAAAAAACAGAAGAGAGAGAGAAGGGAAAUGCAGAACCACCGUGCCUCCGCCACCAUCGCCUCCGCUGCCACCAGCAGCACCGCCUCGAUGCCACCGCAGGUAAUCUCUCGCCGCCUUGUCUCCUUCUCCGUUUGCUGCCUCCCUCGUUUGCAUGCAGAACGUGAAUUAAUUCACGUUCUGCAGCUGAAGAGGGCUGGUUACUGUGCUUAGGCACAGUAACCAGCCCAUUUGGUAAUGGGCCGGGUUGGCCCAGCCCAUUGAUAUGGGCCGGACCCGGCCCAUUUCAAUUUUUUUUUUCUCAGAAGUUUUUUUACAAUUUUUUGGCACAUUUUUUUUUAUCAAUUUUGCUUAAUAUCGGUCUAUAUUUUACAUCGUAAAAAUAUAAAUUCGGUAUUAAAAUACCCGGUUUUCGUCCUGCGGUACUGUUCACACAACAUAAAAAAUCAAAAAUAUUUGUUUCGACAUUUUAUAAUUUUUCCGCGUCAUUUUUAUGUCAUUUUGAUUGAUAUCGGGCAGUAUUUUUACAUCGUAAAAAUAUAAAUCCGGUAUUAAAAUACCCGGUUUUCGGCAAAAACUUCCAAAAAUAAAAACAAAUUAAAAAAAGAUAAAAAAAAUGUUUUUGUGCAUACGGCCAAGUGUCUCAAAUCUAAAAAAUCAUAUCGUAUUUUUCAUAUGUCAAAAAACAAUAUUUUAGCAUGCAUUUUGGCUUUAAUAACCAGUUUAUUAAAGUCAAGAGAACAUUGGCCAAAAUCUCAAAAACAACAAAAUAUUUUAUUUUGUUUGAUUUUAGUAUCAGGGAUUAUGAAUUUAUACGUAAAUCGUAUUCCUGAUAUUAAAAAGAUAUUUUCUUUUUGACGACUUUGAAUAGUUAGUUUUUUACCCGAUAAAGAUAAGGAUCUCCUUACAGAGGAGGACUUUUCUUAAACCGUAAACUAACCAACAAUUCAAAAACCACAACACGAUUUUAGAUUUUAUCAGACAUUAAAACAAUGCAGCCUACCUUAGGUAGGGCGUAGUUGGGGUGCUAAUACCUUCCCUUUACGCAACUAGUCUCCGUACCCAAUCUCUAAAGACCAGUUAAGGUUUCUAGUAACCAGAAUACUAGGUGGCGACUCCCAGUCCAUAUUUUCACUUGUAGAGACAAGAAUUCCUUGUCCCUCCCUAUUUUCCAGGAAUAAAAUAUUCCGAUUUUUCCUUGAGGGUGGACGAUCGUCGCGCCGCCGCACACGUGCGACAAAGCUUCUAGUUAAUGGAAUCAUUUAUCCUAUUUCUGAAAGCAAAUGGGUAAGUCCUACCCAAGUUGUACCCAAAAAGUCAGGAGUCACUGUGAUAACAAAUGAGAAAAAUGAGUUAAUUCCAACUAGGACUAUUACUGGUUGGCGCAUGUGCAUUGACUAUAGGAAACUUAAUUCAAUGACUAGAAAAGAUCAUUUCCCUUUACCUUUCAUGGAUCAAAUCCUAGAAAGAGUUGCAGGUCAUGAAUUUUAUUGUUUCCUAGAUGGUUAUUCAGGUUACAAUCAAAUUGAAAUUGCAUUGGAAGAUCAACAGAAGACUACUUUCACAUGUCCAUUUGGUAUUUUUGCAUAUCGAAGAAUGCCUUUUAGGUUAUGUAAUGCACCAGCCACGUUUCAAAGAUGCAUUCUUAGCAUAUUCAAUGAUAUGGUUGAACGUUUUCUUGAGAUUUUUAUAGAUGAUUUUUCUGUUUUUGGUGAUUCAUUUGAUGAUUGUUUAACUAACUUAGAAAAGGUUUUGAACAGGUGUGAAGAGAAGAAUCUUGUACUGAAUUGGGAAAAAUGUCACUUUAUGGUAACCAACGACAUUGUACUUGGUCACAUUGUUUCAUCGAAAGGAAUUGAGGUUGACAAAUCUAAAAUCGAGUUAAUUGCCAACUUACCAACACCAAAAUCUGUUAAAGAUGUUAGAUCAUUCUUAGGACAUGCUGGUUUUUACAGAAGGUUCAUCAAAGAUUUUAGUGUAAUAUUUAAACCAUUGUAUAACCUUCUAACAAAGGAAAAUGUUUUUGAAUGGACUGAACAAUGUAAAAAAGCCUUUGUUAAACUUAAAAGCUUGCUUACUUCUGCUCCUGUCAUUCAACCUCCUGAUUGGUCACUUCCUUUUGAAAUAAUGUGUGAUGCUAGUGAUUAUGUCGUGGGUGCUAUCUUAGGACAAAGAAAAGAUAAGAAACCUUAUGUGAUUUACUAUGUAAGUAAAACUUUAAAUAGUGCUCAAAUGAAUUACACUACCACUAAAAAAGAAUUACUUAUAGUAGUAUUUGCAUGUGAUAAGUUCAGAUCUUAUCUUGUUGGCUCACCUGUUGUUGUUUUUAGUGAUCAUGCAGCAUUGAAAUAUCUUCUCUCUAAAAAAUAUUCUAAGGCUAGAUUGGUGCGGUGGAUUUUGUUACUUCAAGAAUUUGAUAUCACAAUCAAAGACAAGAAAGGCACCGAAAAUGUUGUUGCAGAUCAUUUGUCAAGAUUGACAACCGAUUCGAGAUCUGACAUCACACCAAUCGAUGACUACUUUCCUGAUGAAUCUUUAUUUUUUGUCUCUACAAUGCCUUGGUUUGCUGAUAUUGUUAAUUUUCUUGUUUUAGGACAAUUGCCAGCUCAUUGGAGUACCCAAGAUAAAAGAAAGUUCUUAAACGAAGUGAAGAACUUUUAUUGGGAAUCCCUCGAGCCAUGAUAAGUGAUGGUGGAACACAUUUCUGCAACAAGCCAUUUGAGUCUUUAAUGAAGAAAUAUGGAAUCACACACAAAGUUGCCACCCCUUAUCACCCUUAGACGAGUGGACAGGUAGAACUUGCUAAUAGGGAGAUCAAACAGAUCUUAGAGAAAACAGUGAACCCUAAUCGGAAAGACUGGUCUUUAAGACUUAAUGAUGCACUUUGGGCUUAUCGAACUGCAUAUAAAACAUCAUUAGGUAUGUCACCUUAUAGACUAGUCUAUGGAAAACCUUGUCACUUGCCUGUGGAAAUUGAACAUAAAGCUUAUUGGGCUAUUAAAGCUUUCAAUUCAAACAUUGAUGAUGCUAGUCAGCUGCGAAAAUUGCAAAUAAAUGAGCUUGAGGAAAUAAGAAAUGAUGCAUAUGACAAUUCAAGAAUUCAUAAAGCAAGAAUCAAAGAGUUUCAUGACAAGAAAAUACUGAGAAAAACAUUCAAUGUUGGUCAAAAAGUCUUGCUUUAUAAUUCUCGACUCCAUUUAUUUCCUGGAAAACUAAGAUCAAGAUGGAGUGGUCCUUUUAUUGUGAAACAUGUGUAUCCAUAUGGGGCCUGUGAUAUCGAAAAUCCAAAGAAUGGUAAUGUUUUCAAGGUAAAUGGCCAUCGUUUGAAAGUUUAUUUUGAUAAUUUUUCAGUUGAAAAUGACUCUAUUGAAUUGGGUGAUCCUGUAUAUAAAGAUUGAUUCUUUUUCUCACAUUGUUUUUGUGUGACUUUUGUUUUGCUAGUCUCUCACCCCGGUCAAAUGGCGGAUAACGGUACUCCGUGACUCUUUUAAGUCGGUUCUUUCAGUUUCCCAUGAUAACUGAUAUCUGUGUAUAUAUUUGUGCAAUUCUUUGCUCUUUCUCCUUUCUUUGAAUCUCUCCCCCAAUUCUUAGUUGAAAAUGGACACCACUAUUGAAAAAUUGAAAAAGUAUUUUCCCGCUCUGCCUCAGAAUGCGAUUACAAAAAUUUACCGUGCUAGGUGUGAAAGAUUGAGGUUGUUAAUGAACCAUGGAAUUCCUGAAGAUAUUCAUUGGCUAAUUGAAGCAAAGGUCCGAUUAUCAGGUGAGUCCUCCAAUUCUUUCAUUUCAUACAUGCCUGGAACAGGUAAAAGCACUUUUGCAAAGAAACGUCAUGCAAAACGACUGAAAGUCUGUCAUAGAUGUGCCAGAUGGACUUGUAAUGCGACAUGGCGUUCUUUAGGAAUGAUAUCUGUAAACCGUGAAGAUAAAAUACAAUUAAUUAAGGAUGGCCUAAGUAAGGGGUCUUUAGAUAAUCUUCUAUUGACUCUUGAGACGCACCCUAGUGGAGAUGUGCAUCGUGCAAUUUAUGAUUUAUGGCCACAAUUCCAUAAAGAACAUGCUCGACUUAGUUUUGGGAAUCUGACUAAAAAAGACCUUGUUUGCCAGUUUUUAAGAAAACUGGAUGGGAAGCCUAUCCCCGACCCAUAGAGGGCGUUUAAGCCGUUCUUGGACGUAAAACCAAGGAAAGAUGUGAGCCACAAUCACAACUACCUGUACAUACACAUGCUUUUUCAAAAUAAAUAAUAAAGAGAGAGAGAGAGAGAUGAGACUACACUGGCCUACAUAUAGGUGGUAUGAUUGCAUUUUCAAUUUCUCAUCUAUAAAUUCUUCUCUUCCUUCCCUUCAUUUCUACUCAACCCAUACAUUCAUCAAAUAUAGAAGUGUGUAGAAAUGGCAGGUUCCUCAAGUCAUCACAUAAACAAUAUUUGUGUUUUCGGUGGAUCCAGUCCUGGGAAAGAAAAAGAGUUUUUAGAAUCAGCAAAUCAUCUUGGUCAGGUACUAGCUGAGCGAAAGAUUCAUUUAGUGUAUGGAGGAGGCAGCCUUGGGUUAAUAGGGGGAGUGUCAAUAGCUGCAUUUUUAGGAGGUAGUCAAGUUUUGGGGGUUGUCCCCAAAGCUUUAGCACAAGGGGACAUCAUUGGAAAAACAAUUGGAGAGGAAUUACAGUCCCCACAAUGUCUGAUCGACUGAAUGCAAUGUUUAACCAUGUGAUGCCUUCAUUGCCUUACCAGGUGGUCUGGGCACAUUGGAAGAGAUCUUUCAUAUUUCCUCUUGGGCCCAACUGCACAUUCACCAUAAACCCAUAGGUUUGUUAAAUGUUAAUGGUUUUUAUGAUAAGUUGUUGUCUUUUCUUGAUCAUGUUGGAACAGGAAUUUCUAACAUCUUCAGCACGACAAAUCAUAAUCUCUGCUGCUACUGCUGAACAAUUGAUUGACCAACUACAAUCUUUCAUCCCUGUAAUUAAUCCCUCCAUGAGUCGCAUAAAUUGGUCAACUAAGGAAAGCCGUAAAAAGCUUAGAUUGGAUUUGAGCCUUCGUUUGUAAAAACUUUGUAUCUUUUGGUUUUAUUAUUGUGUUUUGUUGCUUCUUAUAUUUGUUUAAGUGUGUUUCAGGUUUGUUAGUGUUCGCUAUUUCAGGUGAUGUCUUCUAUACUCUAUCUUUCUACCUUAAGACAUUGAGGACAAUGUCUCAUUUUGGUUAGGGGAAAGGGUAGUAGUUGAUAUUUAAAAAAAAAACUAUGUUUUCUAUUUAAUAAACUAUUUGCAAAACUGUUGUUACUAGGAUGGCAGAGUAAAAGGAGUUCUUUUGUUAAAGUGACUCUUGAGAUGCAUCUUAGUAAACAUUCUUAACAAGGUCUAUCAGAAUACUUCUUGAAAUAUUCAGGUUUACAAACUCUCGUAUUGUUAGCACUUGAUUAUGCUCAUAUGCUUAUUUAACAAGUAUUUUUAAAUCUUCAUUUUCACACACACAUACACACUUUAACAUAUGAUUGUGGGUUGCACAUUGGAUUAUUACAUUAUUUAUGUUCUUUUGUUAAAGGUAACAACUAAGGAAAAGGGAUAGUACAUAAUUUGCAAAAAAAAUAACAAAAAAAAAUAAUGAUAAUAAAAAGGUAGAUAAUUUUGGUUUCGUAGCCUCCCUAACCUAACCAAUUAAGCCCGAAGGGGUGUUUUAACACUUAAUACCCUAAAGUCAACUGACUUGGGAGCUAUUGGCCCAACGCUUGUUACAUGGGUUAAGGAGAAAAGCUUAAGGGAAUCAAACAUUGCACUAUCUAUGUAUCAGUAUCUGCAACCCGAGUUGCUAAGCUCGUAGGGGUGUCUCAACACCUAAUGCCCUAAGACCAACUGGUCUGGGAGUCAUUAGCCUAAAGCUCGUUACAUGGGUUAAAGAUACAUUGUGUUUUAAGUUGUAUGUGUAUAUAAAUAAAAAAUAAAUAAAAAAAAAAAAAGAAAAAAUAAUCCCAACCCAAGGAAGUUAACCUUAAACAUUAGAAAAAAUUUUUUUUCUUCUAAAGCCCCAUAACUAUAUGUUGAUAUUUUGAGCACAAAAGAAAGGUUUAGUAAUAUCUUGUUUAGAGGUAUUGAGCAUAUAUAUGAAUUUAAUGAGAGUUUGUUUAUCUUGAUAGAUUAAAGUAAGUUGAAUGAUGAAUGCCUUGCUUUAUGGAAUUUGCAAAUUGUUUUUUCUAUUUUAACGCUUUGAUUACUAGGAACUAGUAAUAAGCUGGUUGGGGGGUGUGAUUAGUACUUAAAAGCGCAUGUUUAUCAAAGGUUUAUAUCAUUAUUUUGCACUUGAAGUAUCAAUAACUCCUUAACUAAAGCAUGUUUUAUAAUAACAAGUCUAAUACUAUAAGAUACCUUAAUAUAUUGUAAAUGUUCAUCUUAAAUGCAGACAUAUCACAUAAAUGAAAGGAUUGAUUGAUGAAUUCAACUACUGAAAUUUAUGAAGAUAAAGAGAGGGUGAAGCUUAGAAAAGAGAUGUUGGUGCAGUCCAAACUGGAACACUAUUCGGUAAUUGGGUCAUAUCUCGAGUUCUAGAUGUCCAAAUGAUCUCAAAGUUUUACACAAAUUCAGUAAGAAAUAGGCCUACAACUUUCAUGUGGACACCAAGAUCUAAGAAGGCCGUUUUGAAAUCCAAAUUAUAGCAACAACGGAGAAGUCCGAAUUUGUCCUGCAGCCCAGACACUGUUCAGUGUUCAGCCCAUAUCUUGAGUUUUAGAAGUCCAAAUGACCUCCAUUUUUUUUCCUGGAAAGCUAAGUCAAUUUCCUACAACUUUAAUGUUUCAAGUGGACCCAGUUCUGAUGCUAGACAUUUCAUUUUAUUCUGACAAUAAGAUAAGGAUUUUCACAAAGUCAAGAGUUGGCCACCCACUCAACAAUUAGUCAUCAAAUCAAUAAUUCCGAAUUUUGGCCUAUAAAAGGAGGCAUUUGCCAUGUAUUUAGGGGCUUGGUUGUUCAGAUCAAGAUGCUCUUUCUCUCUUUAUAUUUUUUAAUUCUUAAGUUUUGCUUUCAUUAAUUUCUUGUUUAUGCUUUUCAUUUCCUUUCCUUAGUUAACUUGUAUCUUAUUUAUGUUCUUGUUUUAUUUAUGUUUCUCUUCUUCAUUAUGUUUAGCUAAGUUUAUUAUGUCAAGGUGAAAAGGUUACACUAAUGGUGUAAGAAUAAGUAUAGUGUAAACUCAACAUGAACCUUAAUGUUUAAUAUUAACAUGUCUUAUCUUUUUAUCUUACUAAUUCUUAAUACCUUGCUUGUUAAAUGGUUAAUCUAGAUUUGUGUUGUAUAACACUUGGUACAACAAAUGCUUGGCACUCUCAUAGCCCAACCAUAUGGUAUUACCUACACAUGUGCUAUGAAAGGAACUUGAUUUGUUGUUAACAUAGGUUAGCAUCAUGAAUUCCUGACAAUAUUUAAAAGUUUGGUGUUAUGUAAACAAGAUAAUUUAUAAUAAUAUAUAAUAUAUUAUAGGGUUGGGCCGGCCCAAAUAAAUGGGCCAGGCUCAGCCCCAAAAAAGGGGCGGGCUGAGAUCGGCCCGAAAUGUCAUGGGGCCGAUCUCGGCCCAAACAAUGAAAUUGGGCCGAUCUAGCCCGAAAAACUUCUACAGUCUCGGCCAAGACCGGCCCAGACUUGUAAGGCUGGGCCAGCAUCGGGCUGGCCCAACACCUUACGACCCAGCGGGGGGGGGGAAUUAAUUUUCUUCUCCCCCGCCUCCUGCAUGCAAAACUUUGCAUGCAGGAGGCAACGCCUGCUUCGAAAGCAAAGAGGGAAGAAGAAAAUGUACCUGGCAUGGAGGAGGCGGUCGCUGGUGGUGCUGCGGUGGCGUGGCUCGUGGACGGCGGCUCCGGGCGGCGGUGCUGCGGCUGUUUCCAAGUGCUCGGUUCUCUCUCUCUCUCUCCUCCCUUCUCCCUGUUUCGGUUCUCUCUUUUUUCCUUUUGUUUUCAGUUUAGUUCCAGUAUUCCCUUCUCUCUCUCUCCUGCCUACUGUCUCUUCUCCUCCCUUCUCGGUUUUUUUUUUUUUUUGUUUCCCGGUCCUCUUUUCUCUUCGGUUUUCCUUCCUAUUUAUAGGGGGGGGAAACGGUGCCUUUUGCUAGUGCGUCUUGGGAGUAAAUCACGCAACGGCUGGUCGGCCAUUGACGCGUUCGGUGGUGGUGGUGGGGCGAGGAGAGAGAGGCGGGAAGUUUGAAAAGUUUAGUUUUUUCUUCUGUUGCAGGUUCGGGGGGGGGGGGAGAGGAAGAUGAACAGUGUCGUUCAAAAUGACACCGUUCUGGUCCUUUUUUUUUUAUAUAUAUGAAACGACGUCGUUUUGGAUAAAACGCGUCUUUUUUCACUUUGGUCCUUGGCCUCUGAUUUAUGCAAUUAAGCCCUCAAUUGAUCAAUAAACUUCCAAUUUCUUCAAUUAGACCCCUGAACCGAAUAAUUUCAGCCCCUCCAUUUACGCGCCUCUUCCAAUUUGGUCCCUGGUUUCGGAUUUUCUUAAUUAAGUCCUUAAUUGGCCAUUAAACUUCAAUAUUUAUGCAAUUAAGCCCCUGAUUUGACCCAAUAAAUUCCUAAAAAAUAUAUUUUGGCCCCAGAACUUAAAUUUCUUCUAAUUAAAGCCCAAAUUGACUUAAAAAUUAAUUUUUCUUGCAAUCAAAUCCUUUAUAAACUCAAAUAAAAAUCCAAUUAAGUCCAUAAACAUCCAAAUUUGGGUUUUUCUCCUCAAAAUUCAAAUUUUCCUUCUCAAUAGGGCUUUCUUUCUUCAAGAAUAUACUGUCAAAAAUUCAAUCCUUGUAUUUUUAAAUUCCUUGACCAAUUUCCUGACUGUUUUCCGAGCGCUUCUGCCUCCUGUUAUUUUUCUAACCUCUUUUGGCUAUUUAUUUUAUUUUUCAUGGGGACCCAAAAAUGGGUUACAACACUAUACUUGUUUGAAAUACCAUUAGUGGAUCCUCUAACCUUGACAUUUAUUUUUAUCAUUGUUUAAUCCUUACAUUAAUCUUCCAUCUCAAAGUUCUCAUUAAUUUAUUCCUCUUAUUUUUAUUAUUAUUAUUAUUACUACUACUAAUAUUAUUACUAUUAAUAUUAAUAUUAAUAUUAAUAUUAUUAUUAUUAUUAUUAUUAUUAUUAUUAUUUUUAUAUUCUUGUUAUAUUUUAUGUACGUUAAGUAUGCUCUGUGUUUGAUCAAGGAUCCUGAUAUUGUUGGCCUUGCCUUGUUCAUUCGCAUCAGAAAUCUGUUUAUAUUAUAUAAUAUAUCUCUUUGAUCUUUUCAUAAACUCAGUAUAUAGGCUGGAAACCUGUGACCCGAUCUUUUAGAUCAUUCUCAGGUAUAACAACGCCACGUACUGAAUAUUAUUAUUAUUAUUAUUAUUACUAUUAAUAUUAUUAUUACUAUUACUAUUAUUGUUAUUAUUGUUGUUGUUAUUGUUGUUGUUAUUGUUGUUAUUAUUGUUAUUGUUGUUGUUGUUGUCUUGUUAUUUAUAAUUUAUAUAAUUAACCUCUUUGUGGUUCGACCUCGGUCUUGCCGGGUUAUUUAUUACUGGAAAUCUAAUUUAUGAGCAUGAUAUGGAUGCAAAAAGAGGAAACAAAGACACCUAAAAGUACACAAAAAGUUAUAAUCAGGAGUGUGAUAAAACAGACACUCAAAUGAAGAUUUAUUUUGGAGAACAACAUUAGGCAUGCAAUUAAUAAAAUAUAUCGAUGAUUCAAAAACAUGGAUCCAAAAUCGCAAUGGUGCACUACACCGGGAUGCGAUUAACAAAAUAUAACGAUGAUUCAAAAACAUAGUUCAAAAAUCACAAUGGUGCACUACACUGGCCUAAACUUGUUAGGACAAUUUUGAUAAUAUGUUGAUGACGAUGUUCGACAGUGCCAUUUUGUUCAUGAGUAUGAGGACAGUUUAACCAAUGAUGAAUACCAAUGGACUGAAAGUGAUCCAGAUUGGGAUCUCUUGGCAGACACCUCCUCUCAUUUACCUGCAACAUCAGUGUACUCUAAAGGUGGCGAGUCAGUGAGACUUCGAGAUGAUUCAGUGUCCCGUCAAGCAGAUGUGUCCAUUCCCAAUGUAUUAGACAAACAGGGGGGAGAUAAUAUACCCCUACUACUGGAACCGGUAGUUGGAUCAAACCCAUUUUAGAUCCUCCUUUUACGGAAAAUAGUUAGAGCUGUAGCAGCAGGAAUGGCAACGGGAGCCUCAAGUACAACUUCUAGAUCAAGGGGAGUUGUCACUAUAGUACAAUGGGUGAAGGGUAUGAGAGAGAUGGGUUGUAUGACUUACCAUGGCGAAGAGGAUGUUGAUGUUGCUGGGAAUUCGCUGAGGAAAGUGGAAAGAGUUAUAAAUCAGAUGCAGGUGCUAGAGGAGCUACGAGUGGAUUGCAUGACUCAGCUAUUGGUUGAUAAUUCCCACUCUUGGUAGGAGACCAUUAGAGGGAGGAGAUCAGAGGAGGUAUUGAGAUGGAGGGACUUUUGUGAAGAGUUUGAGGAGAGGUACUAUUCUUGGGAGCAUAAAAGGGAGAAAGAACAUGAGUUUUUGGAUUUGAGGUAGGGAGAUUUGACAGUUCUAGAGUAUGAGAGGAGAUUUCAGGACUUAGCAACUUUUGCCUCCAUUUACCUUCCCACAAAGCGCCACAUGGUAAAGAGGUUCAAUGUUGGAUUGAGGUGGGAACUAAGAACAAUAUUGAUAGCUAUGCAGUUUCAGUCUGUGCGGGAAUUGGUACGGGCUACUCAGGGUAUGGAAAGGGUAAUAAGGGAUACCUCGAAACUAGUGGUUGAUGUAACCAUAUUAUUCGAUAGUUUUACCCGCAUUUAGCUAGUGUUUUGCGUAUGUUAUUUAUAUAAAAUGCCUUGAUAUUCUUUGUUUUAUAUUUUGAAGGCAUUUUUGGAUGAAAGAUGCAAAAAGGAGUAAAUUGGAGAAAAAUAAAAAGAGAAAGAUCAUGGAAAUCACAUCCUUCAAAGUCAAAUCUCGUAGUCUGCCAAUGUUGACCUUUGCCCAUUCAAAAUUCAAUAUCUGGAGCUUCAGAAGUCCAAUUGAUGCAAACUCAAUUUUGUUGGAUUCCUUACUCAAAGCUCUAUAAACGCUCCAAAUAUCAGCCAAUGUCAUAUGAGGGAGAUAGGAGUUUUCAAAGAUGACAGCUGAAUUCUGCCAGCAAGCAGGUUGCGUGAAGAUUCAGAAGCAUCCAAACUGACAUACAAGUGUUUCCAACAAUUUAGCUCCUUUAGUAAAUAUUCUAGAAGGUCAAGGAAGGCAGCCACCAACCUCAAGCCAGUCGCCUUCACACUACCACCAUCUAUUGAUGUUCACACUUGAACUUUGAUUUUCUUAGUUACAAUUUGUGUAUAAAUAGAGGGAGAGUGGAAGGAGGUGGAAGCAAGAAGUGAGGAAACACAAACUCUCCUCUCUACAAAUCAGAAAUUAUGUAUUCUUUCAUCUUUAGGAGUAGUUGUUCAAUAGAUAUGCAAGGCUAAGCUCGUUUUCUUGGUUGCAAAGACACAACAAACCUUCGGAUUUCAAGAACCGUGAGAUUUAUUCUUCCUUUUAUUUUUAGUUUAUGUUAUGAAUGAGUAUGAUUGUUUUCCUAUGCAUAUUUCCUAUGAUUGUUUAUCUUAAUUGCUAGAGCGGACUCUAAGUUAUUAUUGUGAACAAUCUAUUGCUAAGUUUGAUAUCAAAACCGGAGUUGUGGUAUAUAAACUUGCGAAGCAACUAAGCUUGAUAAUUGUAGCGGAACUACGUUAUUAAACUUAGGGAGAACAUUCGAUCAUAGCAACACAAAUUGACAACUUGGUUGUUAAGAUUAAUGAAUUUAUCUGAAUCUUAAGACUGCCAUUGGAUUAAAUCAUUAGUGCGGACACUAUGAUUGUUUGUUGGUUAGGGCUAGUUAUACGGUGGAUCCAUUAAUUAACCAAUAUCAAGAAAAGAUAAAAUUCAUAAUAUAAACUGGAGUUUCGUUUCAAGGAUCGGUUCUAAUUUCUGUUGGUGGAUAUGUGCUUGCAACCAAGGUUUGUUUUCUUGAUAUAUUUCAGUUUCAAUUGAUUUUGUUUGCUAGUUUAAUUUCUGCCAUAGUUUAAAUCAUUGCAAAUCAAACCCCCCCAUUGCAUAACGUAUAACAUAAAAAUCUGAACUAAACCUUCCUCGUGGGAUCGACCCCUUGCUUGCUCUAUACUAUCUUGUGUGUUGUGUUUGAAGCUAGGGUAAUUAAUUUGUACGACCGCGACAUCGCAACAGUGGUCAAGCAGAGUCGGGUAAUUGGAGCUAAGAGAAGAGAUUUUGAGUUUUUGACUGGGAGACCUCCUCUCCCAAAGAAAGAGAAGAGCGGGCAAUCAUCAAGACAAUUCCAGAGAAGAGGCGAGAGUUUCACCCCAAGAGGGAGCUUAGGAGGAUCUAGAUGAGUCAGUGGAAGAGGAUCUUGGGGAGGAUAGUCUAUACAGGAAGUCAAAAUUGUUGGAGGGUCUAUAGAGCAAAAUGGACUAGUAUAUCCAUUUUGUCAGAGGUGUGAGUAGCGACAGCUUGGAGAUUGCUCUGCGAUGCCAGGGAGAUGUUAUAUUUGUAAAGUGAGGGGCAUCGAUGGAAAGAGUGCCCGCAUGUAGGCAGAGGCUGUUACUAUUAUGGGGACAUGAUUCGCAAGAAGAAGGAUUGUCCUCGUAGAACUAUCGAGGGAGCCCAUGGUUAGAGGAUUAAGGUUUAAAGCCAGCAGCAAUUGGUGACAAUUAAUCGUACUAUCAGGCCUACCCAGUCAGGGACGAGUGCUACUUAUGGGAGGCCUAGAAAUCAAGAGGGGAGGACUUAGGGUCGGGUAUAUCACAUGACCUACGAGGAUAUGGGAGAUGUACCUGAUGUGGUGGCAAGUACUUUAUAGUUAGAUACGAUGCAAGUUUAUGCUUUAAUUGAGCCUAGAGCUAGUCAUUCCUUUGUACCUUAUAGAAUUGUGAAUAACUUGCAUGUGUUAUCUAGUAACUUGGGUGUAGGAGUGACGGUUAGUACACCUCUAGGGAGAAAAUACAUAUUGAUGAUAUUUAUAGAGGGGUAAAACUAUAUAUUGAAGGGUUAGAAUUAAAGGUAGAUCUUAUGCCGUUAGAGCUAUAUGAUUUUGAUGUGAUUCUGGGCAUGAAUUAGCUAAGUAAACAUAAGGCACAAGUGGAUUGUUUCACCAAGAUGGUGACAAUCCAAGGAAUAGGUGAUAAAAGAGUAGUGUUUAAAGGGGAAAUAAAAGUAAUUCCAAGUUGUGUAAUCUUUUAGUCUUGGUGGCAACAAAAUUACUGAGGAAGGGUUGUUCUACUUGGUUAGUCCUUGUAAGGGAGCUGGAAAAGGGUAGCAUAGAUUUGGCUAGUAUUUCCAAAAAAGUUGCCUAGAUGGUCCAGUUAGAGAAAUUGAAGUUUUCAUAGAAACUAUCCCAAGAGUUUCUCCUAUAGCCCAGUCUCCUUAUAGGAUGGUGAUUAGUACUUAAAAGUGCAUAUUUAUCAAGGUUUUAUAUCAUCAUUUUGCACUUAAAGUAUCAAUAACUCCUUAACUAAAGCAUGUUUUAUAAUAACAAGUCUAAUACUAUAAAAUGCCUUAAUAUAUGGUAAAUGUUCAUCUUAAAUGCAGGUCUAUCAUAUAAAUCAAAGGAUUGAUUGAUGAGUUCAAGUAUGGAAAUUGAAAGGACAAAGAGAGGGCCAAACUUCAAAAAGAGAUGUUGGUGCAGUCCAAACUGGAACACUAUUCGGUAAUUGGGUCAUAUCUCGAGUUUUAGAUGUCAAAAUGAUCUCAAAUGUUUACACAAAUUCAGUAAGACAUAGGCCUAUAACUUUGAUGUGGACACCAAGAUCUAAGAAGGCUGUUAGCAAGUCCAAAUUAUAGCAACAACGGAGAAGUCUGAAUUUGUCCUGCAGCCCGAACACUAUUCAGUGUUUGGCCCAUAUCUGGAGUUCUAGAAGUCCAAAUGACCUCCAUUUUUUUUUUCUGGAAAGCUAUGUCAAUUGCCUACAACUUUAAUGUUUUUAAGUGGUCCCAUUUCUGAUGCUAGCAAUUUCGUUUUAUUCAGACAAGAAGAUAAGGAUUUUCACAAAGUCAAGAGUUGGCCACCCACUCAAUAAUUAGUCAUCAAAUCAAUAAUUCCGAAUUUUGGCCUAUAAAAAGAUGCAUUUGCCAUGUAUUUUAGGGCUUGGUGGUUCGGAUCAAGAUCAUGCUCUUUAUUUCUCUCUUUAUAUUUUUUUUUGUAAUUCUUAAGUUUUGCUCUCAUUAAUAUCUUAUUUAUGCUUUUCAUUUCUUUUCCUUUCCUUAAUUAACUGGUAUCUUAUUUAUGUUCUUGUUUUGUUUAUUUAUGUUUCUCUUCUUUAUUAUGUUUAGCUAAGUUUAUUAUGUCAAGGUGAAAAGGUUACACUAAUGGUGUAAGAAUAAGUAUAGUGUAAAGUCAACAUGGACCUUAAUGUUUAAUAUUAACAUAUCUUAUCUUUUUAUCUUACUAAUUCUUAAUACAUUGCUUGUUAAAUGGUUAAUCUAGAUUGUGUUGUAUAACACUUGGUACAACAAAUGCUUGGCACUCUCAUAGCCCAACCGUAUGGUAUUACCUACACCUGUGCUAUGAAAGGAACUUGAUUUGUUGUUAACAUAAGUAAGCAUCAUGAAUUCCUGAAAAUAUUUAAAAGUUUGGUGUUACGUAAAUAAGAUAAUUAAUAUGAUCAUGUUAACAAUUUAUAAUGAGCUAUUAAUAACAAAUCAUCUUAUUGGAACCUCCUUCGUGUGUGGUUUCCAAAUUGAGUAAUAAGAGUUUAUAUUGUACUUGUUUGAAAUACCAUUAGUGGAUCUUUUAACCUUGACAUGUGUUUUUAUUAUUGUUUAAUUCUUACAAUAAUCUUUCAUCUCAAAGUUCUCAUUAAUUUCUUCCUCUUCUUUUAUUAUUACUACUACUACUACUACUACUAUUAUUAUUUACAUUCUUGUUAUAUUUUAUGUAUGUUAAGUAUUCUCUGUGUUUGAUCAAGGAUCCUGACAUGGUUGGUCUUGCCUUGUUCAUUCACAUCAGAAAUCUAUUUAUAUUAUAUAAUAUAUCUCUUUGAUCUUUUCAUAAACUCAGUAUAUAGGCUGGAAACCUGUAACCCGAUCUUUUAAAUAUUCUCAGGUAUAACAACGCCACGUACUGAGUAUUAUUAUUAUUAUUACUAUUAAUAUUAUUAUUACUAUUACUAUUAUUGUUAUUAUUGUUGUUGUUGUUGUUGUAUUGUUAUUUAUAAUUUAUACAAUUAACCUCUCUUUGGUUCGACCCCAGUUUUGCCGGGUUAUUUAUUACUUCGACACUCCUACACUUAGGAGAAGACAUUAAUCUUUUGGUCGUGUCAGAUGGCACCUAUGGAAUUGGCAAACUGAAGGUCCAGCUUCAAGAAUUGUUAGAUAAAGGCUUCAUCCAACCUAGUAACUCGCCCUAGGGAGCUUCGGUGUUGUUUGUAAAGAAGAAGGAUGGCACCUUUCGUUUGUGCAUUGAUUAUCGUCAAUUGAAUAAAAUGACGGUGAAGAACAGGUACCCACUCCUAUGAAUAGAUGACUUGUUUGAUCAAUUGAAGGGUGCUAGGGUGUUCUCUGAGAUAAAUUUGAGAUCUAGAUACCACCAGUUAAGAAUCAAAGAGCAAGGCAUACAAAGAUUGCAUUUCAAACCUGUUAUGGGCAUUACGAAUUUUUGGUGAUGCCUUUCGAGUUAACCAAUGCUCCUGUAACAACCCUAAUUUUUCUAUUAGUUUAUUCAUUAAUCUCUCCCCCUAUAAAGGGUAGAUGAAGCAAAAUUUUAUUUUUAUUUUUUACUCGCCGAAAUUUCUAAUGAAAUUUCGGCAGAGUCUCCUCUAUACCGAGAGAUCCCAAGUUAUCGACAAUGUACCUGCACACAUUUAGAAUCACAUCUCAUCCACAAUCACAUUCAUGUUUAGUACAAUCAACUGCAUAACUCAUUCUAGAUUAUGCUCAGGACCAUAUUCAUUCCCAAACUCCAUCUUACAUCACAUACACAAGUUAAUAAUUAAAAGAGCCAAUUUCAACACGAAAUUUCAUAUACAUAUAUAUAUACACAACACAGUUUAAUAUUCUAACAUAGUCUAGUACAUUCUAAUAUCCCAAGCAUAGGUUGGUACAUUUAAUAUUUCAGAAACAAAAUAUUAUGAAUAGAAUAUUCCAUAUAGGUUACAUGUUUACUGCAUGACAAAAUUACACCACUAAUUCCUAAGUUCCUAACUUAUACAAAAAGGGAUCAAAGGACUUUAAAUCUAUUCCUAACGUGAAUGGGAGGGACCUGCAAAAAUAUAAAUUUUCCAUAUAAUAAAAAACAAAUGAUUAAAAUACAAGGAAUUUACAGAAUAAAAUUAAACAACAUAUAUAUCUACUUAAAUCAUAUAAAAUUCUAAAUACAACCACAAACCCCUUUUAAUGGUUAUAUAAGAAUUAUUUAUUCUUCUUCUUUUUCUUCUUUUCCUGUUAACUACUUCUUCCCCCCCCCUUCAUCAAAAAGACUAUUGCUGACACCAAUGACCUCCAUUAGUGUCUUUAGUUGCCCGUCCUGGAACAACUAAUUAGUUUCAUGAAAAUGCCGACACAAAUGUAAACGUUUGUGUCAUUAACUAUUUUUAAAACUAAAAUAGUUAAUCAUUGUUCCAUAUUACCUUGGGAGGUUCUCAGGUAUGCCGAUGUCAAAAUUCUUGACAUCAUUAGCUUCCACCUCGAAAAGCUAAUCAAGUUUAUAAAUUUUGCCGAUAUCAACGUCACGUGCCGAUAUCAUUAACUAUUCUGAAACCGAAUAGUUAAUCAAGUUUAUAAGUUUUGCCGAUAUCGACGUCACGUGCCGAUAUCAUUAACUAUUCUGAAACCGAAUAGUUAAUCAAGUUUAUAACUUUUUGCCGAUAUCGACGUCACGUGCCGAUAUCAUUAACUAUUCUGAAACCGAAUAGUUAAUCAAGUUUAUAUUUUUCCUCUCACGUACCAGUAAUGCCGAUGUUAUCCAGCUUGGUUAACAUCAUUAGCCUCCCAUAUCAGGGACAAACAAAUCAAAUUCGAGAAAUAAUCAUUACCAAAAUUCCUUGUUACGAUCUAUUUCCUCCAAAAGAACCCAUAAAUUAAAUCUAGUUCUCCGUUCCAUUUUAUUUUUCAUCAUUUAACCUUUCCUUUCCCUUUUUUUUUUCCUCAUCAAUAAGCACCAAAGUUUUAUAGUUCAAAAGUUAGUUAAAAUAAUUAUUAACUAGAGGAGAUAUAGGUACCAAGUACCUACCUGUUGUGGACGCUCGACUUGCGUUCCCCUGUGGUUGUUGUACUCCUCUUGCGGUUCCUCCUGAAACCACAAACACCCAUCAUUAUUCCAUAUUAAUCCACAUAUCACAUGCAACAUCAACAUUGAAAAUAAUAUUCAUUUCUCUUUUACCAAAUCUUUUCUUUCUCAUCACUUACAUUCCCCAUUAUUAUCCUUUAACUUUUCAGCUCAUUAGUAGUCCAAGUGGACAUCAUAAAUUCAAUUUUUGAUUACAGUUUAUUCUUUUUGAAGAUCAAGACACACUUUAUGAAAGGCAAGAAAACAAAUUCUACCCUUGAUAUGGCUAAAUUUCACGUUUUAUCAACUUGGCCGAAUCUGCCAACAGGGUGGCAGCUCGACCUCUCAGUUUUUAUUUGUAUCUGGAGUUCUAGGACUCCAAAUUAGGCGAGGUCAGAUUCGUUGGAAAGCUAACACUCCUAGAUACACUUAUAUGAGGGGAACCUCCCUGAAUUUUGUAGUUUUUAGGUCCAAAAUCCCCCCAGGAAACAGGGCAACGAACCUGCCCUGUUUUGCUAAUGGAGAAGGUAUCUCCAAUUCAUCUUAAAUCCCUGCUUCCUCAUCAGUCACAGCCAUGCCUUCCCUUUAUUCAUGGCAUUCCCGUCUCAUUUUAUGUCCUCUUAAGGUCACUGGUACCAAAUUAAUAAAUUAAGCACACCAUAAGUUCUCAUUCCCUCUGCAGUAUCCAGCAGAGAAUGUGGCCAAGGGAACCAAGAGUUCCCGAUGAUGAUUUCUGUCAAAUGGAGGGUUCCUUCCAAUCCCACCGGUCAUUAGUAGAUAAGUGUAAUAAGAACAACAUAUCCAAAACUUAUCAUGAUCCAACGGUGGAGUCCGGAGAUAUGGCCACUGGAGUAUUAUUGGUUUUACUCCAAAAUCUGCAGCUCUUUCUAUCCAUUUUUCUCUUCAUCUUUUUCUUUAAGGCACUUAGAUUAAUCUAAUCCAUUUAACCUCACUCAUUUCUGCAUUUUCCCAACAUUUUAUGUUAAAGAACCCUAAUUCCCAAUUCAAGAAAGGCAUAAACUUCUAAUCAAAUUGAAGUUGAUUUCAUAGAAAUUGGAAUUAGAACUCCUUGGAUGGAAAUCUAAACUUUACUUCACAAAUUUUAGAAGAAUCUUAGCCUUCUUCUCCUUGUAUGUUGUCAGCCACUUUUCCCCCUCUUCUCUUCACAAUUCUUCACUUUUCUUCUUGUUAAUUCUUCCACUCGAUUGUGUUCCUCCACUUAAUAAUUCCAAGGCUUAUUUGGGUUUACUAAUGUUAGGUGUUUACUCCAAGUUAUGAUGAAAGAAAAAUCUAAAAUUCUCCCCCCUCCUUAUUCUUAUUAUCAGCGGGCCAUGGAUGAGAGAAGGGAAGGGUAUUUAUAGUCCCAUCUCUUUUUAAUUCCAUUUUGGCCACAUCUUUCACCUUUUUGUUUUUUUUUCAGUAUUAUUUUAUUAUUAUUAUUUUUGCUUUAUUUUAUAUUAUAACAAUUUGGAAUUAUUAUAAACCUCCCCCUCUUUGUAUACUUUAUUCUCGAGCUUCACAGCUCCGACUAUGCUUAUGGACUUGAUGAAUUGGGUGUUUCGGCCUUACCUGGACCAAUAUGUGGUUGUAUUUAUUGAUGAUAUCUUAGUGUAUUCAAACUCUCACUUGGAGCAUGAACAACUUCUAAGGGUUGUGCUACAGACCUUAAGGGAGAAACAAUUAUAUGCAAAGUUGGAUAAGUGUGAGUUUUGGCUCCAGGAAGUGGUAUUUUUGGGCCAUGUAAUAUCCACAGAAAGAAUACUUGUGGUCCAAAAAAGGUUGAGGCCGUGUUAUAAUGGGAAAGGCCUAUCAAUGUGACAGAAAUCCAGAGCUUCUUGGGCCUUGCUGGAUAUUACCGCAAGUUUAUUGAGGGGUUCUCCACCAUAACAUCACCUUUAACUAAGCUGACCCGUAAGGAGGUCAAGUCUGUUUGGUCAAAAGACUGUGAAGCAAGCUUUAGAGAACUAAAGGAGAGGCUUACUUCUACUCAUGUGAUGGCCCUCCCAUCGGGGACAAAAGGCUUUGUGGUAUAUAGUGAUGCCUCAAAAAAGGGUCUGGGAUGUGUAUUGAUGCAACACGGGCAUGUGAUUGCUUAUGCAUCAAGACAGCUAUAGUCGCAUGAGGUGAAUUACCCGAUUCAUGACCUAGAACUUAUAGCGGUGGUGUUUGUCUUAAGAGUAUGGAGACAUUAUUUUUAUAGGACACAAGUUCAAAUCUUUACAUACCAUAAAAGUUUGAAGUAUUUGAUGUCACAGAAGGAGUUGAACAUGCGGCAGAGAAGAUGGGUAGAGUUAAUAAAAAUAUUACGAUUGCGUUAUUGACUACCAUCCUGUUAAGGCUAAUAUAGUAGUUGAUGCCUUGAGUAGGAAGGGAAAAAUAGUGAUGAAUGAUAUGGAGCUUAAAGAAUAGGAAAGUAUAGUGGAAUUAAAGAGAAUGGGCUUGCAGCUAAGUUUAGGGCCCGAGGGAUCACUAUUACCUCAGUUAAAGAUUCGAUUUGUGCUUUGAGACAAGGUCUUGGUGGUCAACAGGCAGAUGGAAAAGUAAAAGAGAUCAAGGAGAGGGUAAACAAGGGUAAAGAGACAUCAUUUCAAAUGUUAUCAGAUGGGCUAAUAGCUAUGGGUAGGCGGAUUUAUUUGCUUGAGGAUAAGACUUUGAAAGAUGAAGUGUUAAGAGAAGCUCAUAAAUCUCGAUUUUCUACUCAUCCUGGGAGUAAAAGGAUGUAUAGGGAUUUAAAGGAAUACUACUGGUGGCCAAAUAUGAAGAGGGAAAUAACAAAAUUUGUGUCGAACUGUGGGAUCUGUCAACAAGUAAAGAUAGAACACUAGAAACCUGCAGGGGAAUUACAAUCAUUAUCAAUUCCAAAAUGGAAAUGGGAGAAUAUUUCUAUGGAUUUUAUGAUGGGAUUACCCAAGGGAGUGAGGGGGAAUGAUGCCAUAUGGGUGUUCGUGGAUCGACUAACAAAAUCAGCUUUAUUUUUUUCUAUGAAGAUGAUUGAGUUGGUAAAUAAGCUGGCAAAAUUGUAUGUAAAUGAAGUAAUCAGACUUCAUGGAAUGCCAGUUUCAAUUAUAACAGAUCGGGAUCCAAGGUUCACAUCGCGAUUGUGGCCGAGCUUGCAACAGGAAAUAGGGGGCAUAGUUGUAUAUGAGCAAAACAUUUCAUCCCAGAUGAAUGGUCAAUCUAAAAGGACCAUUCAAACUCUUGAGGAUCUCCUGAGGUCCUGUGUGCUGAAUUUUAGAGGGAAUUGGGAGAAUCUCGUACCAUUGGUGGAGUUUACUUAUAAUAAUAGCCAUCAAGCUACUAUUGGUAUGGUUCCAUAUGAAGCCUUGUAUGGGAGGAAAUGUCGUACCCUAAUUUGUUGGGAGGAAAUAGGAGAAAGGAAGCUUUUGGGACCUGAAAUGGUGCAACUCACAACUAACAAGGUAAGGGUGAUCAAAAAGAUGAUGAAGGAAGCCUAGGAUAGACAAAAACAUUACGCAGAUAGUCGAAGAAGGCCCUUGGAAUUCUAAGUGCAGGAUAAAGUAGUUUUGAAGGUGGCUCCUUCGAAAGGCAUCAUUCGAUUUGGAGUAAAAGGGAAAUUAGCCCCGAGAUAUAUUGGCCCUUUAGAAUUGCCUAUAUAUUUGGACAAGAUUCACAAUGUGUUCCAUUUUUCAUUGCUAUGAAAGGCCAAGAUAGACCCCUCACGGAUAUUGCCACAGGCUCCUAUGAAGAUAAAAGGGGAUCUAACCAUGAAAACUAAGCCUGUCAAGAUCUUAGAUCAAGAUGAGAAGUUGUUGAGAAAUAAGAGAGUUCCCUUGGUGAGAGUAUUAUGGAGAAGCUCUUGAAUAGAAGAAGAAACAUGGGAAAAAGAAUCCAAGAUGAAGGAGAAGUUUCCGCACUUAUUCUCCGACAUGGUAUGUAACUGGAAUUUCGAGGAUGAAAUUUUUUUUAUUAGGAAGGGAGAAUGUAAAUCCCAAGAAAAUCAAGGCUAGAUUAAAUUACAGAAAAUAAACUAAACUAAAAAGAAGUGGGGGCAAAACAAAUACACUUAAAGAAAAUGGGGUCUAAAUGCAAAUAAGAAUAUUUAUAGAGCAUAAAUACUCUUCUUUCAAAAAAAAAACAAAAAAACAAAUAAAUCUGAAACUAUCGUGAAGAAAGAAAAUGGGGAGUUUUUGUAUCCAUUUUUAUAGAUCAAGAGAGAAAUACAAAAAUUUCAAGAACCCAUCCAAGAUUAAGGGUUAUAGGUAGAAUAAACACUAGAGGGCAAGCGAUUAACAAGAAAAAAAUUGAACAAGAAAACAAGAGGGGAGGGUCAACUGUCAUUAAAAAGAAAAGGAGGGAUCGAGACCUUGAUUCGUACCGGGUAAGGUAUUCUAAACAUAGAUUUAUGAGUCAUUUUAAAGUCGAAUAUAUAUUGAUGCCUGGAUGUUAAAUUAUAGAUUUGAUUUCUAUAACUCUAGAUAUGGUUAAAAAUCUAAGGAGAGGUCAGACAGUAACAGUUCAAAAAACGAGACAGUAACAGUCCAAAUGAUUAUUGAUGAGCAAUUUUGAUUAUCUUAGAGGUAGAACUGGGUUCUUCUUUCCUCAGAGAACUUGUAGGCUCAUGUCUUAGCUUUCCAACGAGACUAAUCUUGCUUGAAUCGAAGUUUUAUAACUCCAAAUAUAGUUAAAAAUGUGAGAGAGGUCAAACGGUAACAGUUCAAAAAAUGAGACAAUAACAGUUCAAAUGAUUAUUGAUGAGCGAUUUUGACUGUCUUAGAGGAAGAACUAGGUUCUUCUUUCCUAAAGAACUUGUAGCCUCAUGUCUUAGCUUUCAAACAAGACUGAUCUCGCUUGAAUCAAAGUUCUAUAACUCCAAAUAUAGUUAAAAAUCCGAGGAGAUGUCAAAUAGUAACAGUUCAAAAAACGAGAUAGUAACAGUUCAAAUGAUUAUUGAUAAACAAUUUUGACUAUCUUAGAGGCAGAACUGGGUUCUUCUUUCCGUAAAGAACUUGUAGCCUUAUGUCUUAGCUUUCCAACGAGACUAAUCUCACUUUAAUCAAAGUUCUAUAACUCCAGAUAUAGUUAAAAAUCUAAGGAGAGGUCAGACAGUAAUAAUUCAAUGUCUAGACAAUGACAGUUCAGGAUUUAAACAGAAACAGUUCAAAUAUAAAAAAAAGAAUGAUAAUUGGGGUUGGACAAAGAAUGACAAUAUUAAUGGGUGAAAUGAGAAAAACAUAAAAUAUUAAGAAAUGACUGAAAGAAAGAGUUAUUGGUUUGAUAUGGUUAUUAUAAAACAUAUCCUUGAGUGAGGAAAAUUUAUGAGAUUGAACCUGUGAUUUGCAGGAUAGACCACAGAUGUGGUGCAUAUGCAGCAACAAGGGAGCACGAGUAGAGCUUUUAUUGCAGGUAGGUGAAUCGCACCUAUACCUUCUAGUUAAAUUCCAUGAUUAAUAUAUAUUACUGAUGUGAAAUGUGAAUUACUGAAUGUAUGUGUAUUCAAGGGGAAAGGUUGUUGUGUGAAUUGCUAAGUGAUGAAAUUAUCAUUGAGAAAGGAAAAAUGAGAAGUGUGAUUUGAGGCAUAAACUAGCAUACAUUUAGUGUAAGUUAGGAUUUCAGGUAAGGGGAUCGCCACGUUUGGACUAACAUACAUUUAGUGUAUGUUAGAAUCCCAGGUAAGGGGAUCACCAUGUUUUGGCUAGCAUACAUUUAGUGUAUGUUAUGAUCCCGGGUAAGGGAUCACCAUGUAUUGGCUAGCAUACAUUUAGUAUAUGUUAGGAUCCCGGGUAAGGGGAUCACCUUGCAUCGACUCCUACGGGGUGAUGAUGAUGAUACUAGUGAAAUUUGUAUCAGUAAUGUGUUAAACAAAAAUAAUCAUGUUUGAUCUUAUAAAGUCUAGAAUGGAGAUUAAUAGUGGAAGAUGGAACGGUUAUUAAUAUUUGAAUAAGGAAGAGAUUCUAAUGUAAACCAGAAGGGAGAAGUGAACAAAAUAUGAAUGCAUGUUACCCUGAUAAAAUUGUUAGAUAUUCGAGUUGUUAUAAUUAUGUGAUAUUCACCUUUCAAUAAUAUGUAUUUUAUUUUAGGAUCAUCGCAUGCACGACAGGAAUAGAUCAUAGAUUAUGUUCGUUUCUUGUAAUUUAGAUUCUAGGGGGUAUACCCAUGUAUUUUGUAAACAUUAAAAUGUUUGUAUAACUUAAUUUGUAUAAUUAAUGUUUAAACUUGAUUGAAUGAACUUAAUUCAGUAGUUCAUAUAACCAUAUUUCAUGACUAUGCAUUCAUAUUUUCUUGUUUAUCCAUCCAUAAUGAUAUUUUGUUAUACAAUGUAUAUCAUAAACAUUGUGGUUGAUAGGUGUGAGAUUAUUUGUGGAAAUUGAAAAUCCAGGAUGAUUGGGUCGGAAUUAAGUUAUGACAUCUGAGUUAUUAGAAGUGUGAACAGGUUACAUGUCGAUAACUUGGGACCUUUCGGCAUAUGGGGGACUCCGUCAAAAUUUUUAGUAGAUUUUAAUACGAAAACCAUGAAUAUAUAUAUAUAUAUAUAACUCUGUUUUUCGGUUGACAUGAGAUUUUUGUUUUAUCCCGGAAUGGGGGAUGUUACAAUAGAGAAGCAAAGAAGAAGAAGAAGAAGAAACGUCGGUCAGCUGCUCUCAGUUCCCUAGUUCGCAGCCGCCGCCACAAGCCACUGUCAGCCUAGCUCCCAGAGCACCUCCAUUCCAGGUAAUUCUCUCCCCGUGUCUCUGUUUCCCAUAUUCAUCUUCUUGCAUGCAAAACGUGCACUGUGCACAUUUCUGCAAGCAAGGAAAAAUAAUUGCCCAUAGUAACCGGCUAAUUAUAUGGGCAUAGUAACCAGUCCGGGUUGGAUCAUCAGCCCAGUCCACGCGGCUGGGCUGAGUCCAACCCAUUAUAAGAUAGUUUAUAUUUUAUUUUGGGCUGAUCUUGGUAUAGUUUUAUUUUGGGUCGGGUCCGGCCUAUUCAAAAAACAAUUAAAACAUAUUUAAAAAAAAAAAUUGUGAUUCCCCGCGUAAAUUUUUACGCAAUUUUGAUUAACAUUGGUAUGUAUUUUUAUACCGUAAUGAUACAAAUCGGGUAUUAAAAUACCCAGUCUUCAUAAAAAAAAAAUGUUUUCAUGCGUACAACCAGGUCUCUAAAAGUUAAAAAAAAAUUCAUAUUGUAUUUUCAUACAACAAAGAAAACUUCAAAAAAUAUGUUUUAGCAUACAUUUUGGCUUUAAUAACUAGAUUAUUAAAGUCAUGAGAACUAGGCCAAUAUUUCAAAAAACUCAAAAAAGUAUUUUGUUUUGUUUUAGUAUCUAGGAUUAUGAAUUUACAUGUAAAACAUAUUCCUAAUAUUCAAAAGGUAUUUUCUUUUGUUGACAUAGAACGGUUAGGUUUUAUCUCGAUUUGAUAAGGAUCUUUUUACCGAGAAAAAAAGGACUUUUCUUAAACCAUAGAUAGACCAACAAUUAGAACUACAAUACAACCGUACCAUAUAUCAAACAAUAAAACAAUGUAGCUUACCUUAGGUAGGGCAUAUUUAGGGUGUGAAUACCUUCCCUUUACGCAACCAGUCCCCGUACCCAAUCUCUGAGACCAGUUAGGGUUCCUAGUGACCAAAAUACUAGGUGGCGACUCCCAUUCUAUUUUUCCACUGAUAAGAGACAAGCAUUCCUUGUCUUUCUACAUUUGCCAGACAGAUAAAAUACCUAAGUGAGGGUGGAUGAUUGCCAUGAUGCCGCACAUAUGCAACACUAUUAAUUAAUCAAUGAGAUCCAUUUUGAAAAGAAAAAAAGAAUACACAAGUGAGAGAAUAAAAUCCACAACCCACAAAAAAUAAUAAAAUUAUCUUCACCUAGUAUUUCUCUCUCCUAUUUGGAUCUAUUUAUUUCUAUAAAGUGGAUCCCAAUAAGUAACUAAUAGAAUAUCACUAGUUAUAAUUUGAUCACCAUACAAUUUCUCAUUCAAUUCCUCUCAUUUUAGAAGGAAAUAACGGUAAACAAAUACUUUGCAAAAUUCCUAAAAUGUUUAUGUUAUUAUUAAUAAAAUUAAAUGUAAGCUAAUCAAUUCAAUAUUGAAAAUAUAUGUAUCUCAUUAAGAAAAAUAUAUUUAAUUCCAGAAAAUAUUUGGAAGGAAUUAGUAUUAAAAAAACAAACACUUGGCAUUUCAAAUUCCUCACCCUAAAAAUCUUGAAAAUAUCUAUAACAAGUAGUGGAUAUCACCAUUCCCUUUGAAUUCUUAUGCUUAUUCUCUUUCUUUCUCAAAUCUUAGUAGCCUAUCUCUCACUCUCUAUAGUUGGGUAGCACUUUGCACAAUUUUAUUCGAUUUCAUUAUUGAAAAUGUCGUAGCAAUGAUGGCUUUGUUGGGCUUAGAGAGCGUUUGAAAACGCGGUUGUACCCGUGUUUCUAAAAAAUUUAAAUUUUGUUUUGCUAAAAGUUAAUUUCUUUAACGUUUUAAAUCGUUUUGAUGCACUGAUCUCAAAAAUGAUUUUAAAAAAAUGAAAAAACAUCAUUUUGAUGCAUUUUGUCAUGAAAAGCACUUUGAAAAGCAACCACGACCACACUUCCAAACAGGCCUAGCUGGGAGCCCAUGGUUAUUUGGUGGUGCAUCUUUAUUAUACAAUGUAUGGCAUGUAUAUAUAUGUAUAAGAAUUAAUGUAGGGUUAUUCCAAUGUUGUUAUCCUUACGGUUACUGCCGUAUACUGCCACAUAUAUAUAAAUAAGAAAGGUUGGCUAAGACACAACCUAAGUCAUUAUAUUAUUCUGAACUUGGUAUAAGAGCCCUAACUAAGCUAAAACACCUAUUCUCCCCUUUGCAAUGGACUCCUCAUCCUAGCCACAUGUUACCUCUCCUAUCGUAGCAGCACUGUCUUCCUCAGCUUCUGUUUUGCAGUGGGCACAACUCAUAAAUGGUGUUCAUGCUCUCUUCAACCCCAACAAUGCUCUUUUGUUGCAACCCUCUUCUGAUGCGAUCUUUGCUACUACAAUUGUCUCCCUCUCCCACACUUACCAAGUCAUCUCUCUCAAAUUAACAAACACCAAUUAUCUAUAUUAGCGAAUGUAGAUGAAGUUGUAUAUUCUAGGCCAAGGAGUUUUCGGCUUUAUUGAUGGUUCUUACUCUUACCCCUCUCUACAUGUUCUUGCUACCAAUGGUGUCUCUCUUCAGGUAAACCAGCUCUUUCUUCAUUGAAAACAAUAGGACCAACUCAUUCUGAGUGCUCUAAUUUCUUUGCUAUCCAUGGAAGUUCUUCAUGUUGUUGAUGACUUCCAAUCCUUACAUUCUAUCUAGCGCACACUUAAGCAAGCUCUAGCUUUCACAUCCAAUUCUCAUAUUAUGCAACUUCAUGGCUCCCUUCAAGACCUUUGAUAAGGUGAUGAGUCGGUAACUCACUUUAUGCAAAAAUCUAAGGCCUUAUUUGAUGAGUGAGCCAAUGUUGGUUGGCCUGUUUCGCUAGAGAAUUUAACUUAUAUGUGUUUUGUGGUCUUCACGGAGAGUUUAAAUUCUUAGUAACAAGCCUUGUGACCAAGUCAAAACCUCUCUCGCAUGCAGAUCUAUUUAGUCAUCUUUUAACACGUAAAUUUAUUCACAAAUCAUUCCAUAUGUCCAUGGGGUCUGCUGCCAUCAAUGCUCCUCUAUUGCCCAUGCCAAACACACCUCCUUCAACCCUUAUCUAUCAACAUCAGUCUAUUGCACACUUUGGUCGCAAUAAGGGUUGUUUUCAUGAAUCUUGGCGUCUAAACCACUUCAGCCACAAAGGGCACAGUUCUACAACGUCCAGACCAAACUUUCGCAGCUUCCACAACUCCUCUACCAAUGAUGGCAGACAAGGCAACUAGCAUGGAAAUUUGCAGCACAGUAAAGGGCAAAAUCCAUGCUGCUAAUUAUGCCAAACAUUAGGUCAUACUGGGCCUCACUACCCUCAGCUUCAGUACCAUGGCUAUGGACAGCAACUUAGUGCAAAUAUAGCGUUGCGUAAUCCCAUAAGUACUACAAAAUGGUUUCUGAAAACUGGUGCCAAUAACCACAUCACACCCAACCUUGCAACCUUGACUACUGACACGACCAAAAGCUUGAUGUCUUUUUCCAAGUGCAGGAGUGUCGAAGUAAUAAAUAACCCGGCAAGACCGGGGUCGAACCACAGAGAGGUGAAUUGUAUAAAUUAUAAAUAACAAUACAACAACAACAACAACAACAACAACAACAAUAACAAUAAUAAUAAUUAUAAUACUCAGUACGUGGCGUUGUUAUACCUGAGAAUGAUCUAAAAGAUCGGGUCACAGGUUUCCAGCCUAUAUACUGAAUUUAUGAAAAGAUCAAAGAUAUAUAUAUUAUAUAAUAUAAACAGAAUGUAAAUAAUAAUAAUAAUAAUAAUAAUAAUAAUGAAAGCAGAAGAUGAAGAAAUUAAUGAGAACUUUGAGAUGAAAGAUUAACGUAAGGAUUAAACAAUGAUAAAAACAAAUGUCAAGGUUAGAGGAUCCACUAAUGGUACUUCAAACAAGUAUAGUAUAAACUCUUAUUACUCAAUUGGAAACCACACAUAAAGGAGGUUCCAAUCAGAUUAUAAAUUGUUAACAUGAUUACAUUAGUUAUCUUAUUCGAAUAAAGCUAAUACUUGUAAAUGUUGGCAGGCAUUCAUGAUUAUAACUUAUGUUAACAACAAAUCAAGUUCCUUUCAUAGCUCAGGUGUCGGUUAUACCAUACAGUAUGGGCUAUGAAAGUGCCAAGUAUUUGUUGUACCAAGUGUUAUACAACAUAAAUCUAGAUUAACCAUUUAACAAGCAAAGUAUUAAAAGUGAACAAGAUAACAAAUAUAAAACAUGUUAGUAUCCAACGUUAAGGUCCAUGUUAAGUUUAUAUUAUACUUAUUCUUACACCAUUAGUGUACCCUUUUCACCUUGACAUAAUUAACUUAGCUAGACAUAAUGAAAGAAAGAAACAUAAAUGAACAAGAUAAGAACAUAAAUGAGAAAGAGGUUAACUAAGUAAAGGAAAGGAAAUGAAGUGCAUAAACUUGAUAUUAAUGAAAGCAAGACAUAAGCAAUACAAAGAGAGAAAGCAAGAGCAUGAUCUUGAUCUGAAACCAAGAUGCCUCAAUACAUGGUAAGUGCCUCCUUUUAUAGGCCAAAAUUUGGAACUAUUGAUUUGUUGACUAAUUGAUGAGUGGGUGGCCACAUCUUGACUUGAUAACAAUCCUUAUCUUCUUGUCUGAACAAGACGUCAUUGCUAACAUCAUAAUUUGCCCAGAAUCCUCAGGAAUGUUCUAGGAAAUUGUCUCAGCUUUCCAACAAAAAAAAGAUGAGGUCAUUUGGACUUCUAGAACUCAAGAUAUGGGCUGAACACUAAAUAGUGUUUGGGCUGCAGGACAGCUUCGGACUUCUUCGUUGUUCCUUCAAUUUGGACUUCAAAAUGACCUUUUUAAAUCUUGGGCUCCUCAUGAAACUUGUAGGCCUUUGUCUUACCUUUCCAUCCAUAUAAAAUGGACCUAAAUCCGAGACAUAGAGCUCCAGAUAUGAUCCAAUUACCGAGCAAUGUUCCGGUUUGGACUGCACCGACAUCUCUUUUCUAAGUUUGGCCAUCUCUUUGUCUUUAACUUUCAAUACUUAAACUCAUCAAUCAAUCCUUUUAUUUAUGUGAUAGUCCUGCAUUUAAAAUGAGCAUUUACCAUAAAUUAAGGUAUCUUAUAAUAUCAAACUUGUUAUUAUAAAACAUGCUUUAGUUAAGGAGUUAUUGAUACUUUAAGUGCAAAAUGAUGAUAUAAAACCUUGAUAAACAUGCACUUUUAAGUACUAAUCGACUACUUCAUAACCAUACCUUGGUAAUGAUAAUUUGCAUGUUGAUGAUGGUAAGGGACUUCCCACAUCUCAUAUCGGUCAUACCAAAAUAUAGACACCACAUCGUUCUUUCACUUUAUCUAAAUUUCUUCAUGUUACUGCAAUCACGAAACAUUUGCUUUCUAUUUAGAAAUUUUAUCUCGAUAACAAUGUUUAUUUUGAAUUUCAUCCAUUUGUGUUUUAUGCCAAGGAUCUCAACACCAAUGGAGUACUCCUCUCAUGUUAGAGUAAAGAUGAUCUCUAUGCUUUGUCCAGGUCUUCCGUCUCGUUAGUUCCUCAAGCAUAUUGGUCUCCCUGUAUUUAUGCUUUUGCUGAUUUAUGGCAUUGUCGACUAGGUCAUCCUCCUCUUGUAUUUUUCAAUUGUUAGUCUUGAAAAAUAAGAUCAUUUGUAACAAUAAACAUCUUAAUUUUCAAUGUCAAAGUUGUCCAUCAGGAAAAUCAUCGGAUUUGUCUUUAGUGAUGUGCGGGGUCCUACUCCCCUUUUUUCUUUGGAUGGCUAUCUUUAUUUUGUUAUCUUUGUUGAUGUUAUAUGUGAUGAGAUCAAGGUGUUGCGUUCUAAUCACACUUGGUCUCUGGUUCCCUUUCAUCUUUCGAUGAAUGUUGUUGGCAACAUAUGAAUGUAUCGGAUCAAACAUCGUGUUGAUGGCAGCAUUGAGCGUUAGAAAGCCCGUCUAGUUGCUAGAGGCUUUACCCAGCACAAAGGAAUUGAUUAUUCUGAAACCUACAAUCCAGUUAUUAAACAGACCACCAUCAGAUUAAUCUUCUUCAUUGCGGUUUCACGCAAUUGGAAAAUUCAUCAGCUCAAUAUUCAUAAUGCAUUUCUCAAUGGUGCUCUUACUAAAGAGGUCUACAUGAAACAACCUCUAGGUUUUGUUGACUCUACUCUUCCAUCUCAUAUGUGCAGAUUGCACAAGUCGUUGUAUGGUUUAAAACAGGUAUCGAGGGUAUGGUACACUCGUCUGAGUGACUUUUUGCUCUCCAUUGGUUUUAUUGCCUCCAAGAUUGAAAACUCCUUAUUUAUCUUAUCUGAUGAUACUAAUAUCUUUUAUAUCCUGGUGUAUGUUGAUGAUAUUCUGCUUACGAGUAGAAACUCUACUAUGCUUCAUCACCUAAUAUAGUUACUGAGUUUUGAAAAGCUCCGUGACUUGGGCAUGGUUCACUACCUUUGGGGUAUUGAAUUUCAGUCUACAAGUAUGGGUUUGAUGUUGCGCCAGCACAAAUAUAUUCUUGACAUCCUCACUUGGACUGGUAUGACUUCCUACAAACCUGAUGAUACUCCAGUUUCUCCUUCAAAAGUUACUAUACUGCCAGAUAAUCCAUUCUCUAAUCCUACACGAUUUCUUCAAAUCAUGGGUGGUCAUUAGUACCUUACCUUCACCUGACCAGAUAUCUAAUUUGUUGUUAACAGUCUGUCAGUUUAUGUAUGCUUCUACAGAUUCUCAUUAGGCCAUCGUUAAACGCAUUCUACAUUACCUUAAAGAUAUAACAUCUUAUGGUUUUCAUAUCACUCAAGGUUUCUCUUUUGCUCUACAUGAUUUUAAAUGCAGAUUGGGUUGGUAAUAUUGAUGAUUACAAGUCUAUAGGUGGUUACCUUGUUUUUUCUUUUUUUGUCAGACGUCGAUCUCAUAGAAGUCAAGCAAGCAACGCAUAGUUGCUCACUCAUUUACUUAGGCUGAGUAUAAAGCCUUAGCGAACGGCAAUGCUAAGGUCAUCUGGCUUCAAUAUUUAUUAACAGAUCUGCAGGUUCCCUCCGUCUCUACUCCUACUAUUUGGUGUGAUAAUCUUGGUGCCUCUUAUCUCUCUGCAAAUUCUAUUUUUCAUGCUUAUACUAAACAUGUUGAGGUGGAUUAUUAUUUUUUCCGAGAUUGAGUUGUGAAGAAAGAAAUUUAUAUUUGUUUUAUCCCUUCGCAGGAUCAACUUGCGGAUGUCUUCACCAAGCCACUUUCUACUACUUUCUUUAUUGCUUUCUGUUACAAGCUUCGGGUCAAUCCUCCACCCUUAACUGGAGGAGGUACAUUAUAGAAUGUAUAGCAUGUAUAUAUAUGUAUAAGAAUUAAUGUAGAGUUAUUCCAAUGUUAUUAUCCAUAUAACGGUAUGUUUUCCAUUCUAUUAUUACAUAAGAUUGAGCUUCAUUGCAAGAUUUAAUGAGCCUUUUUUGGAUCGGUUAAUGGGUGUGCAAUGAUUGUGCAUUAAAUGCACACCCCACUUGUCAUCUCCCUACCCAAUUUCUGGUGUGGAUUUUGUGUUUCUUGCAGGGGCUUGGAGUUGUUUUCAUCUUGGAUUGGUUAUCUUUGAUGUCACGAAAAAAUAAUAACAUAGAGGAAUUUUUACAGCAUUUCAUAGUUUGGUUAACUAUUUUAUGUCUUCCUUUGAUUGACCACCAUGAUUAUAGGCAAAAAAACACAAUCUUAAAAAAUGAUAGAAAGUGAAAAGAAACCAGAUGUUAGGCUGAAUAAACAUAGCCACGUGUAUCAUAUUUUAGAUUUUAAUAAAAAAUAUCCUCUUUAGUUUGUAUUUUCCUUUAACUAUCCAGUUUGUGCAGGGCAGCUCUGUACAACAGUCGACGUUGCUCUUUGCUUUCUCUUUUAACUAUGGUGAGUCAUUUCUAGUCUUGCUCUCUUUUUAUUUAGUUGUCAGUGAAGUUUGUGUCGUAAGGUUUUGAAUUCUUUAGGGAGUUCUGAUUGUUGUUAGGUGAUUAGCUGGUGACAACUUGGCUAUUAGCUAGCUUUGAUCUAGGAUUAUAGGUUGCUCCUGUCAACUUUUAGACUGUCAUUUGUUUGCAUUGGAUGCUGUGUAGAUAAAGCAGCAAAAGAAUGAAGUUUUCUUACAAAGACAUAGCUUUGAAGCUCUUUUUAUUCUUUUUAAACUUCCUUGUAAGGAAAUACGUGUUUAUAUACUUUUCACGAAUUCAUUAUUGUUUUAUUUUUUUUAUACAACCACAUAAAAAUCAUGAACUCGUGAUUUUUUUUAUUUUUGUUUGAAACUUGCUCUUUAGAUUAGGAUAAGUUAUUAUUUAGAAAAAUAUGCUCCUAAUAAAACGACAUGUUUUUGUAAGAAAAAAAAAACAAUAAGAAAAUGAUAGUUUUUUUCCCAAGAAAUAAAAUUUUCCCUUCUCAAUUUAAAGUAUUGAGAUUGUUACGGAUAUUUAUUUUAAUUACUUUGAUUUUUUAUUGAAAAAAUGAUGUUGCCUUUUCAUAAAAAAGAAAUUAUAAAUAAGGAAUGGGGACUUCAAUUUAAAAAAAUACAUUUUCUUCUUCAAAAGCUAAAUCCUUUAAAAAAUACUUUUGUACGUGUUCAGAAUCUGGUGGUGGAAUCAGAUUCUUCAAUUCUUGUGGGAUGGCUGAGCCAUGGAAAUAUGCUCAUGAGUUCUUCUCUAUUUCAACCCUCUUUAAGCUCUUAUUUCAUGUUCAGUUUGUACCUGUUCUGCGUGAAGCUAAUGUUGCAGCUGAUGUGAGGGAAUGAGGCUCUGUAUAGAAGGAGCUGCUAUAGAAAGAAUAUGGUAUGGUUGCAUCUAUUGUUUUUAGUUUUAAUUUUGUGUUCUCUCUCUUCGUGUACUUUAUCAUCUUGUUAUGGAGUCCAAGGGCCUGUAUAACAAAAUAAUUUUUCUUUUUCUUUUUCAGUUUUGUUUUUCAAGUUCCAAUAAAAAGUCAAAGAACAUGUUCAUCUCUAAAGUUUUAAAACAUUUUUUCAACCCAGGAAACUAAAAAAUAUGUUGAUGCUAUAUUGUUUUUCAUUUCGAGAAAAAUAAACACGUAGAAAUCGUCUAGUUUUUUAUGACAUUCUUAAUUUUUUAACGUACACUAUUUUUUUAUCAUUAAUUUGAGAAACAUCACCUAAUUAAAUUGUACAUCUAAUUUUCCACUCGAACAUUUUCAAUUUUUGUUAUUCAUUCAAAGGUCCUCUCUACCUAUGAUCGAAAGUCAAUGGAACCAAAGUAAAUGGAGCAAAAGUUAAAUGGAACAUUAUUAUUAAUUCAUUUAUGAACCCUUCACAAAAAAAUAGAUGGUGCUUACAAUACUGAAAUGUUGGGUCAGUGCCUGCACUUUCAUAGCUUGGUUUCACUGAUUGUAAAAUCCUCGACCACUUUAGAAAACUCACCUUUUAUUUUUUUAUUGUUUUUUAAAAUAUUUUUUAUUUAAAAAUAUAUUAAAAUAAUAUUAUUUUUUAUAUUUAUACAUCAAAAUAAUGGUAUGAAAAUACUUAAAAAUACUAAUUUAAAAUAAAAAAUAAAAAAAAUUUAAAUUUUUAAAAACAUUUUUAAAACAUGAAAUAUGUGAUAUAUCAUACUACUCAGUAAAGUUUCUUCCAUCUGAAAACUCAGUAAUUAUCUUCAUCACACAUGAAAUCAAUGUCAGAAAACCCACGAGGUAGUCUUCCUCGUUAACCAUAAACUUACGAACUCGUGAAUCAAAUUCAAUGGAAAAAGAGAAGGAGAAGCGCCUUUUCCAUGGUUGUCUUCAGUUGGUGGAAAAUUUGGAGUAAAUGAUGUUUUCCAAGUUUAGCUUUAUUUAUAGAAAAAUGAAAAAUACUUGUUUCUUUUUUUCUAAUUUGUAAAAAGAAUGAAUUUGAACACAAACUCUAUUUUUCAUGUUUUUUUUUGUUUUUUUUUAUAAAAAUGGAGUAAUACUCCAUUAUUGAACACUGUUGAUCAAUUUCACAAGUUCAAGAAUUAUAACAAGUAAUAAAAUGAUGAGCAGAAUAAUAUCGUUCCACAAGAAUUUGCAAAAAUUACUACUAAUUACUAAAGUCUUUUAAACUAUGAUCUAUUUGAGGAAUCGAAUGAGAUAAUAUAUAAAACAAAAAUUAAUGAUUAAAAACAAACAGUCAAUUGAUUAAAUAUUAAUGAUUUCAAUUCUACUAGUUAUAAGAUUUUUGACUUACCAUAACUAUUCAUAUGUGAAGUUUCUCAAUUGAAUUAAUUACUUCUACGUUGAUAAUCAGAUUUUUCUAACUUAAACAUUAAUCUCUCUCUAGUAUCAAUGAAUUAUUUCGAUAAGCAAAUUUCAUAUACUCUACAAAAGUUCUGAACUUAUCGAAAUUUAUUAAGUACCGUAAAACCUGUAACGAUUACAAAAGUUUCUAGGAUAACUAUAUCCUAUAGAUUUCUUAAGGUAUUUCAAACAAUAGCUAAAACAAUUAUAUAUCACUUCUCAAUCUCAAAGUGAAUUCUAAAUCACGCAAAUGUUGGCCAAACAUACACAAGCAUUACACAUAUAAUUAAAUACUCAACAACGUAAUGUAAUAAUUCAAUCGAAGAAAUUGUUUACAUAUUCAUAGUAAGGUUACAUCAAAAUUCCCAGAAUAAAAGUCUACUUCAUAGUUAAAUUAAAGAGAAACAAACUUAAUACGAUGAAUAUCACUCAAAAGCAGAGAAUAGCAGUGAAAUAGGUAGGUGUCCUCCAAAUCUUCUCUAUUUUUUCCUCUAUUUUCCUUCCCUCUUUGUGCCACCUAUUCUUCUUUGUUUAGUCUAUUUUAGGGUCUCUCUAUGUAUGCACGUCUCCCUUGCAGACCCCUCCCUUUUCUUUGAUAUUGUGGCCUUUCUAUCCCUGCUGGAAUGAAGAUAGUUUUCUUUUUUUAUUUGAAUUCCUUCCUACCCAGACAUUGCGGGCCAGAUUUGAGGUAGGAAACAUACGAAUUCAAAUAUCUCUAUUUCUGGAGAAAUUGUAAAAAAUUAAAUCUUCUUUCCAACAACACUGAUCUUACAAUUUUGAACCUCUGAGACUUGAGAUAAGGCGCAUAAACCGAGACAGUAUUUGAAGUGUAGGAAGUUCAAGUCUACUUCAAUCCCUGUUUUUCGACUUGUUUUUUUGGCUUCGAAACAAGAUAUUUAAAAAUGGUAACGAACAUCUGGAACUGAGUUAUAUAGCUUCUUUUGCAGCAUAUAGUAAAUCAAUGUUCGAUUUUACUGUCGAAUUCUUCGUGCUCAGUAACCUAGUAUCUGAAAACACAUUAAUUUCCCACGAGGUUAAUAGUUCAAAAAAAAAACCAAAAUUCUAAUUAUCUUGUGCUACACUUCUAAAAUAUUUUAAAAUCAAGCAUGAAUAGUAGAAAAUAUACAUACUAAAAAUUCCUUUAUCAUACACACCCAAAACUCCUGGAGUUACAAAUCUCUAAUAAAAAAAAAAAUCAUACCAACAAAUUAGAUUUAAAAAGAUAAAAUUUCUGGUAGAGUUUUUAAAAUUCGAGUCUAGGUCUUUGUCUUUUGGAUUUUUAUAAAUGAUUGAUAAGUUUGUACCAAGAGAUUUUAGUAUGGUAUGUUUCAUGUGGGCCCCGACGCAUUGAUUGAUAAACGCCACUUAUGAUAGCCAAUGAAUAAAAUUUCUCUUAAGAAAUAAUAAUAAUAAUAUUAUCAAAUUCCAUGGCCCUUUCUCCUUUGUACUGAUCGCUUUAUUUUUGUUUUUCGAAUUAUGAUUUUGAUUGUGGUCGUAGUGUAGCGAGACGUCGACAUAGCAGCUGUAUGGAGACUGGACAGGCCCUAAAGCAAAGGAUUGAUUUUUCGCUUUUAGGACUUCAAAGCACUGCAACUAGGUUGGUGAAGAAUUGAGUUUAACUGUGUGGCCUUCCUUGGGAAAAUUAAUGUCUUCAACAUGGAAAGAGAAAUGGAAAACUGCAAGGCAAAUGGGAUAAGAAAUCAAGAAGAGCAAUGAAGCAGUGACAAACCAUUUCUUUUUACAUGUGGGUCUUCCAAUUUUUAUUUUAUUUUAUUUUCCUUUCUGUGGACAUGAGGCAAAAUUCGUACAAGAUAUUGUGAAAAUUAAGGUUCCAGAAAAGCUGAACCGCACUAUGACAUUAACAGCAGUGACAGGCCUGAAGAUGUAAAAUAGCGAGUAAUUGCCAAGAUUGAUGGAGCUUUCUAAAAAGAUGUGGAGAUAUAAAUAUGUGGCGUCAAUUCGUUUCCACGUCAUAAAUGUGAUUGAUAAACGCCACUUAUAAUUACGUGUAUAGAGCCAAUGAAUAAAAUUUCUCUUCAAAAAAAAAAAAACAAAAUAUUAAAUUCCAUAGCCGUUUUUCCUUUGUAUUGAACACCCUAUAUUAUUUUUUUUCGAACUAUGAUUUUGGUUGUGUGUUUGCAGCGUAGUACGUCGUAGCUCUGAUACAAGGAUCAGUGGCGGAGUACUAUAAUAAUUAUAACAUCUUAUAUUAUAAACCUAUUCUAUAAUACGGAGCCACAUGGGAACCAAAAGAGUUAAUUGCCUCCUUAAUUUUUUUUAAUAUUUUUUAUAUUGAAAUAUUAGUAUAAUAAUUUAGUGAAUGGUUUAUAUAAAAAAGUUAUUAUUGCAUUUCCUUUUCUUUCUUUUUCUUAUCCUAACUAUGCAAAUUUCUCUUUUGCUUUCCCAUAUGUCCAGCUCGUUCAUUUCUCUUCAAGUAAUUAACUUUUUUGGUUUUUUACUUUAUAUUUUAGAUAAAUUUCCUUCAUUUUUUUUAUUUGUUUUAUUGUUUAUUGUUUAUUGUUUAUUGUUUAUUUUUAUUUUUUUAUAAUUAGUUAUUAAAAAUAUCAGAAUUUAUAAUAAUUUAAGUUUUUUAUAUGAAUAUGUUCAAAAUAAAUAUUUAAAUUUUAUAAUUUAAUCAAUUAAAUGUUUUAUUUUCUUAUUAUAAAAAGAAUAAAUUAAUAUUCAUGCAAAACCAUUAUUAUUGGCAUCUCUUGCAUUGGUAAAGUAAUUUAUUAAAAUAUAAUAUUUUCACAUGAUUUGUUUGUAAGUAAAAUAUCAAGUAGAAACCAUGUUUUUCAAGUAUUGUUUCUCUUAUACAGACACUAUAUAUUAUUCCUCAAUUAAAUGUCUAUAAAUUAUUAAGUAUAAUUUAAUCAACAUACUUAUUAUAUACAUAUAGAUAUGUAAGUUUUAUGAAGUGAUUUUAAAAUAUGAAAACUCGAAUAGAAGAAUUACAAUGUAAUUAAGUUUUUUUUCAUUUUAAAGUAUUUUUAAAUUAAUUUUACUUAAUAUAAAUUACUAUAUAUGUUUUGAAUUGAUUUCUAACACAUAUCUACAUAAUAUAGUAUUUGUUAUUAAUUUGCCCUCUUAUUUCAAAAACUCUGGCUCCGCCACUAAUAUACUUUGUAAUUUUUUUUUCUUUUUAUCUUAGUUAAUAUCAAUAAUUAUUAAUUAAUAAAGCAUUACAGCUGUAUUACCAUGCUAAUUUGAACUAAUGAAGUUAUUUUGAUCUUAUCUUAUAAUAAUAAGAUAUUAUUUGAAUUGAUGAAGUUAUAUUUAAAGUAUUGCUAUACAAGAAAUCUGCUGGUUAAUAGAUUGAUAUUUAUAUAAAUUAAUUAAUAUCGAGUCAUUAAUUGUGAAUACAUAAUAUAACCAAGACAUAUUGAUAAUUAAUAUCUUGAAAGAAAAAAAUCAAUUUAUUAAAGAGUAAUAGUAGAUAAGGUCAAAAUGUAACAAGGUUCAUCAUUUGUAAUGGCAAAUGUUGUCACCAUGUAUGCAGACCAUUUUAUCACAUUAUAAAAUGCACUAAUGAGAGUUUAUAAUUAUAUCACAUAACAACCAUUUUAAAAAAUUCAUGUUUUUACCUGUCUCUUUUAUUUGCUUAAAUCGUACAUUAAGUUUUGGAAGAUGAAUUUUAUAUAUAAAAAUAAUAUUUUCAAAAAAAUAAAUUACUUUUUAAUAUUUAAAUAUAUAUAUAAAAAAUGAGUUGAAUUUUUUUUUUAAUGUUUAAUUAGAUAAUAAAAAUAAGCAAGAAAAUAGAAGAUUCUGGUUAUGAAUUUUUUUAAAAUUAACAAAAUAUUUUUUUGUUGUCAACUUUAUUUCAGCUAUUAUUUAUUCAUGAAAAAUAUAUUAUUUUUUGGUUUUGCAAUGAAAAAUUAAUUAGAAAUAUAAGGACAUGAGAACUCCAAAAAAAAUCUGCACACAAAAAUUCUGCACUUUUCAAUAAUAAUAAAAAAUUAAUUAUUUAACUCGUCGACCCUUCAUGCGGGCGUGAAAUCCUUUUCGCGUUAUAAAUGAUUGAUAAGUUCGUUCCAAGAGAUUUUAGUAUGGUGGGUUUCAUGUGGACCCCGACGCCUUUUAAAUGAUUCAUAAACGCCACUUAUAAUUAAGGCUCGAGAAAAGCUGAACCGCACAAUGCUGCAUGUGCCCUCUUCUUCAGGUAAAGGACAUUAACAGCAUAAAAAAAUAUCCCAUAAAAAACAUUUCCUAAACAAAGUAUAAAGGCCUAAACCAGAAGCCAAUCUGACCUUUUUUAUUGUUAAUAUAGGAGCUUGAUCAUUAUAUUAUGACUUAUUAAUUUAAAAGAAGAAUUAUUACUAUAAUCUUUAUAUUUAUUGAUGGAAUUUUUUAUUGGUAUUUGCAUUAUCAUUUUGUUGGUAAUUAAUUUACCAAUAAAAUUACCUACAAAAAUGCUAUGUUGGUGAAUCCUUCGUCGGUAAUUUUUUUCGUCGGUAAAUCCAUAAUUAAUAAAAAAAUUAUUUUGCCGAUAAAAAAAGCGUGCAAAAAAAAAAUUAACUGCUUCAUUCCGUCAGUAUUUCUCUCGAUAAGUUUGUAUGUAAUUCCAUCAAUAAUUAUUUUAAAAUAUUUUUUAAAAAAUCUAUUUUACAAAACUAUAAAAUAAUUAAAUUAAUAUAAAUGAGCACUCUAUAAUAUUCAAAACACUUGAAAAAAAAACCAACUCAAACAAAUUUGCAACAAAUAAAUAACAAGAAAAAAUAAAUUCAACUAAAAAAAUUCAUAUGAAAAAAAUAAAGUUGCAAUUGCUGAAAAUUUUAAAAUCCUAUAAAUAAAUCAACUAAAAAUUGAUCUCAUAUGGAAAAAAAAAAAUCCUACAACAACAUUCAUACAAUUAUUAAGAACAAAAAAAAAAAAAAAUAUAGUGAAAAAAAAAAAUUCUUACCUUAAUAUAGUUGCAAGUGAAGCUAAGAAGAGUAAAAAAAAUCAUAAAGUAUAUUAAUUAAAAAAAAAACUAAGAAGAAAAAAAAGUAGAAAAAAUGCAUAUUUGAGCAUGGAGGAGAAGAGAAAGAGUUGAGGAGAGAAGAGAAGAAAAAGAAAUAGAUAUUGAUGUUUCUUACAUAUGAGGAAGAAGAAGAAGAAAGGAGCCUUGUUUGUUGUGAAAUUGGGGAUUCCAAACUUUUUAUUGGGGUGUUUUACCAAUGAUUUUACCGACGAAUAAUUAAAUAUUAAUAUUUUUAAAUAUUAUGUCGGUAAUAUUUAAUUUAAUCAAAAAAUUUUAGAAACCGCUAAAUAUCACCAUGGCUUUUCAAUUCUUCGGUGAUUCCAUCUAUAAUAUUUAAUUUAAAUAUUUAAUUUAAUCAAAAGUUUUUAGAAACCCACCAAAUAACACCAACUUUUUAAUCCGUCAGUGAUUUUGUCUUUAAAAAACAGUAAUUAACAAUGCAAUUGGGGAGUGAACAAUUCCAUAGCUCUCUAGAAAAUACCAAUGAAUUUUUUCGUUGGUGAUUCCGUUUGUAAAUGACAUGAUGAACAAUGUUAACAUUUUACCAAUAGAAUUACUGACGGAAUUUAUUCCAUCGGUCAUUCCGUUGGUAAAAAAUAACACGUCAUCAUUUUUUUUAAUUAUUUUUUUCCCACUGUAAUUCCCUCAAUAGAUACUGAGGGUAUAUUUCCAUCGGUAAAAACCGUUGGAAAUUUAUUGAUGAAAAUAUUCCCUCGGUAUUUUCGUUUGUAUUUAUCGAUUUUCUAAUAGUGAAUUGAAUUGAAUGUCAUAUGUUUCUCCUGAAUUCAAUCUACACUUUAAUUAUAUAAUAAAUCUCAUUCCUUACUUGGUUAAUCAAAAGGACACUCAGGGUUUGCACACAACAAUUCCUUACUUGGUUAAUCAAAAGGACACUCAGGGUUUGCACACAACAAUAAUUAAAACUGAAACUUCUAAUAGAAAUUAGAUUUUAGCUACUAACAAAUUUGAAUUGUAGUUGCAAUGCUUUAUUUAUAACUCAUGUCAAAUAUCAGUUGCGAAUUGAAUGCCAAAUCUCUCCUUAAAAAAUUGAGAAACCAUCAUCCAAAAUAUCAUAUUAACAAACACAAUAUUUAAACCAAAAACAUAAAAAGGAAAUUCUCGAUGUGCUCGCUUGAUAUAACUUCCUUAAUAUACAAGGUCAGGGGUAUGAUGGUGCUAGUAAUAUACUAUUAAAUAAUAUUUAUUUACUCUUAUUUAUUAAGAGUAGAAUAGUACUUUCAAUUUAAACUAUAUAAUUUCUUUAUAUUUAGGUUAACUCUAACACUCAUAAUAAACUAAUUAUUGAGGAUUAUGCCUUCUUUUUCUGUUUGAUUUGAAUUAUUUUAACAUGGUAUCAGAGCUGAUUUAUAUGGAACGAGGCUUAAUCUCAAAAAUAUUUUGAGUGAUAUUUUGUCUUUUCGCUUUUGCAUAAUCUGUAUUUUCAUCUUUCUUCAACUUCUGUAAUUUUGGUAUUUAUGUUAUGUCUCUGCAAUUGUUUUGGUAUUUCGUCUUCUGUAAUUUGGUGUUUGUGUUCAAUUUUUGUAAUUUGUGUUGUUUUGGAGUAAUCAUGUAAUUUCAAGAAGAUAUUUGUUGAGUAUUUGUAAUAUAUGUUUAAUUUCUGCAAUUUAGUACUUUGUCUUUCGCUGCUUUUGCGUUCUAGUUCUUGUUUGUUAAUUAUAGCUACCGAAAGAGAUGAUUUGCUUCACUCUGUGAGUGUGAGGUUGGAUGGAAAGAAUUAUUUGUAUUAGAGUUAUGUAAUGAGAAAUUUUCUUAAAGGUAAAAAGAUGUGGGGGUAUAUUAGUGGAACUUAUAUGAUACCUAAUAAUACUGAGAAGGGGAAUGUUGUUUUGAUAGAUACAUGGGAAGCAAACAAUGAAAAGAUCAUUACUUGGAUCAACAAUUUGUUGAGCAUUCGAUAGGUACACUGUUGGCGAAGUAUGAGAUAGCAAAAAGGGUUUAGGAUCAUCUAUAAAAGUUAUUCACGCAAUCAAAUUUUACAAAAUAGUAUCAAUUAGAGAAUAACAUAUGAGCUCAUAAUCAAAACAAUAUGAGUAUUCAAGAGUUGUAUUAUGCUAUGAUAGAUCUUUGGAAUCAAUUGGCUCUUGUAGAAUUGACAGAAUUAAAGGCAUGUAGUGCCUAUAUUAAGCAUAGAGAGAAGCAAUGAUUGGUAUAGUUUUUAACAGCACUUUGCAGUGAUUUCGAAGGACUUAAAGGUUCAAUUCUGCAUCAUUCUCCACUGCCUUCUAUUGACUCUAUUGUCAGUGAGUUAUUAUUGGCUGAAGAAAUACUUCUUCAGUCUUAUUCUAAAAAGGAAAUUCUUUCUACUUCAAAUCCUUAUGUACUAGCAAUACCCUCUAAUCCAUUCUUUAAUCAUCAGAAUAAGCCUUACAUAAGGAUUGGCUUUGAUGAGUGCAGUUUUUAUAAGCAAAAAGGUCAUUUGAAGGCUUAGUGUCCCAAGUUGAAACAACAGAAUCAAGCUUGGAAGCAUGGCAACCAGUCACAAUCUAAUGCUCAUAAACCACUUCAGGGUUAUAAACCACCACACCACAAUACUACAGUAGUAGCUUCAUCAAGCUCUAUCACCAUUCUUACUACUUGCUAAGCAAUUUCAUAAUUUUCUCUCCUUACAACCAUAAGCAAUGUUUGCUUCUUCUUUUAUAGGUCAGUUGCCCCAUAACUCCUUAAGUAUACAUUCUGAAUGGGUCUUAGAUUUUAGUGCUUCCCAUCAUAUGUCUCCAGAUUCUUCAUCUUUUACCCAUGUGUCCCUUUCAUCCUUCAUUCCUGUUAUGACUGUCGAUGGCAUUCUCCUACCUUUAGUAGGUGUUGGUUUUGUUGUCACACCUUACUUGUCUCUCCCUAAUAUUUAUUUUAUUUUAAAACUCAAAUUAAAUCUUGCUUAUAUUGGUCAAACAUAUGAUUCUGGUGAUUAUUUAGUCAUAUUUUCUGGUUCUUUUUAUUGUGUACAAGUCAUAGGGAGAAUGGACUACAUAUUUUGGAUGAGUUAAAAAUGUCAGUUGUCGUUGUUACUGCUACUACUACUAUUGAUUUCUCUUCCUUUCGUUUGAGUCCUUCAUCUUCUAGUUUUUAUUUAUGGCAUUCUUAUCUAGGUCAUGUUUCGUCUUCUCAUUUAAUAUUUUUAGCAUUCAUAUGAGCUUUAGAAAAUUUAAAAACUUAUGAUAUUUCUGAAUGUAGUGGAUGUAAACUAGCAAAAUUUUCCGCUUUACCUUUUAAUCGAAGUAUUUCUAUUUCUUCUUCACCAUUUGAUUUUAUUCAUUAUGAUGUAUAGGGACCCUCUCCUACUGCCACAAAAGGACAGUCUUGAUAUUAUGUUUUAUUUAUUGAUGAUCAUACUCAUUAUUGUUGGGUUUAUCUAAUGAAACAUCGUUCUGAAUUCUAUGAGAUAUAUACAGCCUUUCGAGCUUUUAUGAAAACUCAACAUUCUAUUGUAAUCAAAUCAUUUAGGUGUGAUUUGGGUGGAGAAUAAACUUUUAAUAAAUUUUGUCAAUUGCUUACCUUAGAUGGAAACCAUUCACCAAACUUCUUGUACAUAUAUUCUUAAGCAAAAUGGUGUUGCUGAAAAAAAACAUAGGCACAUUGUCGAAAUUGCUUGUUCUCUCUUGUUGUCUUCUUCUGUUCCUAAUGAGUUUUGGGGAGAAGUUGUCCUUACUUCUGUAAGUUUGAUUAAUACAAUCUCAUCUUCUCAUAGUUUAGGUUUAUCUCCUUUUAAAAAGUUAUAUGGGCAUGUCCCUGAUUAUUCCUCCUUUAGAGUUUUUUGUUGUACUUAUUUCGUUCUUCGUCCCCAUGCAGAACGCAGUAAGUUGUUCUCUUAUUCUACUAUUUGUGUCUUUUUGGGUUAUGGUGAAGGUAAAAGGGGUAUCGUUGUUUUGAUCCAAUAACUCAAAAAUUUUAUAUGUCUCGUCAUGUUGUCUUUCUCGAGCAUAUACCUUUAUUUUAUAUUCCAUCCACUACUCAUAACUUGACUAGACCUGAUAUUAUUCAUAUCAAUCCUUUUUUUGAGGAUUUUGAUAAUAUAUCAUCACAGGUUCCUAGUACCUUAAAUACCAUUUCUCAUGUUCAACUAAUUUGUACUCAUCAUCCUACAGGUACUGACACUUUACUCUCUAGCAAACCUGAAUCUCUAUUUUCAUCUACAACCCCCCAAGCUUCGUCUGAGAUUAUGGAUCCACCUCUACUACUUCAAUUCAUACACAUUCGUAUGUAAACCCCAAGUUGAAAUUAAUUAGAAAAAAAAAUCAAUAUUUAUGAAGCAAGGUUAAAAUAAGUAAAAAAAUAAAUUAGGAAGUCAAUCUAACAAUUAAAGUGUGGGAAUGAAAAAAACAAAUACAAGAUAGAGGAAUUAAAGUGUAUAAAAAGAGAGGAAGAAAUUCUAGGAAUUAAUAAGACAAUAGCCAAACAACGCCAAAUCGCAAUUAGGAAGGAGUAUAAAUACAUGUGAGAGAGUAAGAUGGACACUUUUCUUCUCCAUAAAAGCUAGCGGAAACCAUAAAGAACAACUCUUCCCCAUUUUAAUUUCAAAACAGAAAUACUUUGCAUAUUCCCUUUUACCUAGCGCAAGAGUGAAAGAAGAAUAAUUGUAAGGUGAAAAAUCAAGAAUUUGAAGUAGAGAAAGAGAGAUGGAACCGGCUGAAACCAAAAAUAAAAAGAGAAGAAGGAAAGUUCAAAGGGAGGAGAAUAAUAUCACCUAAGUACUCCCUCAAAACUCUUCCAAAUUCAUGUGGUAAGAGUAAUCCUUUACUCUUGGAACUUGUCAUGGGAGGUGUUAGGUUGUAUGAGAAGAAAGCCCCGAUUUAGGAUGCUUGAAUUUAAUUAGGGUAAAUGAAAAAUCAAUGCAAAUACAUACUCUAGAGCAUAAAUAGUCUAAGAACACAACAUUUUUAACUAGGAUUAAUGAAGGUUGGAGUUGUUAGGAAACCCCUACCAUUCAACCAAAAGAACAAAAAUAAGAGAAAAGGGAGUCUCCAAUGGCAUUAUACUAAUAUAAUGAUGUUGAAGUGUGUAGUAACUAAAACUAUUAUUUUUUUACUUUUUUUCAUAUCUCUUGAUUUGCACUUAUAUGAUUUAUGUUGGUGCUUAAAGUUGUAUGAACCAUGUUAUCAUGAAAAUCAAAUAAAAAAGAAGAAGAAGAAGAAGAAAGAUUUGAUGUCUUGAUAAGGAAUGAACUUCAAUUGCUAGUUCCUAAUAGAGUUUAUAUGUAAUGGAAUACUAUAAUGAUGAAAAUAUGCAUAGAAAAUGUUUGAUUAGUGUUUGAAUCCAUGAAUUCAAAUCUGGGCAAUUUGAUAAUGGAAAUACCAACACAAAUUGGACAUAGAAGAUGAUAGAAAUUGCUAUAAUGUUUUAUAUGAAAGAUGUAAAGGAAUGAGUUUGCUAACAUUUGGCACUGGUCUUGCCUCAAUUGGAGUUUUAUAACUCUAGAUAUGGGCAAAAUACCAUCAAGAGGUCAAAUUGUCUGUAACAGGACAAUUUGGUUCUCAUAAUUAAAACUACUGUUAGAUAUAGAAGAUGAUAGAAAUUGCUGUAAUGUUUUAUAUGAAAGAUGUAGAGGAAUGAUUAGGUAACAUUUAGCACUAGUAUUGCCUCAAAUGGAGUUGUAUAACUCUAGAUAUGGGCAAAAUACCAUUAAAAGGUCAAACUAUCCGUAACAGGGCAGUUUUGGUUCUCAGAAUUAAAACUAUUGUUAGACAUAGAAGAUGAUAGAAAUUGUUGUAACGUUUUAUAAACAAGUUGUAGAGAAAUGAGUUAGAUAACAUUAGGACCUGGUCUUGCCUCAAUUGGAAUUAUAGAACUUCAUAUAUAGGCAAACUACCAUUUAGUGGACAAGUUGUUUGUAACAUGAUAGAUUUCACUACCUGACUUCUAACUAAUUUUAGAAUAGCUGAACAAUAGAAUUUUAGGCAACCUUAUAGAAGAAAGUUGUACUUAAGGAUGUUAAAUUUCACUAGGAUUUGGCCCCAUAUGAAUCGAAGCUCUAGAAUUCCAUUUAGAGACUAAAAAUUACAGACUUGCCAUGUUGCAAAUUACAGACAAGACAAAUUUACAUGUGUGUAGAAGACAAGUGAUUUUGGGCACACUGAUGAUUCAUGUUGAAAUUAAUUCUUCUGAAUCAUGGGAGAUGUAUAUGUCAACAUUAAAAAAAAACAUAUAAAAAGGUCUAGACGGAAAUAGAUGGUGAAAUUUUGUUGACGCAAACCCAAGUCAUAGAUACUGAAAGCUCGUUGAUGCAAAACUAAGUCAUGCGAACACUUGAAUGUGAUAUACUAACUCCAAAGAAAUGCACUUGAUAUGUAUAUGUACAUUAUGAUGAGGAAAUGAACAUGCAUAAAAAGUAGCAUAUGUAUAAUGAAUGAAUAUGGAUUGCCUAUAACAUUUAGCUUGAAGGAAUCAUAACCAAAGACUUCUUUGUGAAAUAGGAGGAGCGAUUGACCAGGAUUAGAUCUUCUAUUGGAGGAAGUCAAGAGACAAGCGAAGCAGGUGCAUGGUUUCCCUCUCCUUAAUGCUUAUGCAAUUUAAAAUCUCCUUGAUGAAUGUAAUUACAAUAAUAUUAUGUUCAAAAUAAAUAAAGUAUGGUAUAGGGAUGCCGGGAAAUGAAAUACAACAUUAGCUUCGGCUAAUGGCAUCCGUGAUAGGGAUGCAGGGAAAUGAAUUACAAGAUUAGAUUCGGCUAAUGGCAUCUAUGAUAGGAUUGUUGAGAAAUGAAUUAUAAAAGUAGCUUCUGCUAAUGGCGACCAUGUUGGGACACCUGGAAAUGAUCGAUAAGGCUUGAUUCGUAAAAGGUAUCCAUGUUGGAUUAUGCAAGGUUGAAGAUCUAAUAAAACCAAUUAAACAAAGUUACUAGGUUCAUGUAAGAAGAUAAGAGAAAUAAAUUAAGAAUAUAACAAUAUGGAUUGUUACACGUAAGAGCCAGAUUUUGCUUAUUCUUGUUAUUCUUUAUCAUUUACUUUCUUUUUAGUUUUUUUUUUCAUUGUCUCUCUGAGCCCUCUUCCUAUAAAGAGGCAAUUCUUGAUCCUCUUUGGCAGCAAGCUAUGGAUGAGGAACUUUCUGCUUUGCAUAAGACAGAUACUUGGGAUUCGGUUCCUCUACCUCCUGGUAAAAAUUUUAUUGGUUGUCGUUGGGUGUAUAAAAUCAAGACUAAUUCUAAUGGGUUUAUUAAGCGAUAAAAAGCUAGGUUGAUUGGAAAAGGAUACUCUCAAUAGUAUGGUAUGGAUUUUGAGGAGACAUUUACCCCUAUUGCAAAAAUGACUAUUAUUCGUACUCUUAUUGUUGUAGCUUAAGUUUGUCAAUGGAAUAUCUCACAACUUGAUGUUAAAAAUGCCUUCUUGAAUUGAGAUCUUCAAGAAGAAAUUUAUAUGGUGCCUCCUCCUAGUGUUUUAUAUGACUCUAGGUAUGUUUGUAAGCUCAAGAAAGCGUUAUAUGGUCUCAAAUAAGCACCUUGGCUUGAGAAAUUUUCUAUUGUGAUCUCAUCUCUUGGAUUUGUUUCUGGUAAUCAUGAUUCUGCUCUUUUUAUUAAGUGCAUUGAUGUCGGUCAUAUCAUUCUAUCUUUAUAUGUUGAUGACAUCAUUAUUAUUGGUGAUGACAUUGAUGGUAUCUCAGUUUUGAAGACAGAGCUAGCUAGACAGUUUCAAAUAAAGGAUUUGGGUUCUCUACGAUAUUUCCUGGGUAUUGAGGUAGUUUACUCACCUAGAGGUUACCUUCUUUCUCAAUUGAAAUAUGUUGCAGAUAUUCAUGAGCGGGCUAGACUUACAUAUAACAAGACUAUAAACACUCCUAUUAAAGUUAAAGCAAGGUACUCUUCUUUUGAUGGUUGACCUUUGAUAGAUCCUACUUUAUACCAUAUUAUUGUUCGGAGCUCGGUAUAUCUCACCAUUACUCGUCUAGAUAAUGCAUAUGUUAUUCAUGUUGUUAGUCAGUUUGUUGUUUCUCCUACUAUUGGUCACUGGGCAGCUAUUCUUCGUAUUUUGCAAUAUCUUCAAUGUAUAGUUUUUUAUGACAACCAGAAUUCUAUUUAGAUUGUUCACAACUCGGUUUUUCAUGAGCAAACUAAGCACAUUGAAAACGAUUGUUAUCUUACUCAUCAUCAUCUCAAGCAUGGCACCAUUACUUUGCCUUUUGUUUCUUCUUCCUUGCAGAUUAUAGAUUGCUUUACCAAGACACAUUUCAUUUCUCGUUUUUGUUUUUUAGUUGGCAAACUCUCGAUACUUGUAAUUAUCACAUCGUGAGUUUAAGAGUAGAUGUUAAAUAAUAUUUAUAUAGUCUUAUUUAUUAAGGGUACAAUAGUAUUUUCAAUUUAACAUAUAUAUAAUUUCUUUGUAUUUAGGUUAACUCUAAGCACUCAUAAUAAACUGAUUAUUGAGAAUUCUAGUCUCAUUUUUCUAUAUGAUCUGAAUUAUUUUAACAAUAAUAUUUAUUUAACAUAUACAUGGUGUAUAGAACAAACUACAAGAUCUAUUUCUUAAAAAUUGCCCUAAUACAUAUUAUGUCGAUUAUUUUGCCCACUCAUCUAACUCCAUCAAUAAGUGGAAAGAGAUGCAAAGCUAAUUUUAAGAGCCUUUUUAUAAAAUAAAACUAGAAAUAACACUAACUAGCUUGGCUAGAAUAGUCUAAAAUCUAGAGGAGUGCAUAAAAGCUAUGGCCUUUCAAGACUUUGUCAACAGAGCAAGAAUGUACUAAAUCAAUUUUGAAAGUGACACAUUGGAACUUAAAAAAAAAAAUUAAAUAAGUAUUUAGAUAUUUAUAUUAUUUUAGAUGAUGUUACUCGAGAUGAAAAUAUUUUUGGAAAAUAAACAAACAAAAAAAACUAUUCAGAGGAAUAUACCUAGUGAACUAUUUAAACAAAGUGUGAUCGCGUAUUCAAUUACUGAUCUUGGUUCUGAACAGAAGUUUGAAAAAGUAAAACAACAACAACUUAUAUUGUUCAUAGAACUCAAAAAGAAAAAAUCGUUCAAAAUUAUUGCAUUACGAAUGCUAAACAAGGCUAGUAGAAGCAAAAAUGAUUAAGUGAGUAGAGAGAAUAUAUAUAUAUAAGGAGAAAGGAAACUUCCAAGAAACCACACAAUUCUAAGAAAUACUAUAAGUGACAAGAUUUAAGGAUACUUAAUGUUACGUUGAAUUAAAAUAUCAGAUCUGUAAACUAAUUAGAUUGAAAAAAACAGGUGGCUUACAAAAGAACACGCUUACAAGAUGCACUGGAUAGCUAGAUCUCCACUCUAUAAAUAGGCCUGGUUCGUUCUACUUCAAACCACUCUUCCCUAGCUACGCACUUCUUCCUUCUAUAUCUAUUGUUUCUGUUUCCUUCUUUCAUUUUACUUGUCAAUGGAAAGUGGGCUUAAGGCAUUGUGGAUGCUGUCUGCGGUGUUGCUGGUAUCAAACUGGCAACACUGGACUUAUGGAAAACGCGUACCUCAGGUUCCUUGCUACUUUGUCUUUGGAGAUUCUCUCUUUGAUAACGGAAACAAUAAUUACCUUGACAAAUCAGCUAAAGUUAAUUACCUUCCUUAUGGGAUAGACUUUGACACUGGGGCUACAGGAAGGUGCAGCAAUGGUCUCAACAUAGCUGACACCAUUGGUCUGCAGUUUUCUCUCCUCUCUUAUAAUACAAAAUAUAGUGCUUUAGUUUUCUUUAACAUAAAAAAUAAAUAUGUUCUCACUAGAUAGUUGUGAUCGUUUUAUUAAAUUACAAUUAGAAAUCUUGCUAAGUCUGGUACUAAUGUUUUUGUUGCUGAAAUUUACAUAAUUUAUUAGAAGAAGGAUGAUUAGGUUUGUUCUUUUGUUUCUUGUAUACCUAGAAACAUAAAUUUACAACGGUCUGAACAUAACCGAGUUUAGUAAUGUGGGCAGUUAUGAUCUUAAUUAUUAUUCUUUUGUUUCAGCUGACCAAUUAGGUUUCGACAGUUACAUUACGGACUUUGGUGUCGGAGGUUCCACUAAUUUUCUAGAUGGUGUAAAUUAUGGAUCAAAUGGAGCUGGCAUCCUUGAUUCUACUGGCUCUCUUGCGGUGAUUACUGAUCAUAUGCCUCUCAUAACUAAAACCUUGUAUUAUUCCGUAUGAAUUUUGCGUAAUCUUGUAUGCUUUGGCAACGCUAACUAUUGAUAUGUUUCUUUUGCGUAUGUGAAGGGAGAACUAUUUACGAUGAAUGAUCAGUUAUUUAAUCACAAUAAUAUCACGGUUUCACGAAUUUCCAAAAUCUUGGGAAGCGAGGAAGUUGCUAGGAAGUACUUGAGCCAAUGCAUCUAUGUGUCUGAUAUGGGCCAUAACGACUACCUCAACAAUUAUUUCUCGGACGACUACAAUAGCAGCCAGUUAUAUACUCCUGAAGAAUUUGCUCAACUUCUCAUUGAAACUUAUGAAACUCAGCUGGAGGUUAGUCCUACUUAAUGUCUCUUGUAAAACAACAAUUAAUGUUUGACGCGAUUGGAAACUAACAAAGACCCUUGCUGCCAGAAACUGUAUUGCUCAGGAGCAAGAAAGAUAGCUGUGUUAGGACUUAUUCGGGUAGGAUGUAUGCCGCACAACAUACAAAACCAUCCCAAAGACGUAGAUGCAUCUUCUUCAUGUGUAGAAAAGUUCAACAGUGAUGUUCAAAUUUUCAACUACAAGCUUCCAACACUGCUACAUAAACUUAAUGAAAAGCAUGCUGAUGCUGUGUUUACCUACAUAAACUCUUAUGAAAUUGAUUCUGAUGAUCAGACAAAUGCAGGUAUGAAUCCCCUCCCUCCCUUGCUCUCUCUCUCUCACGGCUGAAGACGACUUUUUUGUGAGACCAAAAUUAUUUUUUCUUGCUUGCAGG
rnacentral:lncRNA from 1 species